rnacentral:lncRNA from 1 species
CUCGUCAGUGGUACUUCAAGUUUCAUCAAAUUAUUGUCUCAUAUGGUUUUGAGGCAAAUCUUAUGGAUGAAUGUGUGUAUCACAAAUUCAGUGGGAGUAAGUAUAUUUUCCUGGUUUUAUAUGUCGAUGACAUAUUGCUAGCCACAAAUGAUAUUGGCAUAUUGCACGACACCAAGAGAUUUUUAUCAAAACAUUUUGAGAUGAAAGAUCUUGGUGAUGCCUCUUUUGUCUUAGGAAUCCAGAUACACCGAGAUCGUUCUAGGGGUAUUUUAGGAUUGUCACAAAGGACCUAUAUUGAUAAAGUCCUCCAAAGGUAUGGCAUGCAAAAUAGCAAACCAGGUGAUACCCCUGUCGCUAAAGGAGACAAAUUCAGUCUUAAUCAAUGCCCUAAAAAUAGUUUAGAAAGUCAAGAAAUGCAGAAGAUUCCUUACGCUUCGGCUGUGGGAGUCUAAUGUAUGCUCAAGUAUGUACACGUCCGGAUAUUGCGUACAUUGUUGGCAUGUUAGGCAGAUAUCUAAGUAACCCUGGAAUGGAUCAUUGGAGAGCAGCCAAGAGGGUUAUGAGAUAUUUACAGAGAACAAAAGAGUACAUGCUUACAUAUAGGAGAUUGGAUCAGUUAGAGUUGAUUGGGUAUUCCGACUCCGACUUUGCUGGAUGCCAAGACAGUAGAAGAUCCACAUCAGGCUAUAUUUAUCUGUUGGCUGGUGGAGCAAUUUCAUGGAGGUCUGCCAAACAGACACUCGUAACUUCAUCCACCAUGGAAGCAGAGUUUGUAGCAUGUUAUGAGGCAUCCAAUCAAGGAAUAUGGCUACGAAAUUUUGUCACUGGGCUGCGUGUUCUGGAUGGUAUUGAAAGACCACUGAAGAUAUUUUGUAACAAUAAAUCAGCAGUUUUAUAUUCCAAUAACAACAGGAGUUCUACAAAAUCAAAAUACAUUGAUAUCAAGUUCCUAGUUGUAAAAGAAAAAGUAUAGAGUGGACAGAUAUCCAUAGAGCAUAUUGGAACAAACUCCAUGAUAGCGGAUCCGCUUACAAAGGGAUUACCACCCAAGGUCUUUCAUGAGCACACUGCUCAUAUGGGUGUUGUCUCAUUUGAGGAUAUCCAAAUUUAGUGGGAGUUUGUAUUAUUUAUUGUAUAUUGCUCUAUGUUAUGUUUAGACUUUAUCUAUACAUUUGGAUUGUGUUCUGCAGAAAUAAAGUAUUCAUUUUAUUGCACUCUGUUAAAUUAUGCUAAAGAUUUGAUCUCAGUAAAGUUAAGUUGGACCAGUUGGAAAUAGGCAUGAAUAGAUCACAUUGCAUGUAAUUUCCAUGCUAUGCACUCAUGAUUGAUCUAUGUCAUUUAGCUAUGCAGAUAUAUGUGACCAUUGAUUGGUCUAGUAACAAUUGAUGUAAUAAAGGCCACCUUGAUCCUAUGUCAGUAUAGUUAAUGGACGAGAUUGUUCGGAUAUACCCUAAGGACAUGAUAGCAAAUUUUGAGCUCAUAAGGUUAAACAUAUUUAUUUGAUUACAUAUGCAUGUGGCCCAGUGGGAGAUUGUUAGAUUAAUUUUUGUAAUUAAUCUAUAAUUUGGGCCACACAUGUAAAUAAUUAAAAUGUGUGUGCUAUCAUUUAAUUAAGCCUAAAUAUAGUGAUCUAAUUAAUAAUUGAUUAAUUGGCUUAAGGGUAUAAUUGUCAUGAGAUUAUUGUGUAGAUACCAUUAGACAAUUAUUAUUUAUAUGAGGGGCAGAAAUAUAAUUGUGAUAAAAUUAAAACUGCCCUAGCAGUUUAUAAAUAGGGUUAUGGUCCCCAUUCUACGACUACGCAUUCCAAUUUCUGAAAAUCCUCUCAGAGAGAAAUUGACACAGAAUCUAGUGGCUAGAAUUGGAAGACCAUCUCAAAGGGUUUUUUUUUCUAUAAGGUUUCUCCUUCAAUGGAUUCAGGUAUGCUUCCGCUAUUAUUUUUCUACUCAUUGUUUUUAAUCAGGAGAUUCCAGUGUAUAUAUAAAUUAAGGUAUUCACCUUGUUAAAUAUUCCAGUACAUAUGUAGUUAGGGUAUUCACCCUAUUAAAUAUUCCAGUACAUAUGUAGUUAGGGUAUUCACCCAGUUAACUAUUCCAGUAUAUAUGAAAUCAGGGUAUUCAUCUUGGUUGAAUACUAACAAUUGCAACCCACCUCCUUCACAGUCCAGAAAGUAAGAAAUUGGUUCAGAGGCUUCACAUUGAGACCUCCAAAAUCUUAAAUCGUCACUACCAUUUGGUUAGGACAUGGGUCCACUGCUUCUGGGCCCAACGAUUUUCAUGCAUAAUUUGCAGGCAAACAUUCAAUGGGACAGUGGAAUCUUUAUUUCCUAGCCAACCAAACAGAACGGGAAAGUUCAUCAUUAGCAAACGUAUGGUUUCUACAUGUUUCCCCAUUUUUGGGAAAAAAGGAAAAAACGUAAAUUUCCUCCUAAUUACCAUCACAAACAAACAAAUGAAAUUGAUUUUCUUCCCCUUUUUUAUUCUUUCCCUCUCGCCAAACGGACCCCAAAUGAAAAACUCACGUCAAAACCCAACUACUGGAGUUGAAAACUUGCAUACUCAAAUCACACCCAUCAAAUACCUUCAUGUAUACAAAUGAAAUUUGUCAAGGAAUGAAGAAUAUACAGACAGAUUGAAAAACCCAGAACAGAACAAUAGAUUGAUGAUAGAAAUUCACCGAAGCCAAAACGGAGGAAGUAGGUUGCUAAACGGUGACGUUUUAAUGGAAAUACAGCGAAGCGGUAAGUUAAUACGACGUCGUUUUAUUGAACGGAGAAGUAUGGGAUUAAGGUGACAAGUAAGGACUUGUUUGGAAAAGGUAUUAUAAUUGAACUUAAAAAUACAGUUGACAAUUUUUUUAAAAAUAAUAAAAAUAUUUUAGAUUUUUUAUAUCAUACAUAAAUGUAUAUUAUCUUCACAUAAAAUAAGUUAAAAUAUCUUUUUCUUUUUAUUUAAGUUUUUAAAUAAAAUUUUGUUUAUAAAAUAAAUUUGUAUGAUCCAAUCGAUUGCAUAAAGCUCGUUGUAACAAUGAAAUCGGGGGAAAGUUAUAAAAAAGACACUUCUUUUUUAUUAUAUUAGUAUUAGUUAGUGAUAUGAUUCUAUGAUUAAUUUCAUUCAUUUCUAUUAAGAUUUCAACUAAAUCUAUCUACUCUCAUAAGUUUAAAUUUUUUUCAAAUACCUUAUUUAAUUUUUUUAUUUUUACUUACCUCCCCUUUCACUCAAAAUUAAAGAGGGAUGUGCACAAAGAAAUUUUAAACCCAUCAAAGCUAAAUAUAUUUAGCUAAAUUAAUCAUUUUAAUUAUUAAAUACAUACUCUAUAAAAGUUAACUAAAAAUAUCUUAAAUUUGUUCUAAAAGAUAUGUUUUUAAAAUAAAUUAUCAAAAAAUUAUGUUGUAUCAAAAAAUUGUAGAAUGUGAGCGGAAAAAAAUGUUUUGUUCCAAAUAAUAAAAAGACACACCCACAUAAAAUCUUUUUAAAAAUAAAUUUUAUAAAUCCAAUAAAUUUACAAGGUGUUAACGGUUGACUAAACCUUACGGGUAUAAUGAAAUUCACCCGAAUAAAAAACCUUUUUAUAUAUAUAUAUCAUUCUUUAUUUAUUUAUUUCUAUUAUUAUUAUUAUUAAAAAAAAAAAAAACUCUCUCACACAACAAUCUUCAGACCUGCCCAUGCGCACAGUUCUCUUAGGGAAAAAAGCCCAAAACCCCAGCAAUCAUUCACUGCUGAGUCUGGAGGCGGACACCAAUCCUCGUGAGGAUCAAGAGGGAUCUUCAUUUCCACGCCAAACAUGGUGAACUACAUGUUGAUGAUCACCGGCGAGCUCGAGAAUCUCACCAAUCUCCAGCCUCAAGGCGGCUGCGACGAUCCUGAUUUCACCUACUACUUCAAGGUCCCUCUCUCAAUUUCUUCUGGGUUUUUUUUUUUUUUUUUUUUCAUUUAUACGUUUGGUUGCCGAGAAAUUGCACGAAAAUGGAUUCAGAAAUGCCAUUUCGAACUUAAUCCCCUGCAGGAAACGGAUCGCUGAAGUUUAGUGUGUUUCUUGUUUUGACUUUAUAUUUAGAUGAUUUUUUUUUUUUUUUUUUUGUGUAAUUUGUAUUUUUGGAUGUGUAGGUGAAAUGUGGAAACUGUGGAGAGGUGAGCCAGAAGGAGACGUGUGUGACAUUGAAUGAAACGGUUCCUCUCCCGAAAAGCAAGGGAACUACUCAUCUGGUUCAGAAGGUCAAAUCUCUCCUAAUAUGUAUACGUUUAACUCUAUUUGGUUGCUGAGAAAAUUGAGGAAAUGGAAAGAAAAAUGUUUUAUAUCUUAGGUUUUAUGUUAUUUCUGCUACCAAGAGACGGAAAAGAAAAUCAUCUGAACUAAGAGAAUAAAUCUAUGUGGCCAGUUGAGUGUGUUUAAGCUCCUCUUCCUAAGGACGGGGAAAUACUAACCUGGUUCGGAAGGUGAAAUCUCUUUCUGUAUAAGCAUUUACAAAGUUUGGUUGCUGAGGAAACAGAUUGCAAAUAAAAUUUCUAAUCUUAGGUUUUGUGUUAUUUCUGCCACUAAGAAAUGGAAAAGAAUCCUCUGAACUGGUGAAAUAAUUAUAUUAGGUUGAUUCAGUCCCUCUCCUUUUCUCUGUAUAUGUAGAUACAUAUAUCUACACCUGUUUGGUUGGUGAGAGAACUUUGGGAAGUGGAAGAAAAUAAAGUAAUCCAGGGUCUUGUUUUAUGUUCUCAUCGAUUCACACAUUUUAUCAAAUUUGUGAGAUUGAUUAAACCAUGGAUUUACUCUGAACUUUGAAGAAUAAGUUGUAUCUAAUAAAAAGUGGGUUAGAUUAGAUGAUUAAAAUUUGAGUGAAUUCUGAAGCUGGUUGUCGUUCUGAUAUUUGUACCCCGCAUGAAUCUUGGAAGAUGCAAACAAAAAUAAGAGAAAAAGAAAAAAAGAAAGGAAAGAAGAAUGGAAGAAGAAUGAAAAAUAAGUUCGAGCUCAACAGUAUUUUUCUUCAUUAUUAUUUAAUUUGAUACUUUCUUCAAAUAGAGAACGAAGAAUUUGGAAACGUACAAGUUUUUAAAUAAUUUUCAUUAUAUUUAUUUCACUUUGUAUUCUUCAUAGCAAACCAAAAAGAAAAUUUGAGAUUCGUAUUUCUUAUUUCCCAUUCUUUCUCUUGUUGGUUUUCACGAUCCAGAAAGGGAGUCUUAAUGAAUUCAUCCUGAACUUUAUGCCCUGUGAUUUUCCCCUUCAACAUACAUGUAUGCAAGCAUUCUUGCUUUUCAUCCAUGGCCUCAAUCUCUGUUAUGAUGUUCCUUUCAAAUUGUUUGACUGCUUCUACCCAUCCAUAUGUUUAAGCUAUUACAGAAAAUGUGUAACUAUCUUCAUGAGUUGCAUCUUUUCUCUGGUCUACAGUUUACUAAUUCUCUUUAUGAGGCGUAUUAUAUGAGUCAUACAACCAGUCAUACCAAGUUUGUGAAAUACGUAGCUUACUCUUGUAAGUUAAAAUUACAUUCAUGUGGCUCGUCUGCAUCAUAUUUAAAAGAAUUAUCUUCUUCUGAUGCAUUCCUGUCUUCAGUGCAAGUUCUGUGAUAGGGAGGGAACUAUCUUGAUGAUCCCAGGCCGAGGUCGUCCACUGACUCAGGAAAUGAGUGAAUCAGGGAAGUUCACCCCCUUGAUGUUAUUGGACAGCAGGGGUUUUGAGCCGGUGGAAUUUUCUUUUGGUACCGGAUGGAAAGCUGAAUCCGUAACUCUCUCUCUCUCUCUCUCUCUCUCUCUCUGUUCACACACACACUUGUAAAUGCCGCAGACAGCAUUGGGUCAGUACAUAAUUUACCAGGUGGCCAUAUUGGACAUCCUUUUGUAUGAGAAUUCUAAUUUCCAAUGUAGUCACCAACACAAUCUCAAGGGCUCAUUUUGAUUGCAAUUUAUACUCUGGACUUAAUUGUGAUUUACAGCUUAGCAUCAGAAUCAAAUUGUUGUGGUAACAUGUUUUGAUUAAUUACUAAAAAUGAUUUCAUCUAGUGCUAAAAAAUGCCUUCUCCUUAAUCCUUGCACAUAUUUAAGAAUAAAACUUUGUGCUUAUUUAAUAGGCAUGCAUCUGAAGUUUUUAUAACCCAAAAGCAACUGCUGCAUUCUUUUAUGAUGGUUGUGUUCUCAUGUCAACAUCUCCUAACUCAUCUGUGUAGAUGGAAGGGACUAAAUUUGAUGACAUUGACUUGUCUGGAGGGGAAUUUGCUGAAUAUGAUGAGAAGGGAGAGUGCCCGGUGAUGAUAUCUAAUCUCCGCGCUACUUUUGACGUGACGAAGUAGACAGUAAUGUUCUCCUGCAUAUAUUUUCGCUGGUAUAUAGAAGAAAGUCAUGCUAUCUGAACCAUAAGCUAAUUAUAAGGAAAGCCAUAAUGUACUGAUGUUUUUCAGAGAAUGGGCCGUUGAACUUUAUCAUAAGCUUUUUCUGGACCUUCAUUUGUCCAUUAAUUUGCCGUGCUAAUACAUUCAAUGAAGCUUUUAGACAAUAUUACAAAACAUAAUUGGGUAUUUAAAUGUGUUAUCUGAGUUGGAUAGAGUCCUUUCUCAUUCCAUUGUGUUUCAUCAAGUUUUCCUAUAAUGUGUCUGGAGUUUUAAGGCUUGUAACCAUCAUGCCCUGCCUCUUUGGUAGGACCCAUUGAUCAAAUGGCCUGUCUAAUUUCUUCUGAAGUGACCUUUUAGUUAAUAGCAGCACUCUAAUCCUCUUUGAAUAGUUAAUUGACUGGCUGGCAAGGUCUAACCCAACCAGGGGUUGUUGGAAGACCAUUUGUGGUGAAGGGCAUUUUCACAUGUUGGUGGAAAAGACCCUGAAUCUGCUGGGUGUCUUUGAAAUUAGAACAAUUGCAUAGAUCGAAGUCCCUUGUAAGCAGUGUAAGCCAUCAGAUAAGUCCCCAUUAUGCUCGACCUGAUCACUGACCUUAGCAUUCCUAAUGUGGAUUUCUUAUGACACUUUAUGCUUAGACGCGUUGGAUUUCUUUGCCCCAAGGGUAAGUCAAGGUGCAGAUUGAACGUCUUGACCGGGUUCGAGUCCCCUCGCUGCAGAAAAGAAAAUUGUAGCACUUUUUUUUACUUUGCCCCCUCGGGAAGUCAAGGUGCAGAUUGAACGUUUUGGCCCCAGGCGGAUAUGAAAUAUGAAGAGAUUAAUAUACAUUUCAAAACUAUUUUUUAUUAUUUGAAAAAAAAUUUUAUCUUAAUUUUUUAAAUAAUUAUUUUGAAAAUUUAUUAUUUUUAAAAAACUAAUUUUUUGAAAAAUAUAUUCUAAAAAUAUAUAUUUUUCAAGAUGUUUGCUUUUUAAAUAAUAAUAAUAAUAAUAUUUUUUGAAAAAUUGUGUAUUUUUUCUCAAAUUAUUAAAUUAUAUUAAAUUUUAUUAAGGUUUAUAAAAAGAAUAAAAUUUAAAUUAAUAUUUUUAUAUAUUUUUUUUAAUAGUGAGUAAAGGUCAUUUAUGGAAAAAUGACAAAUUCAUGUUAUUCUUCUCAAUUUUCAUAAUUUCUUUAGAUCUUGGACUUAAACGGUGAACUUAUAUGAUCAAAGCUUAAUUUUCUAAAACACAAUUAUUCUCAAGAAUUAUUAAAUACUCUUAACUAAAAUAUCUUUAUUUUUAUGUUUUGUUUUUCAAAAAUAAAUUUUUGUGUGAAAUGACAUAAAUAUACUUUUUUUUCCAAAUAGGAUGAUUUUUAAAAAGCCUAGUGGUUACUUUUGUAUUAAAAACUUAUGGUUGAAAAAAAAUCUUGAUAUAAAAAGCAGGAUAAUGUUGUUGUUUUUUUAUAGAAGUUUUGUUUUGAUUUAUGCAAUAAAUUCCUUCAUACUUAAAAAAAAAUUAUAAUAUUUAAAAAUUAUAAUUUUGGUGAUAGCAAAGCUAUUCUUUUACACGUCAAAUUUUUUUUUUUUUUUAAACGUUGGGAACAUCAAAUUUAUUUUUAAAAAAACGUUGGGAGUAGAGAUAUUUUUGGUGGGGGUUUGAAUCUUCUCGUAGACGCGUGAAACACUGAAAUAUGGUAUUGUUACGCGGAUCGGUCCUUUGUGAAAGGAGGAAAGAGGUGAACACGACGUCGUUUUUUGUAGACAAAUAUUUAAUAUGAUUAGAACCAAACGAAGGAGUCAUCUUUGUACACGCCAAGCCUUAGACAAACCCAACUGCAUUCCUCCAAUGGAAACGCGCCACGAAGCUCAAGUCCAAAAACCCAAAAUCAGUCUGGUCGCGUGGCGGUGGCUCCGCAAACUGUGGGUCGUGAAACAUCAUGUGACCCAUGCUUAACUUGUCACGUGUCAAAUGGUCCCAGUCUCUUGACAAUUAAUCAAUCACAUGCACGUACAGGCACCCCAUGUUAACCAAAUUUAUUAUUUAUUUAUUAACCCAACACAUUCUCAAAACCCCAUAGUCGUAAAAAUUGCCUUAAAAAAAUUUCUUUUUUUUUUUCCUAAAAUUUUUAAUCAUACUAUAAUUUUCUAUUGUUACACUUCAAAACAAAUUUCUUCUGAAAUAAAAAAGGUUUCCCAUAAUUAAAUUCCUAUGUUUUUGCCGUUAUUAGGGCCACUUACACCAUAACCUCUGGAAAUAAAAUCGUAACGUAAUGAAUGGGGUUUCAAAUUAUAACGUUUUUCUUUUCCAAUCUAAUAUUAAAUUGUUCUUUUAUAACACAAAAAAAAUUCAACCCCAUUGAAAAUUGUCAAGGAAAAGAAAAAAAAAUUGGUAAAAAUAAUUAUUUUUUAUUUAUAAAAAAAUAUAUAAGAAAAAAAAUAAAGAAAAAAGAAAAAAAAUCUGCACGUUUUUCUUAAAUAAGGGAAAAUACAUUAUUCAAUAAUUAUUAUUUUUUUCUCUCAAUUUUUAAAAAUUUAAAAAAUAUUUUCUAAUUUUUAUUUUUAUUUUUAGAUGGCCCUUGGGUAUGAGUUGUAAAUACCGUCCAUUGUACCUGCCAAACCACAAAAAUACCAACAGAAGGGACAAAAUGCCAACCUCUCUAUUCUGAAAAAACCCAAAAUAAAAAUAAAAAUAAAUAAAGGAAAACUAAAACCUUAAAACCCAAGGGAAUCCCUAGAUUGUUUACUCCGGAAUUUAUCCCACGAGUUUCUACUUUCUCUCUCUAUAUUCUCCAACUCCUCUGGGCUCUCUUUCUCUGCCAUCUGCAUCUGCCCGCCAUACCUCUCCCUCUCUCUCCCUGACCACACCAUCUCUCUCUGACCAGUCCAUCUCUCAUUCAACUCCAUUCUGAUGCAAUUCGUGCUGUGUAUUGAAAGAUCCAAGUACCAAUUUCUCCCUCAUUUAUUCAUCCUGAAACCACUGUCUCUGUGGUACGGUGUCUAUUAGAUGCUUUUUAUCUCUCUGUUUGUUUGUGCCAGACCUGUUUGAUUCUUGGGAAAUCUCUCUUUGCCUAACACCCAUGUGAUAAGAACUCAAUUUUUUUAUGUAGAAUGAUUCCGGCCUUGAUCUCUAAAACGUUUCUUUGUAUUGAAGGCAAAUAGUUUUAGCUGGUAAUCCCAAUACCCAAAUGGUGGAACCCGGACCCUUUUCACCGUUUGGGUUAUAAGAUAUACAAUUUAGGAAUCUGGGUUUGGUAGUUUUCAGGGGAGAAGUUGAUGAUUGACAAGAAUUUGAACUGUUUCCGAUUAGAAAAAGGGUGGGGUGUUUUUGGAUUUGAUCUUGGUCAAAACAGAAUACCCAGAAACUGAAUUUUGAAACCGGAGAGUUAUCAAUAUGCAAUCAAGGGCGUUGUCGACUGAGGAAGGGAAGGAUCCUGCAAAUACAAGCAGAACAAAUCAAUCCAGGGUUUUGCCUCUAAGGCUGCUUCAGAUAUUUGGGCUGUUUCUGGCUCUCUGUGUCGCGUUUUCAGUCAUUAGUGUAUACAUGAUUAAACGUUUUGGAGUUUCUACUACAUUGACAUCGCCGCAGUCUAGUUUCCAGCCCUGCUAUGAGGAGGUGGGUGGCUUAGAUCGGUGGAUUAAGCCUCCUUCAACUUUGCUCCAUACAAUGAAUGACACAGAGCUUCUCUGGAGGGCAUCUUUUGCCCCUAAGGUGAAGAAGUACCCAUUUCAGAGAGUUCCAAAGGUUGCAUUCAUGUUCUUGACUAAGGGCCCAUUGCCGCUGGGACCUCUCUGGGAGAGGUUUUUGAAGGGGCAUGAAGGGCUUUAUUCAAUCUACAUUCAUUCGACGCCAUCAUUCCAGGCCAAUUUCCCUGCCUCAUCGGUUUUCUAUAGGAGACAGAUACCAAGCAAGGUACGUGAAGAUUUAUAAUUUGUGCAAUUUGCUUGUGAAUAUUUUGUUGUGAGUUCUACUUCUUUUGUUUUAUGGUAUAAAAACCCUUUUUCUUUGAAUCCUACAUGUUUAUUCUUGUAUUGGAAUCAUUGCUGCCUUAUAAAUGUUAAAGCAUAACUAAAUGCUUUUACAAUUUUUUUUGGCCUUUGAUAAGGGCCUUUACAAUCUGUUUCAUUCGUCGGGAAAUGUGAUGCCUUUACAAUUGAGUUAGGAAACUCAUGGUUUGGUGCUCUAAGCAGGGGAAACCUAUGGUUAGGUGUUUGGGAGGAAUUUAAGAAGGUGGUGUUUGCAAUCUAAUCAAGAAAUCGGUUUGGGAUUUUACACAUCAUGGCUUUGUGUUUCAUAGGCUAAGCUUUACUCCCUGUACUUUUGAUGAGAAUGUUCAUAUGAUAACAAGUUUACCUGCAAUGCGUAGUAGUCUUGUAGAUACUGUGCUUUGGAAUCCUUAGAUCUGAUUUGCAGGAAUGGUAUGGAAAAGGGCUUGUUAUAUUGGAAAGUUUAGUGUAGCUAGCAAUGCUGCGGAGUUAAGCCACAAUACUAUAAGUUGGAGAAAGAACCAAAAUGGUAAGUUCUCAUCUUGAGGUUUUUUCUCAUUUUUUGAUGAGGUAGGUGUAAGAAUCUCUUUAUGGCAUUCAUUCAAGGCAGUCCUUUUCUGUUGAUGAAAGCUUGGGAUAAUAUUUUGAUGGUAAAACUAUAGUAAGAAUUGGGUGGGUUGUUCCCAACAAAAUUGUACUAGGAGUAUGCAUAAUUGGUUGAUCUCUUGUUGAUACAUGGCAAGGUGGCUUGAAAAGGGAAGGAGGAUCAUUUUUGUAGGUUUAAUGUUCCUUGGUGAUGCCAAGAUGAAUACAUGGAAAAAAAUUUGGCAGGUGUUUUAAGCCACAUAAAUGCAGAUGAGCAAGUGUGUGACAACGUGCUAAUGCAGUAACCGAAUGCAUGUCCAUUUUUGCACAUUUGGAAAGACUGCAAUAAACUGAUACUGUAGUGGUGGAGAGGGCUCUAUGGUCUAGCUUUUGGGCAUUUUGGAGUUUUUGACUUUGCAUGAAUUUUGCUUAUGCAGUUCCUCUUCUUGUUUACGCGCAUUCAUGCAUAAACAUGAGGGGCUUGCCCUUUCUAUUUAGUAUAUCUACAUAAUUUUACUUAUUAAAAAUGGUCAAAGGGAAGAUAAUUAAGCUUGUGCAAGCAAACAUGAAUUUUAAGCUUAUAGAUAUGUUUAAGUGACUGAUAUGGUUGUUGAAUCAUUCCUCAAAAUUGAGAUGGCAGAGAAACUGGUAGUUGAUUAACUUGAUUAUGGUUUCUUGAGAUAUUAUGGGUUUUCUUUGUGUCAUCUUGAUAUGAAAAUGCUUAAUAUAUUACUUAUUUCAAUAUUGAUAAAUUAUUUAGGCUAUGUUUGUUUUCUGAAAAUUUUGAGGGUAAAAAUGCAAAGAAAAGAAACUAUAGAGGAAAAGUAUAAGGAAAGAAAAAAAGUAAAGGAAGAUAGAAAACACAUUUAAUGUUAAUAAAUUGUUUUCAUAUGCUGCUUCAAACUCAUUUAACUUAUUUUAACUCUCUUAUAUAAAGCUUAAAUAAUUUGAAAAUGCAUAGGUUUCUAAUUAAUUUUAAUUAUAUUUUAUUUUCCAUGAUAAAACCAAACAUGAGAAAAUCAUUUUCCUUAGAUUUUUUUUUUUUUUUUUUUUUCCUUAGGGUACUUUUUUGGAACCAUUCAUAGCAAUAAAGUCUGGUUUUCAGUUUUAAAUUUUAUGGAAUAACAGCUAUAGAGAUCCCAAUUUCUUAAGUUGAAGAGAUGAUUCUGGGUUAUGUUUUAUGAAGGAUUAGACAUGUUUUAUACGGAUGCUACUGAUCAAUGUGGCUGACAGAUGGCAAUGUUGAUAUCCUCAUUAAUUAGCUGAGAGUCUGAAUGAAGGCAUUGUGUGGAUGAUGAAUACUAUGAAAGAAUAUUAAUUGGGAUAAAGGUUCUGUUGAGUUUAAUGUAGCCUAGACUGAAGAUAGCCUGUUGAUUAUUCUCCCCUCCCUCCCUUCAAGCUGCUUUAAGUAGGACUUGAAGAGUGGAUCCCACUUUCCCCCCUUUGGGGAGGCAGCUGCAUGUCAAACUCUUGGGCACCAUUGGCUUUACCGUAACCAAGUAGGGAAACUUCAAUAGCAUUGAGGCUUCACUUGUUGGUUCACCUUCUGUUCCUGAGACACAGAAGAAUGCUUUACCUUGGCUGUUGCACUUGAAAGUAGAGGACUGCACUCCCAGUAAAUCAUUAUAUUCUUGCCUGGUUUGUGCAAUUGUCAUGCAAAUUGCUGCUUAUUGAUUUUGCAUUCCAACAAAGUUCCUCUUCGUCUCCUCUUCCUGAGACGUAAAGCUUUUAAUUGAUGUUUGGAAUUGCAUGGCUAGUUGUUAUUCCCUAUGAAAUCAAUUGAUUUAUUUUCUAUUGUUAUGUUUGUGAUUUUUAUGAUGUCUAUCGUAUCAAUUGCUUUUAGACUUGGGAAUAUAGACCGAAAUAGAAACCCCUUAGUGACAAUGAUUUACUAAGGAAUCAUCUACAACCUACAUAUAAAUAUCAGUCGUAAAAAAGUUGGGGAAAUUUCAAUAUUCUAUUCUAAUUUCAACCAGUUGGGCAUGUAGAAACUUCUACAUUUGUUAUAAAAAGUUAGGUAUUCCAUUGAGCGGCUGAUGAUUUAUGUGGUUGCCCUCCAUUUCAGGUGGCAGAGUGGGGGAGGAUGAGUAUGUGUGAUGCAGAGAGAAGGCUCCUCGCAAAUGCAUUGCUUGAUAUCUCCAAUGAACGGUUCGUUCUUCUUUCUGAAUCAUGCAUUCCUCUCUACAAUUUCACCCUCAUCUACCACUACAUAAUGAAGUCCAAAUAUAGCUUCAUGGGUGCAUUUGAUGACCCUGGGCCAUAUGGAAGGGGUCGGUAUAAUGGGAAUAUGAAACCUGAGGUGAGCAUUUCCCAGUGGCGUAAAGGAGCCCAAUGGUUUGAAGUUAACCGAAAACUUGCAGUCAACAUAGUAGAAGAUACCACGUUCUACAAGAAGUUUGAGGAGUUCUGCAAACCAGCAUGCUAUGUGGAUGAGCACUACUUCCCCACCAUGCUAACCAUUCAAUCAGGACACCUUAUAGCAAACAGAAGCAUUACUUGGGUCGAUUGGUCAAGAGGCGGUGCUCACCCUGCUACCUUUGGGAAAGCAGAUAUCACAGAGGAGUUUCUACACAGAGUUGUCAGCAAUCACAAGUGCCUCUACAACAAUCAGCCUUCCUCUACUUGUUUUCUUUUUGCAAGAAAGUUUGCUCCCAGUACCCUGGAACCUCUGUUACAGUUGGCACACAAACACUUAGGGUUUUGAGCGAUAAUAGUUUUUUGAGAGAAACCCAGAAAAUUCUUUGAAUCUCUAACUCUCAUAUCUGAUUUCUCUCUUGUAAACUAGUGAGUUUUAGGUGAAUAAUCCAGCCACGCAAUUUUAGAUGUACAUAAAGAAGUAUCACUAGUGCCCAUCUUUAUAGCAUCAUCAUAGUCGGAUUAUUAUCUGGAGCUUAGUGUGUACUCAAUUUUAAUACAAUUUCAGUCAAAUUUUUUCAUCUUUUCCCCAUUGCAACCAAUUUUAUACAAGGGUGCAACUUGAACGGAUUGAUCAAACCUAAAUUGCCCAAAGUUUGGGUAGGCAUGAACAAUCUUUUUUAAUAUUGGGAUUGGGUUAAGUUUUUUCAACCCUAGCGUUAAAAUUUUGAUUGGAUUUGAGCUGAGGUUCGGAUAAUUCGAGCCUAAACCGAUCCCAAUUUAAUCUUGAAAUUUUGCCCUAUUUAUUAUUAAAUUUUCAUAUAAAUACAUAGAAAAGAAUUUAGUAAAAAAUAUUAUAGAUGAAUUCCGAAUUAUAUAUAUAACAUGAUUAAUCCAUUGAAGUUUAAUCCGAGUUUAAUUUGGAAAAAUCGAACUCAAUCUAAAGUUUAAAAAAAUGAGAUUGGGUUAGAUUUGGAUUAAGUAUCUUGAGUCGAUUGAAUUAUUUCUUAAUUUGAGUUGGUGGUAUUUAAUUUAUGUUGGGUUUUCUUUAAAAGGGGUCAAUAUUGACAUUUAUGAUGAAAGUUAGGUGAUUUAUGAUGUGUUUGGUAGUAUUUUCGAACCGGUUUCCAGUUCUUGAAGAUGGUUUUACCUUAUUUCUAAAAGUAAAAUUCUGUUUCAAAAAACAAUCUCUCUUUAAGAUGUGCAAGGGAGGUUGGGUUGAUUGUUAAUUCAAACUCAAUAAUUGUGGAAAUAGUUGGCAUACUGGGAAUUCAAUUACAAUGCUCCCACUUGGUAUCCGCGCUUGAAAACAAUUUUUUUUUUUUCAGCUUACUUUUAAUAGAAAGAAUUUGUUUCGAAAAGGAUGUUUUUGAAAACAAAUUUUAGUGUGUUUUCAAUUGUUUUUCUAAAAAUGUUUUAAGUAAUAAAUUGAAAUAUAAAAAAUAUAUUAGAAACUUUUGCAUUGUAUUUAUUAAUAAUUAGUCUAUUUUUUUUUAAUAUUUGAAUUCCUAAUUAAAAUUUUAUUUUAAAAAAUAAUUAAAAGCUACUGUCAAUAGAAAUUCUUUUGGAACCUAUUCGAAUACAUACCCGGCUCAACCAUAAAGUCUUCAAAAACAGUUUUUAAUAAAUAAAUAAAAAUGACUAUGAAUACAUUUUAAAUUAAAAAAAUAUAUUCCCAUUAAAAAAGUCUUUAAAAUAUUUUUCAAAAUUUUAUGAAAUUGAAGGACACUUUUUCAAAAUUUGAAGUUAAAUUCAACCUUAAAAUUUCUACCCCUUUAGAAGAUGACUGCACGUGACAUGACAUCUACUUAAUGCAAAUCAUACAUAAAUGACAUUAAAGAGAAGGAGAAUUACAUGCAAGGCCUAAAAUUCUCAAUGGCAUUUAGACUGGGACAAAUAACUAACAAUCACAUCCACCACAUAAUUUCAAACCCAAUAUCCCCACUAACAGAAUUAUUUUAGAAAUUGACCCGAAAUCAACCCAUGUGGGGUUUUUAUUUCUUCCUUCCUACCAGAUUCAACCCGAUAUCAAAAUUUUUAGACUUUGUAGACGUAUUUUAAAAUUGAAAGUAACUAUUUAAUCAUAUAUAUAUAUACUUUUUCAAAUGAAAAUAAAUGAAGGAUAUGAUAUGUUUGUUUAGAAGUAAUUUUUAUAUGCUUGAAAACAUUUUUUUUUGUUUAAAUACUAAAAGCAAAAACAUCGUUAGGGCCCAAAACAUGUGAUUGGGCGUUGGGGUUGGAGAUGGGCAUUUUGGUAAUUCCAACCCCGGUGGCCAGAGGGGCGCAAACGGAAACUUCUCGAAACACACUAGAGAAAACGACAAGUCAAAUCUCACCAUACACGUGUCGUAUCUUUUACGUCAAUUUGAGGACCGUCUCUUUUCAACUCUCAACGUGUCAGUCUUUUGUUGGCUACUUAACACGCGGGCCCCACUGACGCCGCAUCUUUGCAGUGAGUAGCGCUGGAAUCGCGUGAUUGCAGAAUGUGGUCUGCGUUAUCGUUCCUUUCUCAAAACCGCAUCACCAUGUACGAGCGUGCGUGUGCUCACGCUCCAAAAAUUAUAUAAAAAAAACCAUGCUUUUGCAUUUAUUCACGAAAGAUUGAAAUUUUUUUCUCAUUUAAUAAUUUUCAGAAAUAAAAGUUUACUUUAAAAUUUAAAUAUAAAAAAUAGUAAUACCCUUUUUUCUCCUAAAAGCUUUGAUAUAUAUUUAAAUAAUUUUCAUAAUAAAUUAUAAAAAAUAUAUAUUUAAAAAUUGGUAAAUGUAAUUUUUUUUGAAGUUAAAUAACAGAAAAUAGAAAAUUGGAAAAAUUAGAUUAUUUUUAUUUAAAAAAAUUAAAAGUGGUUUUAAUCUAUCAACGGUUGAGAUGGCGAGUGCGGCACGUCUUGCUUACUAAAGGCGCGUAUUCAACCCAAUAUGUCACCGAAUAUGUUGGUUCAAAACGAAUCCGUCUUAGGAAACGACACCGUUUUGGAGUCCUGGAAACGACGCCGUUUAAGCCAAGAACCGCCUAAAGCAAACGCAUACUUACAUGAACGAAAAUGUAGGCCCACAACAUAACCCAGCUGUCACUCAAUUAAUCUACAGCCUGUAAUCCGGGCAGCUGCCCGAACUUCCCUCUCCUCUCUCUAUAAAACUCCUCACCACCGAUACUUCUUUCCUGCUUGUAGCUUUGCUUAGGUUUUACGAGAGAUUAUUUCCCGAGAAACAUUCCCAAUCUUUUAGUAAUCUCAAACCCUCCCACCGCACCGAUGGCUUCAUCUCUCUCCGGAGCUUCUCUCAUUGCACUGAUGGUGUUCUCCGUCGCCAUUCUCUCGUCCGUUGUAGCCGCCCAGGAUUUGGCACCGGCUCCUAGUCCGGCGUCUUCCGCCGGAGCUAUCUCGCCAUCUUUCGCCGCGGGUUGUGCCGUCGCCGUUGUGGCAUUUGUGUUCGGAUCUGUGAUGAAGGCUUGAAGAUAUCAUCGUCUGGAUGAGGUUUUUGGCUGUUUGUUCUGAGAGAGUUUGUGACUAUGGGUCGUGUAGAGCGAUUGGGUUCUCUUAGGUAUUAGAGAUUGAUUUGUUUACAUGGUUUGAUAGUAGUGUUGGAUCUAGGGUUUUUGAUGUUGUUUCUUUUCAGUAUAUACGCUUUGUUUUGCUGCACAGAUGGUCUAAUGCAUAUUUGAAGCCAUUGAUAUGGUUUUUUAGUAAAUAAAAUUCCUUAUAUAGAUGUGAGUUUCUCUAUCAUUGUGGUUUUACUUUACUGUGUUAAUAUAUGGAAAUUUGCUUGUGUUGUUGCUCCUUAAUACUUGACCUUUUGUUUCGUUUGGUUGCUGAGAAACUGGGGGGAAAUGUAGAAAAAUUGAAACAUCAUUUCCCGUAAAUGAUACGCUUAUUUCACUUUACGGAGUUUGGUUUCUUGUUUUCUUAAGAACCAAACAGCACAACAUACAAGACUUCGAACAGUUGUCUUCGUAUUCACGUUACAACUUUUCAGCAAUCUUGUCGGUUUCAAAUUGUUGUACCAGCGGAUUUGGGACACUUUCCAACACCAAUGCUGAUCUAAUCUUCCACUAGUCCAAAAUAAGUGACACAAAAAGUUUUCUUAAUUCUGAAGUUUUCUUAAUUUCCACGUUUUCCUCCUUUGUUUUCUCUGCUUUCUCAGCAACCAAAUUGCACAAAAUCAGUUUCACUUUUGAUGUUUCCAGUUAUGAAUUCUGUCAUUUUCUUUCCUAUUAAUGUGUUCUUGUCCUUGACGGUGUAAAUUUCCCAUAGUUUCUCUGUUCCUUCUCCAAAAUAUUUCUGUUUUCCUUUGAAUUUGAAUGAACAAUUUCUCAUCUUGUAAACAUUUGAAUGUCUUGAUUUUGCACUCAUUUGAAACCUUGGAAAGGAAAAGAAACCCAGAAUUGUAAGGACUCUUAAGAUAUUUUGAUUUUGAUGUACAGUAAUAAUUCCCAGUUUUAUUGCGUGGAUUCACCAUAUGGGGAAUUGUUGUAUCGAGUAUAAAGAAGAGCUCUGUCUGUUCCCAUCACCAGUUUCAGAGAAUCCAAAAUUUGAAACUUGUGAUUGAAAUGCCAGCCAUUGAAGAAUCUCCACUGCUCUUCGUAUUUGUCCUCUACCUAUAUUUCAGCGUGGAAUUUUAUGGACUUAGGAAUUGUGUUUUGCUUGCCCAAAAUAAUUUUCUGAAUUUAUCUUCGAACUGAGCCUCUGCUAUUUUGAAUUUCCUGAAGGAAGGUAGGCCUCGAAAACUGUUUUGUUUUUGGGAUUUUGUUCUAAAAAUAGGUUACUAUUUUAUAAUAAAUGCAAGUGUUUUAAGUUUUUAUUUUUUAAAAUAUUCCGAGCAAUAAUUAGAAACUAACAUUUUGAAAAUUUGUGUAUCAUGAGAAUGUCUUUGUUUUCCCUCAAAAUAAUUGAAAGCUUUUUUGUAUGUUUUCGUAAUGGUAAAGCACUUAUAAUAUGCUUCAGAAAUGGAGAAGAAAAUUAAAAAUAAUAUAAUAAAAUAAGAAUAAUAAUAAUAAAUAAAUAAAAAGGGUGGGGGAGGGCGUUUAUUAAUUGAAGGGAGCGGUAGACUUUGGCUUGAAAUGAACAACGAAAUGAUACCAUGUGAUUGUGAGAGAUAUUGAACAGCGUAUUUUUUUUGGGCUUUUGUGGGAUGAAAUCAUCAUUGCAGAGUGAUGAAGCAAUUUUUUUUUGUGGUGACUACUGACUAGUGGGUCUGAUUAUCCGAGAAUCGAGAGCUCUUUGUAAUUGAAGGGAGCACCAUUAUUUGUUAAUUUUUCAAAAUUUCAUAACCAAAGGGGUACCCACUAUCACCUGGUGCCUGGUGCCCGGUUACGACAAGUAACAAAGUGCUGUCUAAUGGUGGGUUGGUGGGGAGCUUUUCUGCUUUUAGGUGAUGAAUCAUUCGUUCAUUAAGCAUGAUUAGGGUUCGUGAUUUUGGGUAAUUAUGAGGAAGACUUUUAGUAUAUUUCUCCUUCCCAUCACUCUUGUUGGUUCUAGUUUUACUGUUUUAGUGUGUAGUACAAGGUUUCCUUUUUGUUGAACUUUCUUCAGCUGGAUCCCACUUGUAAUGAAAUGAAUGGGAUUGAAACAUUGCCCAUUCCAAUAAUAGAUCUUAUGCUAUGAAAUGUGCCCAUUUUAAUCACUUUUUUUUCAAAGUGAGGAUGACGAAGAUCCAGAGUGGUUUAGAAAUAUAUUUACAAAUCUGCUCCGGAAGUCUAAUAACCUAUUGCCAUCUGUUUUUUUUUUAACUUUUUUGUGUUUGCAUAAAUAUGUUAUUAAACUUGGGAAUCGGAUUCUGAAGAUGAGAAAGAGAGAGCAAAUACGGAUAUAAAUCUUAUGUCUUCAUUCUUCUCACAGGGUGAAAAGCCAUCAUCAUUUACAAAGUUGUUCCCAAAAGGAAAAGGAAAAAGAAAAAGAAAAAACCAGACCUCUCACAAAAUAUCCCGCCAUCAUCUUCCUUGCCCAACCCUAUUAUUAUUCUAGAUUCCCCGUCUAUUCCGAGUCGGAUUCCAUGUUACCCAUUGCCUUCAAGCCCCUCGGUUUCUGCAAAUAAAGAAACACAUGAAUUUUCAUAUAUUUUACAACCAUCCCUAUGAGUCGGCCACACACCUCUUUUUGAGUGUCUAAACUCAGCUUAUAUAAAAAAAAUUUAUCUUUUCCCACCAGAGCUUUCCAAGAAAAAGACACAAGCGAGUGAAAUUAAGGAGGUUGGAGGUACCUUCUUGGAAAUCUUCUUCUCCCUGACCUCAUAUCGCUCUAGAGUCAGAUCGCAUAGCCACGCACCGGGGCUUACUAGCUGUACACACAUCACAUACAACAAAUCAAUUCCAAUAUUGUAAUCAAACUCCUAGUUUACUUCAAUUUGACGAGGCUGUCGUUUGUGAUAUUUUGUUAACAAAAAUGCUUUCAUUAAAAAGGAAUAAAAGUAAAACAAAAUUGUACAUGUUCUUUUGUGCUUUUCACAGUUGCACUGCCAGUGUGGUCCAAGCUGGUGGCGUGGUGUGCACCCCACUGGUAUAAAUUAAAACAUAUAUUUUUAUUAAAUAUUAAAACAUAUAUACAGUUAUUUUAUGAUUACACUUUACACCCCUUCACUUUGAAAAAUAUUACAAAAUUGCAACCGUGGCACGCCCCUCACUUCUAUACCCUCGGUUUUGUCGGUUUGUAUUUGAAAACCUCCUUGCUUCAUUGACAAGUCUAGUGAAAGAGAGUACCCUUUUAAUCGGAACCGUACACCUGGCACACCUAUGUACCGUCCGUCCCGAUCUAAUCCCACUAACCCCCAAUACCACUCACAAAAUCAGGUAACUGAUUUAGAAGCCCACUCCUAUACUGACACGUGUCGUCUCCAUCACCAAUUCAGUACUUAGCCCCUUCUUUCCCACUUACACGUAUACGUACUUGUUAAAUUUCGUCCACCUCCUCAUGAAAAUAAUACCCGAUAUACAAAUUUAUAAAUCAUAAUAGGGUAAAGAAAAAGGGGGAAAAAAUGGAAGAGAAUACCUUAAAAAAGGUGGAGCGAAAUAAAUGCCAGGUGAUCCCACAAAUAAAAUAAAAUCAAACCUAUAUAUAAUUUUUUUCUUCUAAAAAGGGGUAUUGGGAAAUUAAUUAUGAUAAUAAAAAAAAUCAGCAAGAAAAAGAGGAAAAGUCAUGGGGGGCGUAGGCUUACAUUGAGAGUGCGUUGAAUAAACUUGGCCCGUUUCUUGGGUCUCUGGGGGAGUUUGGAGCCCUUAAUGGCCAUGAAAUCUUCUUCCUUCUCUUUGUUGGUGAGGGCAAUAACAAACUUAGGAGGCCAGACGGGCGGCACAGCCUCGCUGCCAGCCGACGAAGACCCUCCUCCUCCCUUCUUGCUGUCGUGGGCCGUCUCCGACGAGGCCGACUUAUUAUCAUUGUUAUGGUGGUGGUUGUUAGCGUUGUGAUGAUUACCUCUCCUGUCCUGGUCUCUUGCCGGAGAAGAGAACCCACGUACGCCGUUGCUUUGCCCUUUCAUGGCACUUGAAUUUUCUGAGUUCCUGAAAACAUUUACACAACAAACACAUAGAUAUCAUCAUAUUCCAUAUAUAUCAUCCUGUAAAAGUGGAAAUAAUUAUUCCCAAAAAAAAUAAAACAAAACAACAGGUAACAAAACGAAAAUGAAAAUUUAAUUUGGUAAAUAUGGAAUUACGAGAAUGGGCUUCUGUGGUGAUCUCGAUUAUGGCUUUAUGCGUAGCGGAGACCGGAAUAUAGGCGGGUUUCGCGUGGAAAAUGGGGUGGUUUGGGGACUGCUAUGUAUUCAUUCUACUUUUCUGAAGGGAGGGUUUUUAUUUUUCAUUUUAUUUUUAUUUGUUUUUUGAUAUGAUAACUGAAAAGGUUGAGAUAUUUGACAAGUGGGAUUGUGACUAACGUGCUCCGGUGGGGGGUGGGUGUACAAGGGAAAAACAGAUGGAGAUUUGUGGCCGUUGGAUUUGUGUUUCCUUUUAUCUUUGGUGAGGGCUACGUGUCGAAAGGCGGAUACGUCACAAGGAUAAAGUGGACCAAGAUGAGGAAUCUGGGUUAAUAUCCAACGGCGCCUAAUGGUGGGUGGAAAAGACAGUUUUCGGUGUACACGUUGAGGAAGAGAUCUGUAACCCGACUAGCCAGACCUAAGGAGAAAAAAAAAAAAUAAAAAAUCAGGUGUGAGUAUCCCCACCAUACCAUGAGGCAUUUAAACAUCAACUCAGAGGUCAAAGGGUUAUACUGUUAGGAGUGCAUCAUUAGGCUAAAGCAACACUUCGUAUCUUAUACGGAUAUGAAUAGUACCAUCCAUCCAAGGUCUAUUCAUAUGAAAACCUUCAACAUCAUCAAGUUAAAACUUUUUACGAAAUUUAUUAUUUCUAUUAAACCAUUAUAAUAAACAGGAAUAAAAUGUCCUACCAUUUAAUUUCUAGAACAGCCAUCUCCACUCACCACCCCAUGAAAAAGUUGGGAUGCCAAUACCCACUUCAAAUAGGAAGAAGCAUGAUUAAUGUUUACUCAAUAAAACCAUCAUCCCCUUCUAAUUUGCCUUUCGAAUAUACAGAUACCAUAAAUGCUUUUUUGUUUAGAAAUAGAAUAAUAAAUUAACCAAUUAAUUCCACGGGUAAAAUCCUCUGCCUAUAUCAUAUCAACCAUCAGUUUAUUAUAUUGAGCUAAUUUUAGUAAAUUCCCUGGCGUUUAGCAAGAUCCAUCUAGUGCACUAAAUGAGAAGGGACCAAAUUUGGAGUGAUGAUUUCAAGAUAUAUUCUUUUUGGGUAUCAAAACUUUCUAAAAUAUUUCAUCACAGAAAUGCUUGUCUUUUGAAGAAAGGUAAUGUUAGAUUUUCCACAAUAAUCCUCAGAAACGCUGCCUAAGGCACAAAUGUGAAUGCUUCAACAAAACCGCAGAAAACCACAAAAUGCGUCAGAGGACACCAUUUGUGGGACUAACUCUAUAGAAUUUUAUAGGAGGGAUUUUAUAAUUGGAUUUGCAGAUGAGUCAAUUAUAUUAAAUGUGAAGCAACCACCAACAACCAAAAGUAAAAAAAGCAAGUGGGAGUUACCUGAGAACGCGUUGUGGAGGCGGAGGCGGAGGUGGCUGAGGCGAAGAUGGGCGGUGGCGGAGAUUAAAAUACCCGUUACUGGUGGCUGCAGCGGUGGUGGUGGGUUGAUUCAGAGAGUCCUUAUCAGCUCUAACCACUCGGCGGUCGACUCGGACCGUGGUCUUGUGAACCGGGGCCGAGUCGUCCUUGACUUGGAUCUUCAUACAACGGAGUCGCUUGCGGUUCCCCCACUGCAACACAAAGUCUGAAGCGGUUGAUCUAGGCUCAGAGCUCGCUCUCAACAACGACCCAUCAUCUGCACCUCCGCUUCUUUCUCUAUGGUUGUUAUUGUUGUUGUUGAUGCUGCUGCUAUUAUUAUUGUUAUUUUUCACUCCCUCCUUUUCCAUAUCCUUCACCCUUUUUGUACACCUGUCCCAUUCCAAAACACAUUCAUGAUUAACUCUAGUUGAGGCCUUCAUUUAACUAUGGUUAAUCUCAUCUCGCAACACUGGAAAAACCGCAAAAGAAAGGGAAAAAAAAAUGAAAAUCGAAAAUUAAGAUUUGUAUUAAGAUUUGGAUACCACUCUUAUCUACAACUCCCCCGAAUUUGAGGGCUGAUUCUACAAAAUGAAAUUGAAAUUGAAAUUUACAUUAUUGGUUCUUCCUGUUUUCUUGUUGGGAAAAAAACGAGAGAAAACGCAGGAAAACGUGUGAGACAAUUGAGGCAUUUUAUCUUCGUUUUCCUUUUCCUUUUCCUUGUUGUUUCCCAGGAAUGAAAGGGCAGACGGGUCGGCGGAUGAGAAUUUUCUUCAACUUGAAAAAGGUAUCAAAGCCGUCACAGAGGAAAAAACUAAGUGUGACUGUUGUCGGGAAAAGAAAAGAAAAGAAAAGAAAAAAAAAAUCCAAGGAAGGGGUUUAAUAAUAGAAGGAAAAUGAGAGAGAGAGUUAUGUUUAGAUGCGUUUGGUUGCUAGGAAAAUGUAGGAAAAUAAAAGAAGGCGGAUUUUUUAAAUUCGGAUUUCUCGCCAUUUGUGACCCGAGAAAUCACAAACCGAUGAACCAGAAACAACAACCUCAAUUGAGCCUAAUACAAUGAUUUGGCUUGACUGAGACGAGCUUUUCAAUAUUUGGAAAUCCGAAAACAACGUAAUCCAAUAUUUUUUUCUCGCCCGUUUUCUUUCCAACCAAACAGAGAGCGAAGACAAGGAUGAGGAGGAUAAGAAAUAAACGAUCAAAUCAGAAAAUUUUCACCCAACAACGCACAACUUGUCACUAAAAUAACAAGUUUUCAUUACCAAAUCCUCAGAAACAAAGGGAACAAGAAGACAAAUUGAAUUGAAGGUAGAAUCGAAAUGCAAACAACACGAACUCGGACAUGGAUUCUCAGAGAGAGAGAAAGAGAGAUUCAUCAAAAUCAUGGCAUUACCAGAAAAUUUCCACGUUGCCGAAAAAUUCUUCAAAAGGCGAUUAUUAAACAACACAGUAGAGCACGCAGAACAAAGCUAAGAAGAAUCGAAGCUCCGUUCAAUGAAGAACGGACCAAAGAACAGAGUAGACCGAUUUGCUAGCAGAGAGCCUCACGAACUGCAAAAAACAGAGAUCACAACCAACAUUAAAUCUUCAGCUAAAUUUCCAACAACAAUUACUUGAAUAUCUGAAUUUUUUUGUUCAGAGGUAAGGAUUUCCUGCCUUCUAUGCAAAUCUAUUACAGAUUUUCGACGAAAUGAUUGCAUUUUCAAAGCUCCAAUCUUCAGUUUUGUUGUCAGAUUUGGAUCUAAUCAAUGAAGAGAGAAACUUCAGUUUCGUACAAACUCCACUCAAAUCCCUCAAAAUGUGUAUCUGUUAAACAAAAUUGAACAAAAAUUAGACUUAAUUCACAUUAUUCGCCACACAAAAUCGAACUCUGUUCUCAAUUACAAACCUCAAAAACUCGAAUUUCUCGAACUGAAUCACUAGUAAUUUUAUCUGCUAAACAAAAACAAAACAAAUUGAGUUAAUUGAUGGAAUUAAUUACACAAAAAACAUUGCAAAACCGAUCCUCUGCGCUCAAUUACAAACCUCUAAACACACACUCUUUCUAAAAAUACCAUUCUUCAAUAGCUCCAGAUCUUCUAACAAGGAAAAACCGUCAACCUUCAGUAUCAAACUCUCAUCAAUUUCCCUUCGAAAAUCCUCCGUUCGGAUUCCGAGAAAAACAUAGAAACAGGUAGUCAGACAGAACUUCUAACACCAGAAAAACUUCGACAUUUCACUAAUGAAUUCUCCUCAUAUUUUACUUCUUUUCAUCCCCUGUUUGGUUCCCGUGAAAGUGAAAGAAACGGAAAGAUAAUCGCAAAGAAAAUGAAGAAAACCAGAGAUGGCUUCUUCUGAUAAAACGAAAUGCUCUCGCUCCCUUUCAAAACCGAUUUUUAUACCUCCGUCCACUUUUCCUUACGGCCCAACCCUCCCCUGGUCGAUUCACCGACCAAUCCUGACCGUCCAUCAUCCAUCCGAGGGCUCUCAUCUCUCCUCAUCUGAACCGUCAGGCACGUCCGUCACUUAAGCCGUUACGACGUGAUAUUAAAUUACUCAGCAUUGUAAUUGUACUUCACGGCGUUAACGGAUAUAACGGAAUCUUCGACGUCGUUAUCUUUCCGUCCAUUAAAUUUUUUUUAUUUCUUUUUAUUUAUUAUUUUGUAGUGCACUGGUGCGGGGGUUCUAGUGAGUUAACCAGGCGCAGUUGUCACUUGCCUGUAGGUGCACUAACCAUGGUUAGUUUAACUAGACUGAUCGGUUACAUGAGCGAAACUCCCUUCUGGCAGACCUCGAGUUGACUGAGAUAUUGAAUCACAGCCGUCCAUAUCUAUCAGUGAUCCUAAAUACUGCCAUUUAUUACAAAUGAUUUUAUGAAUUAUUUCUUCCUUCGGAUCUAGCACUAGAGUUCUCGAUUUUGUGAUUAUUUAUUAUUAAUAUUAUUAUAUUUUAAAAAUGUAAACUCUUAAAUUUCAUAAUUGCAUAUUCGAAAAAUAAGAUAAAUAAAAUAAAAGAUUAUUGGGGAUAACUUUCUUUUUUUACUUUAAUUAGAAAUUGAAAUUUAACCCAAGCCAUUGAUUUUUUUUUACAAAAACAUUAAUUUCAAACGAAUUUUAUUAAAUCAAGUAUCUUUUUUUAUAAUUAAGUUCGUCAUCAUAAAUAAUUCGAUUAAAUAUUAAUUGAUUUUGAGAUGAAAUCCCUAAUGUAAUAAUCGAUAUAUUAAGUCAAUUGUAUUUGUUAAUGUUAUUAAAUUGCUUAAAUGAUAAUGAUACUGAGAAAUGUUCAUCACCCUUAGUAUGAUCCUUCUAGAUCGUUUAGCACGAUUCAUGUUUUGUGGAGUCACCACACAGCAUUACCCGUCCACUUCAUGGUAUAAACCGAUAUAAACUUUCGAUCACUAUGCAUUCUUGCAUGUCAAAUAUUAAAUAUAGCAGACAUUAAAUACAUCGAAUGUCACACCAUUAUUGAACAUUAAACUUCAAGGGUCAAGCUCGACCAUCAUUGGUAUUAAAAACGGUAAAAUCACAAUCAAUGACACAAUAAAAACAUUGAAAAAAUGUUACUUUUGGGUAAAAGUAAAAAUAAUCAUUAUUCACCAAAAUGAAGAUAUACUCUUUUUUUUUUUUUUUUUUUGUGAUCUAUUGCUCAAAUCUUCGUCACCUAACUUAAAUUUAAAAGGGGUGUGCCCGAAAAACUCACCGGAACAUUCUUCAUUCAAACAUUCUUUUUUGGAGGUGCAAUUGACAAUUAUGUCAAGCGGAGACCAACUCUGUACUAACAUUGUUAGUUGUGCACCAACAAAUAUCGUAUGCCAUUUUUCACCUAAGAUAAUCAAAAUUGUCCUUCAUAUCAAAUAUCAUAAAAUAAUUGAUCAUACAAGAUAAUUAAAGUUUAAUCAAAGAGUAACUUUAAAACAUGAGUUCUUUUAAUAAAAUUAUUAAAUAAAAAAAAUUGAAGCUGAUAGGUUUUUACUUUUUAUUUAUUUUUAUUUUUAUUUUUAAAAAGUUAAGCAAAGUUUGUGCCGUGUAAUACAAUAGUUCUUCAUUUUGUAAAAUUAUUAUUAUUAAAUUUGAAUAAAUAAAUAAAUUUUAUCACUACAUAGUAAAAAUAUGAUGAAGGAAAGGAAAUAAGUUUUGUAUAGCAUUGAACUAUUAGUAUUCAAAUUUAGAUUUUUUAAUUUCACAAAGGCCAAAAAAGCAUUUAUAACAUAAUUUAGAGUGGUGCAUGAUUGUUAGUACGAGAAAUGUGUGUGAAAUUACGGUUUAAUAAUAUCGAAAUUUGACUUUAUCAUUUUCAAUCUCCUUAAAUUAUAACCGAUAAAAAUCAAAUAAAACCGAUAUUAUAAGACUUUCUUUUUUUAUAAUUUGUAAUUGUUUGGUAGUAGAUGAGUUUCUAUUAUUUAUUAUAUUUUACACAUUUUAUUAAAGUAGAUUUUUUUAUUAAACUAUUUUUUAAAUGUAUUUAUUAUGUUUUUGGUAAAAAAAAUUAUUGAAUUUUGGACUUCAAAUCUAAGUUGAUUUUAAUUAUUUGAAAAUAAAUAAGUUUAAGUUCUAAUUAAAUAAUGCCAACUCCAUUAUUUAAAUCAAAAUAAAGCAAUUUUAAACAAAUUUCAUUUGAUUUAUUAAUUUCGGCACAAACAUAAAUUAAUUUUUCAAUAGUUGAUUAUAUUGCGCAGGGGUGUACGAGUGCUUGUGAUGGACUUGAGCACAUGGGAACACAGGAUCUGAAGAAAACAAAUAAUGAGUGCUUUAACGGAGUGAACUGAAGACAGCGAGACGCCCACGUUUUUCUGCCCGGUUUUCUCAAAAAUUAUGGAAACUGGGAAUGUCUUGUGUGUGAGUACUCAAACAUUAAAAGUUCACACAAUCCGUACAUUAUUCAUACUCAUUAUUGGAUUAAAGUCAAAACUUCUUCUGACAGGUCUCUUUGAUUCAGAUUUUACGUGGUGCGUGUUUUUUCAACUAAAUUUCAUUUAAAAUGUGAUUAAAAAUAUAUGGAAAAACGUUAAAAAAUUUUGCUUAAAAAUAUUUUAAUUAAAAAGUCCAAAAAAAAAUUAUUGACAUAUUUGACCAUGUUCUAAAAACGAUUCUUAAAAAACAGAUCUUGAAUACCCUUUUUCAAAAAAUAAAAUUAUAUUUAAAAAAAUGAUUUUUCUAUUAUUUUUUUUAAAUAUUAUAUAUUUUUAUAUCAUAUAAAAGUUUUAAAUAUAGUUUACAUUUUUUAAAUUAUUACUUACAAUAUUUUUUAUGAAUUUGUUGUGGGAAACAAUUUGGCCUCGCUUGUUCUCAAAAAUAUAUUUUUUAAGUUAAAAAAACAAAACAAAAUUUUAUUUAAGAAAUACAACAUAGAAACAAUAUUUCUUAAGUUGCCCACACUCAACUUAUAAGUUUGGGAUUUUAUAAACGCAUACCAAGCACAGUGAAAUUAUUUACAGCCUGAUCACUUAGCUUCAUUACAAUCCAAGUUUCAUGAAGGAGAUGUUUUUUUUCCUUAAGGCUAUAUUUACACUGGAGCAACCAGUAGAAGCAGCAUGGAUGUGUACAAUAAGGAUAUAAUAUGUUUUCCAUAUAUAGAAGCUCACAACCUGAAACAGAACAUAUCCAAUGAAUUGGGUAUUGAUUAGUCUCUGUGUUCUGCUUUAAUCAGGCACUGAAUCCCUUGUCAAGAGAGCUCCAUGGACCAGGAGGAAUGGUGACACAGGCUUGUGCCGAUGCCUCGGCCAUCUGUUCCUUUUCGAUGCCAGCAUUGCAGAUGUUGGCGAUGGAGCGCAUGUGCUUCAUCCCAUACUGGGAUAGGGAUCCACAGUGUGCCUCAAAAGUUCUCACCUGCAUCAGAGCAGGCAAAGAAGAUCGGGUUUUUGUUCAAUUUUGAUGGUGACUAAAAGUGGCUGUGAAGGGGGAAGCUGGGAAUUAGGAAGAUUACCAGUGUUUUAAGGCAGUGCCAGUCGUCAACAAGAGGCUGCCCUGCAGGCCGGACAGUCUUCAGAACCUCAGAACCUUUUUUCAUUCCAAACAGAAGUCUCCCAACGAGUUUUAUGGCAUGGUCUAUAUGUGUUCUGUGAGACAUUGCUUCAAGAAACUGCUUCUGAGCUUCAGCUUUCCUUGGAGAGCCUUCGGGAGCCUUGCGGAACUGUUAAAACAUAGAAAAAUAAUGAGGUGGAUAUUCUUCUGCAAUGCAUCAGAUCCUUCUCAUUAUAGUCAUCUAAAAGCAUGAGAAUUUUUAUUUCUUGCUGAACCUUCAACCUACAUGUCUUUUAUGAUUUAAAGCAUUAACUUGCAGGGUCUUUCUACUUCCUAGCCUACUCUUAGCUAUUCUUUGGGUACACACUAGUAGUCCUUGCACUGUCACCUGUUGAUCCUAUUCUUAUGCUGUUCUAUUGCCUUCAAGGAAAGGUAAUUUCCCGAACUGGAGCUUCCCUUUCCCCAAGGAAAUGUCUUGUUCUGAUCUGAAUAAAAUUGCUAAUUCUUACAACUAUAAUUACUCUGGUAUGACAAUGAAGACGAUCCCACCCAGCCAUGAAUAUUCCCAGGAAAGAAAGCAAUACAUUCAAAGCAGUGGGGAUUUUUAGAAUUGUUUCAUUACUCUACUUUUUUUCCUAAAUGCAACCUUGAGAUUUUCCAUUAUUUUCUGUUAUUAGUAUCUCUUCUAAUUCUUCCACUCACCCAAUAUUCAUUUCCCCAUCCAUCCUGAUCACAUCAAUCUUAAUCAUAUAUGAAAAACUAUUUUCAUUCUUAGUCUAAAUCUAGAGCUCAAAACAUUCAAGUUGUACAAAAAAUUCAGUAUGGGAGAUAUAAAAUGUAGUAGACAAACCUUGUCCCAGAAAUGAACAAGAUCAGCAUCACGCUGGUUAACAGCCUUUGAAGGUAACCUCAAGGAGUUGUUGUCCACAAAAGUGUAGUUAUCAUUUGCAGGAUUUGUACCCAUAUACAGAACAAGGUCUUCCUUGUUGAGACCUAGAUCACCAUAUUGCAUGACAUGGGAGCCAUAAACAGAAUUGUCAUUUGCAGUCCUCUUCUUAACCUGAAAAAGCCAGAGAGAAAUCAUGAUAUUGAUGUAGUAAGCAACAAGCAAGGGUGUAUAAACAACAAUAGCAACAUCUAGGAACUUUCCCAACUAGACCCUCCUUCAAACACAAACAUUUUUGUCCUUGUGUCCUCAUUAAUUGCCUAUGUGAAAUGAGUUUAGGUGUGCUCCACCACAAAAUUUGUGGGAACAUUCGCAGAAAGAAGUCGUUUUCCAAAACGAUAAGACUCUGACUAAAAAGCUCUUACCAGUUCAUACUGCUGCCUCAACGUUUCAGUCCGCAGGUUGUGCACGUCACUGGUCACAUCAACAGAAGAUUUAGAUUCAUAUGAAACACUAGUAAUUGAACAAGGUAGGUAUAUAUUAUGAAAAUUUUCAUCCUUCAAUAUAAGAAAAAGACCAAAAUGAGGGCGACUGGAUCAAGAAAAACAAAUCCCAGAUCCUGAUUAUAGCUCAGGAGAAAAUGGCAAGAUGCAGAAUCAACAACACACAUUUACCCAUUCACUUGCAUUACAUACACAAAAUACAUGCAUGCACUCAAACAUUCAGAUGAUUUUAUAAAUAAGCCAAACCAGAACAAAGUCUUGGCUUUAUUUUUGAGAAAGUUCCAUAUCUGCAGCGGUGAUAAUUCCUGGUCUUUAAAAUGAUCCUUACAAAGGUGCUCGGAUUUCCCAUCUUCAAUAGAACUUCUAAAAAUAUGUUACACAUACCUGUCCUCCAUCCAAGCAACACUAUACAAGUCACCCAAGCAGGUUUCAUAUUCUGGGGGAGGACUAGGAUCCUCUCCUGGGCAAUAGGUUCCCCAACUGCUUUCUUCUGCAUUUGCGGCUGUGGUGGCAUAGAUAUUCAGACCUUCAGGAAGAAGGCCCUCGAAUAUACUUCCAGAUUCACAAGCUUCAAGAUAAAAUACCUACAGGUUUAAAAAUACAAUCAUAAAACUUAUAUUUGAUCUAAGUGAAUAUAGACUGCAUCUAGAAUAGGUUUGAUUUGGGAUUUACCAAGCUAUUAUAGGUACCAGAAGCAUGCUUCUUCUUUAAGACUUCGAUCAGAUCAUUAGCAUAAAGGUAAGGACUAGUUGGCAUACCUGACAAAAAAUCACAAUAUGGACUUUAUGCAGUUAAUUAAUCAUUCAGAAAAUAAUUCUUCAAAAUUAAAGUAAUGAAAGGAUCAGUAAACUGGAAUAAAAGAAUAGCAACUAAAAGCGUAAGUUCAGAAUUUUUUCAGAGAGCUAUUUCUGAGGAGCUACUAACCGAGCACCCCAGGACCUCCAUGAUCAGAAUAGUAUAUGAAAAUAUGAUCAUUCGGACCACUGUCCAGAACCUUCCCACUACCCCCUGAAAGAGCUGUUUUGUUGCCAAGGAUAACAGCAAAAAAGUUAUCAACAGUAACAUCUUCUCCAGUAUAGUCCUGCCAUGAUUAAAUCCAUAACAGGAGGAAAAAAGUAAGUUUAAGAAAAUAAUAGUAAAAAAUUGAAGGUUUUGCCAGUGGGCUAAUACCUGAAGGAAAGAAAAAUACCUUUGGUACACCUUCAUAAACAUCUUCACCAUGUGGGCUGUUUAUGAUGAUUCCAGGCCUAGGGUUCUCUUCAUUGAAAGAGAUGUCAUCAUACAUGAAAACAAUGAUGUUUUCAUCUUUCAAUCCACCUUUCUUCAAGAGUUGAUAGGCAUGGCAAAUAUCAGCCUGAAACGAGGAAAACCAUCCAUUAGCUCUACACAGUACAGGAAGAAGUCAUAGAAAUUUAUGAUAUUAAACCAUAGCUAUCACAUGGACUACUGAAAUUUCAAUCCCCUCACACCACUUUUAACUUUAGACUCCUCCCAAUCAUUGGAAAAAAACCUCAAACAUCCAUUAAAUACCUAUUUUGAACAAUGAGCAGUCCCUACUUCUAUUCCAACAUUUUCCAUCACAUGGUCCAUGACUCCAUGAUUUCCCAGCCUAGUUUUGACACGGAAACAAAAAAUUGUAUUGUCAAUGUCCGAAGCCUAAGCACUUUGAAUGUAAAGCCCACAAUAGUGGAACCUAUCAAACCACUUGCUGGGUAUGCCACUGGCUCGAAACUAGCUGCUUUGAUUGAAUUUCUAAAUAGGCUACUUUAAAAACUAAAAUUCUAGAUAAAAGAGUUGCUCCCGAUCAAGAGAAGCAUCAUAUGUAGAGUUCGGAUUCUUUUCUUCAAAUUUGUGUUUUGUUCUUCUAUCAUUUCCCCCCCUAAUACAAUCCUCUGACCCUUAAACAACACCAAAAUUAUAGAGCAUAAAUUAGAUUGAAAAACAGUAUGAUUCAGCACAAGAAGGAAAAGAAAAUGAUUGAAUGUCUAAUGGCAUGAUUGCCAUAAUACAUCCAAAAUCCAAGGCCCUUUUUCCUCCAACACUGCUUGCAAGAGAUGUGAUUUAAAAGAUAUGAUUGCAUGGAAUGAGUAAAAUAAAGAAUACAUCUAACAGCUAUGUUUUCCAUUGGGAGGCCUGCAAUGAGUAAAAUGAGAAAUCUAUUUGACAUUUCUCAGACAUGAAAAAAGGAAUAUCAAGUAGCUUCCCAAUAAUCGAAGUGAAAUAAAUUCAAACCAGAAUAUGUUUUCUAAAUGAUAAUUAAUUCAUCCAAGAAAAUAUGCACAUAUUAGCAUGCUUUGCAAGUAGUUUCAGAUCACAGACAGACAUGCUUGUUAGACUAAAAAUACAAAGAAGAAGUCCCUUUCUCCAUCUUUGUUUCACAUAAUUAGGGUAAUUAGGGCCUGUUUGGCAAAGUUUUUUUAAUAAGUUUGAGACCAAUUCUUACGGCCAUGCCUGGAAACUGUUCUCAAGAACAGGUUUUUGUUUUUGGUAACAAAAAAAAGCAUGAGAUAAAUUGUUCCAAAAACAAAUUUUUGAAAAUCGUUUUAAAAACAUAUUAUUUUCUGAUAGUAUAUAUUUUAAUUAUUUUCAUCAAACAUAAGCACUGCAUAUAAAAAUUAUUUUCUCUGUGCCUGUUUUUAACUGUUUUCUAAGUUCUAACUUAGAAAACAGUUUGUUUUUUUUUUAACUUUUUCAAAAACAUUUAACCAACAAGCUCUUAAUAUCCUAAAGACAAACCUUUCCUCUUUUCGUUUGCUGAGGAAAUAUCGAAAGACAAACCUUUCCUCUUUUUGGUUGCGAAGGAAAUAUCGAAAAAGUAUAGAUUUUGAGUCCACUGAUUGCUGCUAUUUUUGUUUCUUAAAACUGAAAAACUCAGCUCCACAAAACCAAAUAAUUACACUGGCGAUUUAAGCCUAGUUCAGUGAAGUAUUUUCAGUUUCAACAGGUGAUAAAAAUAAAAAUUUUAUAAUCCAGAAUUUUGAAUUCCUUUCUUUUUCCUGUACUUUCUCAGAAACCAUUCAGAACCUAAAAGUUAGUUAAAAUCAUAAACCCAUAGAAAAAAAACACUCAAAAAUCAUGAAUCUCACCAAUGUUUACUGUUUUAACUCGCUGUAUCGUACAAACAGAAAAUAUAUUACCGAAAAGAAGUGCAAUCAAUCCCUACUUGAAAAACCCAAAUAAAAAAUUAAAUUCAUGCAGACAAAAAAAAAAAAAAAAAAACACCUUCAUCCCCCAAUAAAUCAACCAAAAAUAUACACUGUUAGUAUCAUCUCAAAAUCCAAGAGUUAAACUUAAAAAUAAAAUAAAAUAAAAUAAAAAAAUCAUAUAUAUAUACAUAAAGCAAUGUAAAUAAAAACUUUGACUUCAAGCAAAGAGAAUCACCUGGUGCCUAUAAUUCCAGUAACCGUUAGAUCCAGCUAUCAGAACCGCCCAUCUGGUCCCGGCAGAUUCGGCGCCGGUAUCAUCGUCGGCAGCACCACCCGGGCGGAAGAACCUAGAAGCUUCGGAGGGUAGAAGGAGGCCAUUAUCUCCGGCGAAGUGACGGCCUCCAGCGACCAAGGUGGAAAGCGCUAGAAAUGCGGCGACGGCGGCCGGAAAGAUAGUCAUCGGAGCCGAUAGGAGGAAUCUGAUCGGAGAGACGGUGAAUAGAGACGAAUGGAAUGGUAGGAGGAGAUUAUAACUGGGAGGAGUGGUCCACGUCUUUGACUUUUCCUAAUUAAAAGGAUGCCUAGCUGAAUCUGAACCCUCCACGUAAGCAUCAGAAGAGAGUGGGUGGGCCCAUCGUGCAUCCUUUUGUUUGGUCGGUUAAGCUACGCAUACUGAUUGGCGGGGUGGGGGCGUUACUUUUCUGCCUGUGUGUGUUGUUUGUUUGUGUGAUAAAACGUGUUCAAAGGCCAUGUUUGGUUAAUAGGAAAUUUAAAGAAAAAUACAAGGAAAGAAAAAAAAUAAAAAUAAAAAAUAAUGAGAAAAAAAUAAAUUUAAAUUCAAUAAAUUAUUUUUAUAUAUUAUUCAAAAUUAAAUUUACUUAUUUGAUCAUUUUUAUAAAAAUUUAAAGUAUUAAAAUUCAAAAAAAAAAAAAGGAAAUUUGGUUUUCCUAAUAAUGAUUUUUUUUAUUCUUAUUUUAAAAGAAUACAAAUUAUUUAUUCCAACAUUUAAAAUAUGACCUGUUAUUUUCCAACUUAGGGUAUUAUGGUAAUUUUCUUUUUCUUUUCUUUAAAUCAAGGUUAUCUAUUUUGUCAUUGAAGCUGUAUCUUAUCAUUAUUUGUCUUUUUCAAGUCUUAUUUUAUAUUUUGUAUGAAUAUAUAUAUAUAUAUAUAUAUAUAUAUAUAUAUAUUAAUUUUCAUUGAAAAUGAAGUCUGAUGGCACAUGUUCAUAAAAAAACAAAAAAGAAAAAAAAAACCAAAACAAUUCAAAAAAUCCAAGCAUUUUUUAUUUUUCUAUUCAAAUGUAAGACAAACUCAUUAGAAUUUAGAGUUUGAUAAAUUACUAAAGAUGGAGUUGGACUUAAAAGACUGAUUUUAAAUUAAUUUAAAAUAUGUUAUUUAAUUUUUAUUUUAAGUAUUAAAGUUGUAGGAUAAAACUUAAUUAUUUUUUUAAAAUUAUUAAAUUAAUGUAAUAAUUCUCGUGGGAAUGUAAAAAGAAUUGAAUUUGAUUUAAAUCUAAAUAAAGCUUAAUGUUAUUAAAUGUUUAAAUAAUUUAUAUUUUCUGGUUUGCAUAUUUUUUUUUAAUUUAUUUAUUUUUAAAUAUUUUGAUUUGAUUGAUUAAAAUAAUAAUAUUUGAAAAAAAAACCUUAUGAAACGUAAUUUAACAUAUUUCUAAAUAUUCGAAAAUACCAUGAUUUAUUAUUAGUAAAAAUUACAUAAGAAUUAAUGAUUCUUUUUUCAAUAUUAUUGAUUCUAAUAGAUAUUGAAAUGGACAUGAAUUAUGUUAUAAAUUUUAAUUAAAAAAUUAUUAGCAUUGAUAAAAAAAAAAAUACUAUUGUCAAUUUGAUUUCUAAAUAUAUUUUAAGUCAAAUCAAUCCCCAAACAAAAAAUGAAAAAUCAUUUGAUAGAUUAAUAAAGACGAGGGCACGUGCUAUGAUUGAUUAAUUUCACAUGAAAAGUCGUUUGAUAGAUGAUUAUGAUUAGAAUUAUUCAACCAUUGAUCUCCAAAACAAUUUCAUAAAGAAAAACUCGAANNNNNNNNNNNNNNNNNNNNNNNNNNNNNNNNNNNNNNNNNNNNNNNNNNNNNNNNNNNNNNNNNNNNNNNNNNNNNNNNNNNNNNNNNNNNNNNNNNNNNNNNNNNNNNNNNNNNNNNNNNNNNNNNNNNNNNNNNNNNNNNNNNNNNNNAACAAUUUCAUAAAGAAAAACUCGAAAAAAAAUAAAAUUUGUUAAGAAAGUUGAAAUGAAUAUUAAAACAAGAGACUAGUUUUACUUUAGAAUUUGUAUAUGCCGAGAUUUUAAAAAACAUUUAUAAUAUAAAAACGUUUUUAAGAAAAUACUAGGUAUUUUGCAAAAUUUAUAAUGCGUAUAGCGAUAAUUUUAUAAAAUGUUUUUAAUCUUUUUUUAAUAUUUGAAAAUUUUUAUUUUUUAAGUAUUAGAAAUAUUAGAAACAUUUCCUAAAAUCAUCUUCAAACGUAAUCUUAUAAAGUACUUUAAAAAAAAUUUAAAUUACUUAUAGUGUUUUUUUAAUAAAUAUUUGAUAGGUGGUUUUCUAAAAAAACAAUUAUAACAAAAUCAUUUCAAAAGUAUUCUAAGAGUCCGUUUGACAAUAAUUUUAAAAAGUAUUUAAUUUUUUUUUUAUCAUUUAAGCAUUAGAUAAACUAAAAAAAAAAUUUAGAAUUACUACCAAACGCAACUUAAGAAUCCAUUUAGUAGUGAUUUUAGGAAGUGUUUUUAAUAUUUAUAAUACUUGAAAUUUUUUAUCAUUCAAUUGUUAUAAAUGCUAAAAACGCUUUUCAGAAUCACUCAUAAAUGCAUUUUAAAUCACUUUUAAAGUAAAUGAUUUUAAUAAAAAUGUUUUAAAGUGGAUUUGAGAAUGCUUUUCUUGAAAAUGCUUAUAAUAAAGCAUUUUCUGUGAUGUCCCAUGUCGGAUAGGGGAGAAAGAUCUUGACACUAUAUAUGUAGAGGCUCCUCUUAACCAAGUAGACACAUUUUAAAGUCGUGAAGGCCCCCUUGGGCCUAAAGCAAACAAUAUCUACAUGGUUUGAUGCGGGUCGUUAUAAAUGGUAUCAAAAUCAAUCCCCGACCCUGGUGUGGGGGUUUGUUUGGCUCCGUAAGGGAUGUUUAUCUGUUUGACCCCACAAUUCCAUGGGACACAACAAGGACGUUGUGUCUGCAUGGGGGGGUGUUUAUGAUGUCCCACAUCGGAUAGGGAAGAAAGAUUUUGGCGCUAUAUAUGUAGAGAUUUCUCUUAACCAAGUAAAUGUAUUUUAAAGCCGUGAAGGCCCCCUUGGGUCCAAAGUGGCCAAUAUNNNNNNNNNNNNNNNNNNNNNNNNNNNNNNNNNNNNNNNNNNNNNNNNNNNNNNNNNNNNNNNNNNNNNNNNNNNNNNNNNNNNNNNNNNNNNNNNNNNNCCCAAAUGAUGGAGACUUAAGGAGGGAGCUUUUGAAGGAAGCUCAUUAUUCUAGGCUUGCGAUCCACUUAGGAGGGACAAAGAUGUACAAAGAUUUGAGACAGAAUUAUUGGUGGUCAGGUAUGAAGCGAGAUAUUGCACAAUUUGUGGCUCAAUGUUUGGUGUGUCAACAAGUGAAAGUUAAGCAUCAACGACCAACAGGAUUUUUGCAACCACUUUCUUUUCCUGAGUGGAAAUGGGAACAUAUUACUAUGGAUUUUAUGAUAGGGUUACCAAGGACCUUAGGAGGCAAUAAUGCAAUUUGGGUGAUUGUUGAUCGAUUGACAAAGUCUGCUCAUUUUCUGCCUAUGAAAGUCAAUUUUUUUGUGGAUUGUUUGGUUUCUCUUUUAUAUUAAGGAGAUUGUGAGAAUGCCUGAUGUACUUGUUUCUAUAGUAUUUGACAGAGAUCCUCGUUUCACUUCUAAAUUUUGGCAUAGUUUAUAGAAAGCAUUGGGUACUAAGUUGAGUUUUAGUACUGCUUUUCAUCCAUAGAUUGAUGGUCAAUCAGAGAGGGUAAUUCAGGUCUUGGAAGAUUUGUUGAGAGCUUGUGCUUUGGACCUAAAAGGUAAUUGGGAUUAUUAGUUGCCCCUAAUGGAGUUUGCCUAUAAUAAUAACUUUCAAGCUAACAUUGGGAUGACACCUUUUGAGGCGUUGUAUGGUAGGAGAUGUCGAUCUCCUGUUUGUUGGGAUGAUGUUGGAAAGAAGAAACUUUUGGGGCCUGAACUUGUGCAGUUGACUGUUAAAAAGGUCUCUUUAAUUAAGGAAAUAUUAAAAGAACACAAAGUAGACAAAAGAGUUAUGCUGAUAAUCGCAGACGAGAUUUAGAGUUUGAGGUGUGAAAUGACUGUCACGCCCUUGGAGUGGGUCUUGGGGUGUGACUGAAUGGUAUCAGAGCCGAUCAUCGACCCCGGGUGGGGGUUUAUUUGGCUUCGUAAGGGGUGUUUAUCUGUUUGACCCCGUAAUCCCAUGGGACACAACAUCCUCGUUGUGUUUGAAUGGGGAUGGGGGGGGGGGGGGGGGGGUUUUUUAAGUUUCCCCUUCGAAAAAGGGGAAAAAACUUGGCCCCUUAUAUUUAAAAAUUUUUUUUUAACAAAUAAAAGGCUUUUUAAAGCCUGAGGGGCCCUUUUGGCCCAAAACGGGAAAAAUUUUCCCAAUUGGGGGGUGGGCAUUUCAAAAAAAAUUAAAACCCAACCCCCACCCCCGGGUGGGGGUUUUUUUUGGCCCCUAAAGGGGGUUUUUUUUUUUUUCCCCCCCACCCCCUUAAAAACAAUUAGAAAUUUGUUUCUUCCCGGGGGGGGUUUUUUANNNNNNNNNNNNNNNNNNNNNNNNNNNNNNNNNNNNNNNNNNNNNNNNNNNNNNNNNNNNNNNNNNNNNNNNNNNNNNNNNNNNNNNNNNNNNNNNNNNNGUUUGUGAUGCUCCACAUCGGAUAGAGGAGAAAGAUCUUGACGCUAUAUAUGUACAGAUUCUUUUUAACCUACUACAUGCGUUUUAAGCCAUGAGGGCCCAUUUGGCCCUAAAGCGGACAAUAUCUACACAGUUGGGAGUUGGUCAUUACAAAUGAUAUCAGAGCCGAUCCCCGACCCCGGUGUGGGGGUUUGUUUGGCUCCCUACGGGGUGUUUGUUUGUUUGACCACGCAAUCCCAUGAGACACCCUGAGAAUGUUGUAUCUGCAUGGGGGGUGUUUGUGAUGUCUCAUGUUGGAUAGGGAAGAAAGAUCUUGACGCUAUAUAUGUAGAGACUCGUCUUAACCAAGUAGACGCGUUUUAAAACUGUUAGGGCCCCUUUGGGCCCAAAAUGGACAAUAUCUACAUGGCUGGGUGCGGGUCGUUAUAUUUUCUCUAAAAAUAUUUUUAAGUAAAAUGUUUUCUCUAAAAAAAAAAAUUUAAUAAGUAAUUCUUUAAUAAACAAUUCUACCAAAAAAUUUUCAAGUGUACUCUAGAGCACUUUUAAAAUAAAAUAUUUUAAUAAAAAAGUUUUAAAUUGCAUUUGACAAUGCUUUUCAUUGAAAUACUUAUAAUAAAAUCAUUUUCUCUAAAAAUAUUUUUAGAUAUUUUUAUAUAGAAUUCAUGGAAAUUAGAUAUAUCUCUCAAUUUGUUUUAUUUGUUUAUUUUUACGAUAGGGGUGAUGCUGACUUUUAAAAGAGGUUGUGUUGUUAAUAAAAUAAUAAAUUAAAUAAGUGAAGGCUGGAAGGUUGGAAGAGGAUGUGUUGUUCAAAUAAUAGAACAAUAGAAAGGAUUGUAAUGGCUCACAUGGGUUGAAGUGAGUGAAAUAAUUCAUUGAUAGUGAGAUUUGGUGGUGGCGGCUCCAUUGAAGCCAAAAAUGAUGAUGGUGAUGUGAUCUUGAUCUUCAUAAUAAAAAUAGAAUGAUAUUUUAGUUAAAAAUAAAAAAUAAAAAAUAAGGCAUUUCAUGAAGACAAAUAAUAAUAAUAAUAAUAAUAAUGUUAAUACAAAUAAUUUUUAUUUAUGUUUAUGUUGGGUGUGGAUCAAAUCUUUGAGAGGCUUCUUUCAAGGUAAAUCAUUUUAUAAUUUGUUAUUUGCUUCAAUUUAUAAAAUAAAUCAAAUAAUAUUUUUUUGAAGUAUACAUUUCUCGGUUUACAAAAAUAAAUUGAGAAUAUCAUAUGACUUGUUCGUGGUCUUGGUCCAUAGAUGAUAAAUUGUUGACUUUCUUUAUUCUUGAUAAGGUAGUGAUAUAGAGUAAAAAAACAUUAUAAUGCUAUUUUUCACCAUAUAUUGUAUAAUAAAAAUAAUAAUUUUUGAAAAAAAAAUCAUAUAUCAAUUAAUUAUUUAGAAAUAACUUCAAAUAAAUUUUUAAAAUUUUAAAAAUAAUUUUAUUUUUCAAAUAUCUAAUUUAAAAAAAUUACUUUUAACCUAUCAAAAUUACUCCAAAUGGACUCAUAUAAAAAUAUAUUUUACAUAAAGUUAUUAUAUAGUCAAAUCAUAUUUAAAUCUAGUAAAGUUUUUCACAUGAUACCUAUAUGGUUGGGGUUGCUUUUCCAAUUAGUUUUGAUUUUCCCACAAGUAAAGUUAAGUGAACAUGAUCCAAUCAUAAGAAAAUUAAUUUUCAUUGAAAUUAAAUUAAAUUAUUGAAAUUUUAUAAAAUAUAAGAAAAUAAUAUGGUUUCUCUAAAAAGGAAUUUUUUUUUAGUAUUUUCCUUAAUUUUUUUUUUCAAAAAUUUUCAUGAAAAAAAAUUUGUUAACAUUUUUUGUCUUUUCUAUCUCUUAAAUAAAGUUAAGAAAAGUUUGAAAAUUGGCAUUAAAUAGUGCCAAUUUGAAUUUCUCUUAAAUUUUAUCAUAGGAAAGAUGGAUGGCAAGUUGGGAUUAAUUAGAAUGCGACUAUGAAGAUUUUUAGUUUGUAGUUAAUCUCAAUUUUAUGUCACAUUAUUAAUUAUUGUCUUAAGAUUAUUAUUUUAAUGAUAAGAUGAUAAUCUACUACAUAAGUCACGUAAUAAAUGAAUGAAAUUAAAAAAAAUGUUCAAAACAUUAUUAAUGUGAAUUAUUAUUCUUAAUUACAUAAUUUUUAUUCAACUGUCAAUGGUUUCUAUUUGUGAUUUUUAAUUUUUAAAUAUUAAUUUUAUAAUCUCAAUUUCAAUUAAAAUUAAUCUCAAUUAUAAUAUUCAUCAAAUGGAUCUAAUUAAUUAUGUUUUUUUUUAUUAUUAAAAUUAAGAAUAAGCGGCACAUAGAAUAUUCAUUUACCAAUUGGGGAUAGGAAUAUCCUCGACUCGUCCAAGAAAAGCCGAGCGUACGAUAUCCAGCUAUCCAAACAAUCCCUACUUUCUUCAUCACCCAAUUAAAGACCCAAACCAACAUAGCCCGCCGAUUCCAGAGCUCAGACCACAACCAAACACGCCAUAUCUGGGCACUACUGCCUGUUGCCAUUAAGGUUCCACUCCUUUCUUCUGUUUCUUCAUAUGCUAGGAUUUAUCGAAUCACUGAAAAAAUUAGGGUUCAGUCGUCACUUUCUAAUCACAUAGUACCAUCUGUUCGGUUGCUGAGAGAAUUGAGAAAAAGAAAAGAUAGUUUUCUUUGUGCCGUGUCCUGGAGAAAUAGUAAUCUGAAAUCAAAAUUUUGAUUUUCUUCUCACAUUUUCUCAGACACCCAAACGGAGCCGGGAUGGACGAUUGACUGGUUUUUUUGGUGGGCGGUUUAUUCUUCUGCGUUGGGCGCACUGUUCAAUUAUAAAAUUGCCAAGUGACCUGAUUGUUUUGAAGGCAAAUUCUAUUGAAUUAUAUAACGAAUGCUAGGUUUUUAUAUAUAUAAACGCGUGUUUGUGUGUGUGGAAGGAUUUUCUUGUUGAAUGUGUGAUUGUUUUGGUUGCUGGAUAUGUUCUACUAAAAAUUGUAUUUUAUGAGGGUUUUGGCCUAAAUCUGGAACCAUUGAUAAUGGCAACCAUUCCCUGUAAUGUCCUGAUGUUAUGCUGUCAAUUUGAAUUUGUUUCUGCUUUUAGAGAAUUCUUUUGAGCAAUAUAAUAUAGUUAUUUCUGAUGUACAUCUCUAUUUCACCCAUCUAAAAGCGCCUAAAUAGGAAUUUUUUUUUUUAAUUUUUAAUUUAAAUUUUAGAUAUUGUUAGCUUCUAUGAUUUGUACAUUGCAGGUGUUUCAUAAAUUUGGAUCUCUCUUUUUUAUUUGUAAUUAUGUUUCAGUCUAUAAUUUAUAUAUUCCAAAUCUUUGCAGUGUGGGUGUUUCUUCAUGGAGGGAGGAGACAACAUAUUAGAAGCAAUAUAUGAAGAGGAUGACUUAGAAGAUGUUGAGAUGCUUGAUAUAGAAGGAGAGCAUGUGGAUGUGGAAGAAGGAGAAUGUGUGGAUGUAGAAGGAGAGUUCAUGAAAGAGAAUUCACAAAGCAGUGGCCAAAUUGUGAAUACGGUGAAUCAAGAUGCUUGCAGUAAAAACCGCAGACGGAGGCAAAAUAAGAGGAAGAAUAAAAGGAAGAAGAGUGGUUCAGUGCCGAAAGUCACUGACAUAAACAGGUUCUAUUUUGUCAAAGAUUGUCAUGUUUUAUUUGUAGGAAAGGAAAAAGCUUUUGCUUGUUAUUAGUAUUAUAUUCUCUGCUUGCAACCAAUUACUUAUCAUGCAGGAAACCUGAAUUUACACAUUCCCUCUUGUGGAUUUUAGUUGAAAAUCUAAUUAAGUAUAGUGCAUUUAGUCAAUUUUUUAAAGUAAAGUAAUAUUUGUGUUGAGUUCACGAAUAAGAUACAAAGAAGAGAAGGUAGAAAGUUGAAGUGAAGUCAAAACUUGAAAUCGAACUUAGCAUAAGCCUUAUGCCAACCAUAUCUCAUCAUUUUACUACAUAGUUCAUAAGGCCAUAUUUAAUGUCAUGGGUCACAUGUCUUUUUUUCGUAGAUAAGAUAUACAUAACUUGUGCCAUGUUUUAUGGUAGACUAUCACAUCUUUUCUCAUAACCUCUAUCCACAUUCUUUUUGGCCUCUGGCCCUUGUUGUAUCCCCUUUCAAUUUAAGACAGAUCACUCAAUUCUGGUAGCUUGUGGUCUUUGUUCCAUAUUAUCAAAUCAUCUCUACUGAAUCUUUCUCAUCUAGUCCUUAUUAUUACCCAUAGAAGUCAAAGAUUCUAAUGAACUACUCUAUCUUUCCCUCCCAUCAGUAAUUUCAAAUUUGAAAUAUUUACUCUUUCUAUUGAGAAGGGAAAGGGAACUUGUGUGUGGUUCUGAGUUUCUUCUAAAUUAUGUUCUUUGCAGGUUUGUUUUAGAUACAUGCAAGCGUCUGAAGGAAAAGAAAUCAUACCUGGUCUGGACUGCUGUGGGUUGUCUUGGGGUAUCUGCAUUGAGUGAUCUUGUCAAAGAGGUAAUACUCUCAUCUAAUCUUGUGUUUAUGAGAGUGGGUGAAAAUAGAACUUUCUUGGCUUACUUUGUAUGCGAACCGAAAUGUCGUAGACUCCUAAAGGGAAGUUAAUGUGAUGGAUACUAACUACUAAGACCAUGAUGCGAUAUUCUAUUGACCAUGAUCAAAUUUAAUGAUACCCCUUUGGAUGUAAUUUGUUUUAUGGGCUAUAGUAUGAGCUUAAUGUUUCUACCACUUUUAAUUUUUGUUAGGAGGAUAUUAUCAAGCAAAUAAAUCUGAUCUCAAAAUGGAUAGAAGAUAUCAUUCAGAUAAACCUCUUGCAUGUUAAAUGGCUGUUGAACUGGAUUAAAAAUGUAAGUGGAACUCUAGUUUACAAAUCCAUUCAUCUGCAUCAACAAUAAAUGCUACCGUUGUUUACAAAUCCAUUGGACAAACAUUGCGUUUGUCUCCAAGUUUGUGGCUGCUUUGUACUGCUUGUUAUCUCUUCUUGGAAGGAUGUGUUCUCAUGUUCAUGAUGUAGUUGUCUUUCCAUGUGAUGUUGUGAACUUGCAAUUACAUUCUAACAGGGAAGACAUACAAUUUAACUUCCUUGAAGUUGCUAAUUAUUUAAUUUUGUUGUGUUUGCCAAAAAUUCUAGAUUGGGAAAAUUCGAUUUUCCUGAUGCUUCAUCCUUCCAGUGACCCUAUAUUGCAGAUGCCAUUUUUGAAUCAUAUCUAAUAUGGGCUAUGGUUGUCUGUCUCAACGUGUCUUAUAAGAUGUCUGAAGGUACCUUCUUGUGCACAUAAGUUCGUGGCCAUUACAAUCCAGCUAUAUGCUUUAUUAGACCUUUGUGUGCUUCAUGAACUUCUCUCCAUCACCUAUUUCGUUAUAUAUAUAUAUAUAUAUAUUCCCUUUUUAACACCUUUAAGUUUGUUACUUGUAUCUGUCCUGACCUUCACUGGUACUCCUAAAGGUUGGUCUGAUCUCAUGAUCCCUCUGCCUCUUACUUCAUUCCUCCUAAUAUAGAAAAUAUGAGAAAUAAGUCGUCAUUUGUUUUGGUAUAGAAAAGUAAGAUUCAUUUGGUUCCUGCAAGUAAAGGUGAGAACUUGGGUUUGUAAUUGACUUUCGACCAGCCGAGAGCUGACAAUUCUUAUUCACUCUGUUUAACACCAUAGUGCCUUUCCUAAUUUCUGAUGCACAGUAUUGUUUCCCUACCCUUGCAGAUGUCUCUUGCAGGAGUCAUUUUUUACUGCUUCUGAUCCCGUGGAUCUCUGAGCUGAGAUUUCCCCUGGCUGAACUGCUUCAUUGUUUCCUGUUGGUGUAGGUUAAUUUCAAAUGGCUUGGUGCAUUCUUUUUUAGAGUUUUGGCACUUCAUACGAGUAUAUGUUCCUAUCAGAAAAAGGAUUAUGGAUAGGAAAAAGUAUCAUCUCAAUUUUCAUAGGAAAAUUCAUCCACAAAGUCUGGUCUUCAGAUAAAAGUAGACGAUUUCACAAAUUCAACCAUUAAAAUUGGAUUGGACAGACUCCAUCGUACUAAUUUGGAACAAAGGUUUUGCCCAUUUCCUACUGCCAAUUAAGGACCCUAUGUAAGAUAUAUAGUGUAAGUUCUCAUUAUAUUUUUAAUGCUAGUGUUGUCUCUUGGUCUUUUUUUUUUUUCCUAUUCCUUCUUAACUUCUGUUAAUUUACUUCUCCUGUUUCAAUCCUCCUAUUACCCUUCAAUUGGAGGUCUUCUUAAUUUUUCCAUUAUGUGCAAACACACUAAUCUUACAGAAUCAACAUACCUAUGGUCCAACAGAAAUCUUCUCUUAUGUAAUUGGUAGGAAUUAUUUUCAUGAUGUAUUACAUCAUAUGCUUAGAAACCAUAACUACGAAUUUACAUAAAUAUAUAUUUGUGCAAUGAUGUAAUGGUUAAUAACCGGUGAUAGAAUGAAAGUCAAACUUCUUUCAUUGAUAGCUAUGAAGAGUGCUGAUUGAUAUUAGUGUUUUACACAAAGCUCUGAUCCUAUGUAUAAUUGCAAGGGAAAGUAAUAUUUGUUAUAAAGCAUGUUUGCUAUAGUAACUUGUGUUAGAUGUUUGUAUGUUUUCACAUUUCAAGUAUGAGCUGUUGAUUCCUUUUGUCAAGAUGGAAUUUAAUUCAUUUUGAAAAUGUCCUACCCCUUGUGAUAUUCUCAAAAUGUAAGGUUAUUUUUGAAAUUUUAACACAUCUUUAAAUUCUUUAUUCUCUACUAGAUUCCUUUUACUGUUGGAAUAUCUGUGAUGCAACAUAAAACUUGCAGGUGGAUGCAAUUCAAGCUUGUGGAGGUCAGAUGACAGCUGAUGGCAAACGCUCUAGAACAGGGGGUGGCAUAUUAUGGAGCAUAAUCAAAGUACGGGAUCCUAAUGCCUACAAAGAAAUAAUGAAAAGAGGGAAGGAAUUUGAGGUGUGUAGCCAAUCAGUUUUUAGCAAUUAAUCAACAACUUUUAUGCUGCUGGUAUUCCAUGCAUAUCCACGUGUUAUAUUUAGAGCAUAUUUCUUAAUAGGAGAUUUGGACCCUGGAAAUAUUUCAGACUGGCCCCAUUGGUCAUGUUUGGAGCAAGCAGAUGAACAAUCCUGAUAGAGAGAACACUUUUAAGGCUCCAUUGGUAAUAGGGAAAAAAGAUGCUAGGAAAUGUCUUCAGAAACGUUCCCAUCUUGUUACAAAAUGCCGACCCUGAAAAUUAAUUGUACAUGCAUUUUACAAUAGCAUUGAGGCCUAUGCUUCCAAGUUUCAAUUUCCAUUGAAACAGUGGGAGACUAGUUCUGAUUGAAGAAACGCAGGAGUGCAGUACAUCCCUUAUUCAUCCUGCAUUUUGGAGUACUUCAAUUGUAAACAUGAACAUGAGUUCUGGGAAGUUCUGAGUGAGAUUUUCUUUUAUUUUCUUGUACUAUAGAAUGCUACCUCGGGAUAGAUUUCAAACCAUUCAAGCUGGUGUUGUCAGUUCACUGCUAUAAAACAAGGGUCAAGUAAAUUGGGAAAUAAUUCAGUGGAGCUUUGACCUAUCAACCUUGAAUGGCUCUAUGCUCAGUGCCUUAUCUCUUAGGUAUCUUACAUUCUUACUUUUGGCUUUACAUGAUAUUUGCCCCUCUAUUGAGGCUGCAAGUUAGUCUGGUCAUGCUAGGAAUACCCAUCAAUAAUUGGUCCAUCUCAAAGAAUUGAGUGGCCUCAUAUAUUAUAUGGUUGCUAGUCUAUUCUUCUGAUAAGUCUAUUUUACCUAACCCUUGUCCUAAAUAUUUGGGGCUUUACAUACCAAAACAACAUGGGGCAUUCCUUAUCAACAUGAACUAAUUUCAGUUUUGGGUAAAUAAAUCUGUUUUUCCUUUGUGCUUCAUCUGGGAUUAUAUAAGCAUAUUUUAGUUAAACGAUAAGCCAUUAUGUCUCUUUCACCCCCUUUAUCACUCUUAUUUUUUAUCAUUCCUGUCAUGCUUGUAGUUCCUUCAAGUUGAGCCACAAUGCCAUUCCAAAAACAGUGACACCUUAAGAAGCCAUUCCAACAAGGACAAAACCUUAAUCAUUAAUGGGUGUCAGUAGCAAAUUUUAUUUUGUAUUCUGCUCCAUGGGGACCCAUAUAUUUUGCCCACUUUAAGGUCUCUUUUCUGUUGUCUUCUCAGUGCCUCAAUUCAUGGAUUUCAAAGCUUUUUGCCAUCCUCAUGUUCCCAAAUUGCAUUACAUCAUACAUUUUAAUUUUCAACUUUCAAGUUGUAGAUUAUAAUUGCUGUUAUAUUAUUUACCAUUUGCAGAAGCAAUUCAGGCAACCAAACAGUAAGCAACCACCAGCGCAGAACAAAGAGGCAUCUUCUCAAAAUAUUGUCCAUACAUCCAUUGAUGAUACUGCAAUCAACGUUUCAGAUGGUUCCCAGCUUACACCUCCAGUCCAAGAUCAACUUGAACAACCUAAUGCUGGAGGAAACCGUGUCUCUGUUCAUAAUAGGAUGAGGGUACCUGUUACAUACGAUGACUUGCUUGUGGAGAAUCCCAAAGAUGAUUAAACGUGAUUUUUGGAGUGAAUUGGCUUGGGGUGGAUCCCAAAGAGGCUUUGUCAUUUCUUUGGAAGUUUCUUGACAGACCCUGAUGGCAGUGCAGAUACCUUUCUAAAGAAGAGAGAGCAUAUUUUUUCCUCUCUUUAAAGAGAUUAAGAUUUUGUCCUCUAGCUUUACAGCAAUAUAUUGGUUUGUUUUAAAAGAAUUCUUCUAGUGGCACUGUGGCUUUUCUGCUUCUAGUUCUCGAGUGCAGGACAUGUUGCAUUCGGGUGUUGGAGCUGCGGGAAGAAACCCCAUCUAGCAAUCAGUUCUUUGUUUUGAUGUUGGAUGGGGAGGUGGGUUUUGUUGGGACUCGGGAGAGAUGUGGGAAUUUCUGAUUUAAGAUUAAUCAGUUGCAGUUAUUCCUUCUUAUGAAGUGUUUCUUAAAGAAGACUUAGGUCCAAAAACUUACUUGAAAAAUCACUUAUUCAAAAUAUAUUGACCUGGCUAGAAAAGCUUCAAAGCUCUGUCUCUGUACCCAAGAAUUGAAUUCAAAUUGUUAACAAAAAUUUCUUAUGAUCUCCUAGUUUUUCAGCCAGGAAGCCUUUCCAAGUUGUGGACAAGGUUUAUAUCAAGACAUGAUGUGGUACACAUCUAUGGAGGUGCAUGGCAUGCUAAAAUUUAGGACUGAUUUUGAGAAAGUGUUGUAGUGUUUUUUUUAUUUGAUAAAAUCACUUUUUUCAAGCAAUAAUUUUUUUGUUAUAUAAUAUAUUUAUCAAAACAUUUCUUUUUUAUUAUUUAUAUUCAAGUACUAAUUGAUUCUCUUUAAAAGAAUUUCUCCAAUUAACGAGCAAUCAACAAAAUACUGUAAAUAAAAGCACUUUAACCAAAAUCACUCCGGAUUGGGUUUUACAUCCUAAUCUAUACAUUGGUGCCUUCUUUUCAGUCAUAUCUUCAGCGCCUGCAUCAUUGAGAUAACUUCAAUGCCCAAAUUAUUAUCAAUUUUGCUUUUCUCCUUUCCUGACUAUUGCAGUGAAAAAGAGAGGAAAUCCUCAACUGGGAGGGUUGCAGGCUUGAAGCACUUGCUGCCUCUUCUGCAAGAAGAGGCAGACCACAGUGCAGUCAUCCACCUUUGAAGAAGGGAACUUGUGCUUCCAUGCAGCAGUGGCCGCAUCCACCACUGCUUUCGCCGCCUCCUCUUCACUCUCUGCUGACCAAACUAUCCCUGCAACUUGGCUGUUACUCAGCACAUCCCACACCUGAAUCAAAACAGAGUAUGAAAAUGAUCAACAUCCUUCCCAAGAGUUAACACAAUCGUUAUUUUGUUCAUGAUUCUAGAGGUGAUAUUUCAAUGAAGUUGGCCUUACCCCAUCAGUUGCUAGAACAAGAAACUGGUCAUUGGAAGCUAGACGGCGAUAUGAGAUAUCAGGGAUGGCGAUUAUGCCAUGGUUCUUGAGCAGGAAGUCUCCAAAAGCUCGAGACAUGGCUAGGCCAGGUGAGUCCUCAUUGGGCAACCACACGCGCUGAAUGUGCGGCUCUUCCUUCAGCGAGAUCACUCUGCCAUUGCAUUUCCUUAUUCGGUCUGCCUCCACUGCAUUGCCAGUGAUAUAGUUUCUAAGAAAUAUGAGAACAAAAGAUGGGAAUUGCCCAGAAGAUAAGCUUAAUCAAAGAUCUUACUGGGCAAGCCAGGCUUCAAAUCAGUAGUUAACUGAACAGCAGUGACUCCAUUCUCAGUAAUUGUCCCUAAAACUGCUCUUGAAUCGCCAAGAUUAGCUAUAACAAGAUCGUCUCCCUGAAAAAAAGUUGAAGUGAAUUGAGUUAUUUAUUUGAGAAAUGAUUUGUUCAAUUCACUUUCUUUGUUUUUUUUUUACCUGUUUUACUAUGACUACAGCAGUGGUUCCACUGCAAGAGCAGUCCAAAUCCUCUUGAAGCUUAAUCUCCUUGUCCAUCACCUUGAAAGCUCCAACACAAGCCUCUUGCCAUUUCCUGAAAAUCUUGUUUGGCAUCACCAUGCCAUCUCUUCUUUCCUUUUGAGUAUGCAAAUCUUCACCCUUCAUUGCAGUAUUCGCUUUUAAGAGCGCGUUCUUUUGGUUUAGCAGCAAUGAUGGUAAGUGGUUUCUCACAAUUUUGCUCACUAUGUGACCAUUCUUUCCAUGGCCGUCAAAAACUCCACAGAAAGCUCCAUCUUCCAUUCCAUAGCCCUUGCAGAAGAAAAAAAAAAGUUUGAAAACAACUAUACUAUAUACGCCUCUCAACAUGAAGAAUACUCUGGAUUAUAUCAGUAAAAUUCAUAGAAGAACAAGCUUUGAUCAUCAUUUUCCAAAAGAAGACAAAAAAGAUGGAACAUAUCAACUAACCUGAUGGAGGAUGGCAGCAUCUUGGUUUAGUCCUUUGCUUCCUGGCUGAGAAUGAAGAGAGCCAAGCCUCUGAAUUCCUAUAGAAGCAGUGGAAUCUUCAAAGAAUACCAUAUUCUCAUGGCCAUCUCCAGAGUCUUGAAUCUCUGAAGAUACAGUGGAUAUGCAGAUUCCCAUCUCAGCUGACAAAACACCAAGUUUUAAAAUCCAAGUCUCCUCAAGCAUAAAUUUAAAGACCCCAAAAUCCUAUAUUAUAUGCAGAAGUGGCUCCCAGUGUGCUCAAAAUAACACCUUGGUUCAAUAAUUCACUGUUUUUUUUAAUGUUGGGUAUUAUUCUAGGCUACCUAAAGGGCAUAUGAGGUGUACCCAUGUAGGAUUAACUCUUCAAAAACAACUAUUUUCAUUGAUUCAAACUAAAUGCUGCAUCUAAUUUACGAGGGCCAUAAAAUUCAAAUAAUUCAAACUUACUGUUCCUUUUUUUCUUUUUUCUCUUUCGUUAGGUGAAAUAGUGAUUGAAAUGUGUGAACAGUGGCAAAGCAGGUAAUUGCAAAUGGGUGUUUGGGCCCUAGGAAAAAAGAAAAGAAAAGAAAAGGAAAGGAAAAAAAGGAGGGUUGACCCUUGAUGCAGGUUGAUGCUUACUUUACAGGCAAGGGAGAUAGGAAAAGUGGCAAUUCCAAUUGGGUGAGAGUCCCUUAACAGUUUGGACAAAACCAUGAAAAGAUGCAACCAGUGGGUCAAGCAUUACAAAUAAUUUAUUAGUAAUCAUAGUGUGAUUAAGGGUUUAUAAAUGGGGAUUAGACCCACAUUCAAUCCAUCCCCACCUAUUAAAGUCUAAAGCUGACAAGUCAAUCAAAUGAUCCUGACCAUAAAACAAGUGGACUUUUUUUGGGUGAUUAGGAUCCUUCUGUAUAGGUUCUGACUUUUCCCAUAUCUGUGGGGCUUCUUAAGAUAGUCCCAUUUACUAUAGAAUAUGUAAGUUCUAUAGUAUGAAGGAAAAUAUUUUGGGAAGAAAGCAAAUGGGAGUAUAAGAAAAGACUCUUUCAAAAUGAAAAACUUUAGCCGCUCAUGAAAGGGCAGUAGUGCUGAAAAAUACUCAAAAACUAUGCCAUCAACAGAAGUGAUGAUGCCCUUGUCAUUUUCAAGAAAUGAUUAUUAAAAGGCAACCCAUUUGAUUGGAGUUCUAAGAUAUUUUUCUGACUUCAUAUGGCUCUUGGGCCUGCAACAAAACCAUUGACUGCAUUUACAUUUUCCUUUCUUCAAACUCCCUUGAAUCCAACUGAUUCCAUUAUUUUGAAUCAAUAAUUGAACCCAAUACUUUUAAUAUUUUGAUUCAAAUAUAGGUAUUUGAUUCUUUAAUCAAUCGAGUAUUAACAAAGGGCUGUGGCAUAGAAGAGUUGAAAAUGAGCAGUUGUGGCUGAUAAGCACUACACAAGAUAUGGGAAAAGUAUUGAGUUAGACUGAUUCAUGUAUCAAAGCACUUUAAUGGAUGAAAAGCUCUGGAUUUAUCCAAAAUUUUGAAGUAAUAUGCUUUAGGAGGAUGCUGAGGUGGAUCGCAAUCCCCAUUUUCUUGCUCCUCCAGCUCAUCAGUCCCCGCAUUUUUAAAAAAUUUGUAACACACCCAGCCCUAAUUCUUAUUCGUCAACACUCAGAUUUGUUCAAUGAAUUCAAAUAAUUUUUGCCACCCUGUAUAAUUCAAACCCUUUUCUUUUUUGUAUAAGUGUAAGACCUUAUCAAGAAUUACAUCUAGAUGAUUAUAUUUUUAAUGGGUUUCCAAUUAUAAACAUAAAUUAUUGUUCAGUGCAUGGAAAUUAUCCACCUGAAGCUUCAGAAAUCAAAGGGAAUAUUAAUCACUAGAUACUAUAAAAACAAAUAAAAUGAUAAACAUUUUUCACUCUGGAUUGGGCACUCAACAAAGAAUUCAUAAUGAUGCAUCAUCCUUUUUUUUCUGAGCCAUUUUCCAGGAUGUACUUUCCCAUUCCCCAAACACCAGCUUAAGAUGAAAAUACAGUAUGGAAUGUUGAGAGCUUUUAAGUUUUGUUACACAUUUCAAGGACCCAAAGAAUAAUACUUCCACAAUUUAUACAGAAAGGUGGGUGCAAAUUUGGAAAUUCUCAUUGAACUACAGAUGCAUAUUAACUUCUUUCUGUAAAACCCCAAAAGCAUACACAUAAAAAUUAAAAGACCAAAAGCAACAUAAACACACUUUAAUUUCUUAGAGACUCAUUUGCUGGAUACAGGCACACUUUCUUCAGCUGGGGUGGAGUCAGCUGCAGGCAACUUCUUUGCGAGGGACUUGGGUAUGUCAACGUCGUCUUGUUGACAACGUUGCUGGGGGUGUGAUAAUAGAACACACAUAUAACGGAAGAGGACACGUGUUAGCCCCUGCCCGCUCUCAUGGAUGUAGCCCUCAUACUCACUGACAUGUUCAAGGGCAUCCACAAGUGCAUCAUAGACCUUUUGUGGGCAGUUCUCAGGACCAGGCUUGUCAUGGAGAUAAACCACGUCCAAAGUGAAGAGUUUCUGGUUGGCAGGCCAUUGAUGCUGAGGAGGAGCAGAAGAUCUGCAGUAGAUUAAGAUCUGUACAUGGAAGAAUAUUGUAGUGUCAUAUUUUUAAGGAUGAAGUAGGAAAUAUGCAAAUGGAAGCCACAAGAAAAGGAACAUUCCAUUAUGUUUUCUACAGAAUUUGGAUUCACAAAUUCAUUGCACAAAAUGAUGUCAACAUCACAUGGAGCAAAAAUGGGAGCCACCACCAACGAGUACUUCAAAAUCCAGAAAUAAAAAAAUUGAUAAAAAAUAAGAAUGAUCUUUUUACUUAAAUAAACCACAUGAUAAAUAGGCAAAAAUAUUUCGACCUUACCCAGGAUGCAAGCCAAAAGCUCGUUAUUGGUGCCAUAAAAAUUUAUUAAAAAAUGAAAUGUUUUAAUUUCAUGUGGCUUUCCUUACACCUUCUGGUCAAACAUUAGCUUUGAACAUUUCUUCAGUGACCACUCAUAGAAACCAUAUUUUAGAGAGCUACCUCAUAGAAGCUCAGAAUAACUUCUUCCCUUCUCCAUACUCCUUCCUCCUCACUACCCCAAAAAUAUAUAUAUGGCAAAAGGUAAUAUUAUUAACAACAACUAAUUAAAAUGGGGAGCACAAAGGUACAUAGGUAAGGUGUCAAAAAGGCAAAAUAGAUAGAGAGAGGUUAACAAAAAACACAUUUCCCACAUCAAAAAGAGCUCAACCAAUAACAAAAUCUGGAAUAGACAUAGAGGCACCGUCUAAUUACUUUCUAGCCCAAAGCUAAAGAGCACAUGGGAAAGAGUUUUUGAGCCCUUGAUCCGAUUGUUCUACCCCAAAAAUAAAUAUAUUAAUACUAGUUCCCACCAGGUGGCAGCCUGAACCUAGUGGCUAGAAAUAAGAAAAUGUGCUUUUCUUUCAUAAUGGAUAAGUGUGCAUGGACAUGCAUGUGCCACUGCACCUGUUAAUGCAAAUUCAUGCUAGUCCUUCAAUCAUGAAUUGUGCUAUGAACAUGUGUUUCACCAUAUUGAAUCUAUGUUAGCCCAAGCCACACUUGUCACUGUGUUAUGUAACACUAUCAAGCAAUCUAUAUGAAUUCUAGUACUGGUGUUUGAGUUCUCCGUUUUAUAAGCAACUUCCACUUUGAGUAAAUUAUUUUCAAUGUUUUGAGUUUGAGCAUUUGCAUGCAAAAUUCAUGGAACAUGAACACAGAAUAAUAAAGCACGUUAUUUUUAUGAAGAAUACAACAAUUGGAGAUGGUCUUAAAAUCACCAGGGUGGACAGACGAGCCUAUAACAUCUAAGGGAAGUAGGUCCCCUUUUAAUUUGUAGUUUGGAUAGUUCCUGAAGAAAGGAGUUCCCCUACCUGCUAGAGUCAUUCUGAUACACACUUUUGAAACAAACAAAGGUGGACUCUUUGGUAACCAUCCAAAUAGGUGCCAGGCAUUGGGUGGACUCUUUGGUGAGAGUUCAAAUAGGAGCUGAACAUGAUGGACAUGGGCAUCCUUUGUUGACAAGUAUUCAACACACCAAUCAUUGAUUGGGAGAAUUAUUACAGUUCAUUUGGACCUUGAAAAGUUUGUAGGAAAGAAAGGGAAAAAAUUUAUAAAAAAAAAAAAAAGAAAUCAAGGAGAAUAAGAAAUAAGUUUGAAGUAAAUAAAAUUCUCACAAGCUUCUCCAAAUUUAUUUCCCUUUUUUUCUCCUCUUCUAUACCAAAGAAUGAAGAAUUUCAAAAGAUAUAUAAACUCCUAAAUAAUUUUCAUUAUAUUUUAUUUUUCUUCGUAUUUUCCAACAAGAGAUGCAAGAUUCCUUCCUACUCCUUUUCCUUUUCCUAGUUCUUUAUGUGACCCAAAUGGAGCCUUGGAAAGCUGAUAAUAUUUCAAGCCUCUAGUUGAGAUGCAGCCUAAACAUAACACUUCAACUACUUUUUAAAAAAAAAUAGGUAACAUAACACUUUAACUACUGUUCACAAACAUUCCAUAAAUACCAAAUACCUGCCUUGGUAUGAAUGUUUUGAUACUAUAUUAGAUAUGUGUUUGAAAUUAGUUGCUAGAUACAAUGUCAAAUAAAGCAGCUUCUGGGUUAAACUACUAGUCUAAGCAUGUUAGGGUUUGAGAUAUUACAUUCUGCAACUCAUAUCCCCCAGCACUGGAUGGGUUAGCAAUAAUUACUUCGGGAUGAAAAGUAAUAAUUUUUUUUGUAUCACUUCAGUCAAAUAAAUCAGUUCCUAAUUGUACAACAAAAGCCAUUCCAUACUUAUUCAAAAAGGUACUCCAUGUAUGAUUUGCUACUACCAUAGGAUUUCAUUACCUCAAAGACAUAGCUAUAGAAUUUAGAAAUGUGCUCAGGGAGAAUAAGACACCGCUCACUAUCAGGCCCAGUACUGUUCACUGUCUAAGUUACAAUGUUACCUAGAGAACAAGGAAAAAUAAACAAAAGGCAUACCAUAGAGAACCAAUUGGGAGAAGAAAUACUCCAAACCAUUCUCUACUACCACUCUCAAAUACAGCUGUAUCACAAGCAAAGAUGCAAUAGAUAAAUGAAAAAAAUUUCUCAAUGUAGAAAUAAGUAAAUAACUGUAUAAGCAAAUAAAUAUAAAAGUAACUGAGUGAAUUGAAGCUUUGCUUACCACCCUGAAAAUCCGAUUUUGUGCACGAGAUUUCUUUGCUUCAUGAGCUGCUACCCGGAAUAACUGGGUCAGAUCUGCAUUACCACAAGAGCCAUCAACUGACAGACCCCGAAGUGCAGCAAUUGCAGAAUCAACUUCACUGCUAAACUCUCUCUGAAGCUUCAAAAUAUUGAAGAAGAAACAAGACACCUCUGAAUUAAUAGCAAUUAACAGCCCUUAACGAAGAAGAAGGAAAUAGCUUAGUUAUUCAAGCAAGAUCCCCAGAGUUCCUAAACGUGAUUUAUGCAUUAAAUUCACAAAAUAUUAAAAUUAAUGCAGUUUCAAAAUGCAUUUUCACAGAGCACACUUUGUGCCAUAGGUGUGUUAUGCCCUUCUGAAAUGAAGCCCAUGGGCAAUUGAUAUUUGAGAAUUGCAGAAAUGUGAUUGAUUAGAAUUUUUCUUUAUCAAUCUUAUUGAAUUAGAAUCAAGCGUUAGGCUAGGCCAGAGAGAAACUCAAGAUUCGAAUAAUGUAUGAGUACAAAAGUUUUCUGUCUUCGUCAAGAAGAACAUCAAGUUUUAGGUGGAUAAGAACAUUAUAAAUAGUCAAACAACACAGAACACAAGUUCAAGAGCCCUGGUCAUAAUUAAUAACAUGCGAAUCAAAGGAAAAUCAAAGUUCAAUCCAAAGUAGACAUAUGGAACCUAACAAAAGACAGACUCUAAGCUAUGGUUGAUACGGCCACCCUAGAAUUGAGCAUGGUACGGAUAUUCCAAGAUUAAUACAACAUAAAUACAAAAAAAAAAAAGGGGUUCUUUUCUUUUCCUUAGUUUUCUCAAAAACCAAGGAUUGGCAUAUGGGCAAAAUAAAUGGAAAUGGGAAGUACCCAAAAGCAGAUUCAUCCAGGCAGGAUAAGAAGUUCCUUUCUUUCUUUCUUUUGGUGGUAGAGAUCCGAAAUUUCACUCCUAUUACUUUCUUCAUUUUCUCACCAACCAAACAGACCAGAAACCAGAAAUAGAGGGGAAACGAGAGCAACCCAUGAAGCCUAAUUUCCAAAAAUCAACAACGCCGAAGUGAAUCGUUCAAAAAGAAAAAAAAACCCCAGAGUCAAUUUUGAAAAAAUAAAAAAAGGAGAGAGAGAGACAAAUACCCAAGAAGCGGUUUUGCCCAGAGCAGCAAAGGCGAAGCGGUGAUCAGAGUUGAUGGCGAGCUUGGAAUGGACGAAGAGAAGAAUAGCUUGCUUGAUAGAAUCCAUUCUGGUGAUGGGUCUCCCCUUGGAUCCCGUCACCUUCAUCUCCACCAUGGAUUCAGCGUCGACAUCGAUGCAGAAGAGUAUGUCUUCGUUGAACAACUGUGAGGGUUUCAGAACGUAGGCAAGUGUUGAAGAGCUUUGAGCCUCCAUGCCCUCCAUUUUCUUCUCAUCGAUUUUCCCACGACUUCCACCCUGCGGAUUUGGCUUCUGCGCCAUUUCCCCCUGCGCUCUCCUCCGGACCCCUCUAAUGAUUCUUCUCAGCGUCAUGGUUUAUCCUUCUGUUAUUUAUGUAUUUAUUGGAAUUACUCCAUGAUUUCCUUUUAAAUUAUUUUCAAUAAUUGAGAAUUUUUUUCGCAGAAGAAAAAAAUAAUAAUUAUUUUCCUUGAAUAUGGAAUUAGGGUUUAAUAGAACUAUAUUUAUAGCAAUAAGCAUCUGCCAAAUACUAUCAUAAUAAUUUUUUAAUAACAUUUUUUUUAAUUUAUAUAUGAAUAUUAAUGUUUCACCUUCAGAGGUAAAAAAAUAAAGUGUAUUAAUCAAAAUCAUUUAUGAACAAGAAAGUAUUAAGAAAAAAUAAAUAAAUAUUAAGAAAAAUAAUUUUAUUAUAUUUAGUUUUAUUUUUAAAUUAUAAAAAAUAAAAUAUAAUUAAAAGUAAUUUUAAAAUAAUAUAUAAAAAUAAUUUAUUUAUUUAUUCUUCCAUUUUUCUUAUAUACGUAUAGUUUUAAAUACUUACUGUCCAAACAAAAAGAAUGGUAACUUGGCUGCCAAUCACUCCUUUAGGCUUCCAAUGGAACGAUGCGUUUUGAAAGGACAAUUGUUCUAGAAAGUAAAAAGCGAAGGCGUCUGUUGGCUCCUCUUCCAAGCAAUUUUCUAGGCUCGUCUUUUUUUUGUUCUUCUGCUGUGUAAUUCUUUAUCAAUGGCUUGCUUACACGACCACAGCUGUGAAGAUCACGAUUGUGCCGCUGAUUGGUCUCUCUACAAACAUAUAGACCUCUCUAAGGUGAAUUUCCAUCUCUUAUAUUCCAUUAAUUUAUUUUUUUAUUUUCCUUUUUAUAAAUUGUAAAUGGUAGUGAACUGCUCACUGUAUUGUGAUAGGAUUUGAUUUGUUUUGAAGAACCCAUUCUGAUUACUGCGACAUAAACCCUUGGGCUGAAUUUCAUUUUUAUGCAUUAAUAUCAAUGUUCUGACGUGCCCAGAUGAGUAAUUUGUAUUUUGACAACAACCCAUUUGCAUAAAUUGGAAAUCUGAACCUUGAGAUGCUUGGCUUCUGUUUGUUGCUGUGUUUUUAAGGGGUUCCCUGAUUGUUAUUUCAUUAGUGUUAUGUUUGUUGGGAACUCAGUCUUGUUGAUCGGUAAAGGGGAGAAAGUGGGUGUCUGCGCCUCCGCCUUUGCUAUUUCUGAUUUUCUGCAAUAUACCUGAUGCUCUUUGUAUUUCCACAAAAUUUGUAUAUCAAGUUGUUAAUGUUCCAAAUCUAAAAUGUGGGAACUCAUGAACUGCUACUGCUUUAUAUCUUUGAUUAGUAUAAAAGUUUUACUCCUCUUGGCUACUUUGAAUUUGGGCUUACCAUGUUUAGUGUGCGAUCUCUUUAGGAAGUCCAUAGAUUGUAAUAGAAUAUCCCAUUAUUUGUUAGUUACUUGAUUAAUGUCGUUUUUGUGUUAUUUCUUUUGUGGCCUUGCCAUUUUGUGCCCGUUGUAUAUGUCCUAUGUAUUCUAGUGUACUGUUUUCUUUUGCUGUAUAUAUACAACCUCUCUUGCCUAUCAACAAAAAAUUGUUAGUAAUUUAAUGAGUAUCCUCUAUUCAGCCCAUCAUAUUGGCUUGGUCAAGUUUUUGUAGUUAGCAUCGUCUUUAGAGUUGUUAAGGUGAAAGCUUUUGCAUGGCUUUGUUGGCUUGGUUAUGUUGAGUAAAUUGGUGACAAAGGAGGCAAUGGUGAGGAUGUUAUUUUCAUGGAAUGGGAAGGGUGGUCCUAGCCUCCUAGGGUUUUAACUCCUGCCUUUUAUGUCGUUGAGAAUUGAGAAACAGUAACAGAUUACUUACCAUAGAUCUAUUUUUGCUUUGAGGUGGUUUCAAGACAAAGGUUAACUCGAGGAAAAGUAAAACAGUGCUAGUUGUGGACUGAACAAGACUAGCCUUUUGAAAUCCGGUGUGGGAUGACUUCUGGUUUUCUUCCUUCACCCUAACUUUUGGUGUUCCUCUGGGAUCUUUAUUGCUAAUGCUCUGAGAUAAAUUUACUCAAGUGGGCGAACUAAUUUUGGUAUGGGUAGGAAUAUCUGAGACAUGUGCUUUGGAACUUACAUUAUGAGCACCUGACCAGGAAGUUAUGGUGGCAAAUUAUUCAUUUAUCUGGUUGAGGUGAUGCAGUAGGAUCCUGGAUUUAUGAGGUUACUUCAUGAUUGCAUACUAAGACUGAGUGCAGAGUUCUUCAAGAAAUUCUAUUAGGUCCAAUUUAGGAUUGACAUGACUAAAUGAAGAAAUAGCAAUGGGAGGUUAUUGCUGAAAUCCUUUUCUAAUGUAUAAUAGUGAGAAUGGAAAGUCUUCUUUUAGAAGGAGGAUGUGACACUCUUUUGUCCUCUGCAUGGUGGCUGGUUGUCACUAUGCAGGAAAAAACUCGAAUGGCUGAUCAUUCAGUGCAUAGAAACUGGGUGGUUCUAUAUCUUUUGUCAUUUAUAAGGAGGAUGCAAACUGAGGGGAUCAUCUUUUAAUAAGUUGCAAAAUGGCCCAGGACAUUGUAACAUUCAAGGAAAAAAAUAUGGGAUGUUACAAGAAAUAAUUAUGGGAUCUUUUCAAUGGGUCAUUUGAUCUGGAGAACAAGCCUGUGGCAAGAUUGCCUAAGUCUCUUUGUCCCACAUAGGAAAUAGAUGAGCGAUAAAAAGGAGUUUUUAUUGAAUCUCACUUUCUAAGCCUCAUGGACUUAUGGAGAGAAAGUGGAGGCCCAUGUGAGAGGAAUUUUGGGGGCCUGAUUCAGAAAAUAUUUCACUGGGCAGGAAUUCUCUGAUUAAUGAAUGAUUUUGUUGCCGUAUCUACUAAUGAAAUCUAACAAGACAUGAAUAUUUCCAUGUGUGUUCUUGUGCAUUUUGUUUUUAACUUUGUUUUCUUUCUUCAGUUAAUGAUAUAUGUUAGUGGGUUCUUGUUUGUUUGUCGAGAAAAUUCUAUGUCUAUUGACUAGUUAUUUGCCUAUAUUUUCCAUUGUCAUACAUCAACUUUUCUAUCCGAGGAUUUACAGGUAUCUGCUUUAAAUGAGGCUGUGCCAGGAAGUGUUAAGUCAGUUUUUAAAGCUUGGGAGCAGCGUUUGAAUUCUUCAGAGGUAGGUUUAGUGUGUGGAGCAUGCCUUUCCCUUAUCUAUUUAGAGACAGUCUGCUUUUCAAUCCUCAUUUUUUUAUAUGUUAAUUAAUUUAUGAUAUAAUUUUUUGAUAUAACUCAUUUACUACUUUUACAACUAUGAACAACACAACAAUUUUUUAUUCCAAAAAUAAAUUCUGGGGUCCAAAAUUGUUGGUGUAUGGUAUCAAUUCUUUUGCAAUAAGGGAAUACCAAUUUUAGCAUGCCUGGUUUAUUUGAUGGAAAUUUUGGAGGUCUCGAGGUGUUUGAAGUAUGAUCCUCUUUGUUGUAACAGGGACAUUUAGAAAGCAAUGAUGGCGACCCUGAAUUACUUGUUUUCAUCCCGUAAGUGGUAACUUCUGUUGUUUUUAGAGGCUGCUAUUUCCUUAGCAUGAAAAAGGUAAUUUUAGAAUAGCCUAGAACCUAAUAACAAAAUCCAAGAUCUUCCAUGAAAUUUUGGCUUUCUCUAAAGUGAUAUCAGAUUGUAGUCACUAGACAGUCCAUCAUUUAAGGCUUAUGAUUUUGUAUCUCUACUUUUUCUCUCAAUAUAUUUAUUUUCUACCAAAAGUAUGCUGCUCAUAGAGCAUGGUUUGACUAGUUAAGCAAAAGAUUAAGAAAUUAACCUUGUGAUGAAUGUCAUAAGGUUUUUCUCUCUUUCAUUAACGCUUUUGAUUUCAUAUUUUAUCUGUUAUUUUAAUAUAUUGGUGGUACCCUUCCCUUGGAAAAUCAGAUAUUGCUUUAUGCUUGUGCAGGCCAUACUCUCAAAUUAAUUUCCCCUUCAUUGCAUUGCUUUACUGCCAAUAUUUUUCAUUUCUAAUUGGAUGUGAUAUGUAUCUUGUCAUGCUUGAUGAAAAUCAUGUGAAUCAUUUCAUCCUUAUGAAAUUUGUCUGGUUGUAAUGUUGCAUUUGGUAAACUCAGAAUUUUGUUAUCCUCUUGGUUAUUUGUUUACCAACAUCCGAAAAAGUGUUUUUAGUGUGGUUGUAUACCCUAACUCUUGGACAAAGGGAAAUAAAUUCCUGAAUAACUAAUGUUCAUUUGUAUUUGUUAAUUUGUUGGUGUUACUAUCUUUUUAUUUUUAUUGUUUUUUUUUUUCCUAGAGGGGUGAAAAAGUGUUCUGAUUUAUUUGCUGGAAUUAAUUGUGAUAGGUUUACAUCAGAUGUUAAGAUCAAAAGUAUUUCAGUUGUUGGUGGUGCUGAUGGAACAAGUCCUUGCAAGAUGAGAGCGUAAGUUUGUCCUUCUGAACCCAUGGAAUUAUUAUAACAGUGAGCUUGUUUUUUAUUCGGGAUUCCUCACAUAAAGAGGGAACUUGAUAAUGUUUCUUUGACCAGCUGUAUAUAGUUCAUUGUUUUUCCUUCCAAAUAAAAAGGGGGGAAAAAAACUAAGUCUGUCCUGUUGAAAUUCAGGUUCAUUAAUCGAGAUGGGAUUGAUUUUUCAGAUGCUCAAAGUAUGCAAUCUAUUCAGGUAUUACCUGAUCUUAGCUUGUCAGAGAGUUUGGACAUAAUUUUUAAGACCUAUAUGAAGCAUUUGUUUGUUUUGCCUCAAGGAGUGGGAUUUGGCUGAGAAUUUGCAAGGAAUGCUAGAAUACCAGACACGGUAAUAUUCCUCAUCUUCAAUUCUAGUUGACGUAACAAAAUGCUAUUGGUUAUGAAUAGAUUAUUUUGAUCGAUAUGGAAUUUUUUUAGUUCUCAUUGCUGCCAGUGAUAUUAAUUUGAUCACUUUUACAACAAACGCUUGCUCUCAGCAGUGUGAUAAAAUGGAAGGUUGUGUAAGGGAGAGGAAUGAAGGCAGGUCUAAGCCUUGGGAAUAUGAUUGCUUAUCUGUACAGAUAUUACUGGGCUCUUCUCCCAUUUUGUACACAGUUGUUUUCUACUUUAUGACAUUGUAUCAAUCCAUUGAAUCAGGUAUUCUAGAUUUCAAGGUGUUGCAAGUCUCACUUUGCACUUCCCUGAGAACUUUGGUGGUGAGACAACUCAGAUACGCUAUAUUGGGUUGAAGGGUGAAGCCACCCAGGUAAUUUCAUUGCCAAAGAUAGGUUGCCAUGGUCGUGUUGUUGCUUCAAGUGAUGAUUUUCUUUUGAUAUGAAUUAACAGUUGAAGCGGGAUGUUGUUGCAACAAUCGUGUAUGAAAUUACUCCAAAUCCUUCUGAUCACAAGUAAGUCAUUGUUUGCCUUCAUGGGAUGGUUUUGAAUGUUCAGUUGCUCUUCAACAAUUGUUGAUUUGUGCUUAAACAUACAUUAGUUCUUUACAUCAUGCUUUUUUCAUGUCUUAUGCUUGCUAAAUUUAUGUCAGCACCUGCAUAAAUGCAUAACCUUUGGAUUUGACUAAUGUUGUUAUAAAAACUUUUGGAAGCUUGGGCCUGUUUGGUAAUUGUUCCUAAAAAUACAGUUUUCUAAUUUAGAAAACACAUCUGAUAAACUUUUGAUAGAAAAUCAUUUUUUGAUAACUUAUUCUGGAAACAAAUUGUUUUUUAAAAUAAAUUUAAGGUCUUUUCAGUUGCUUUUUGUAAAAUGUUUUAAUCAACAAUUGAAAAAAAUGAAGAAUACUCUCUAGAAACUUUUGCAUUAUACGUUAGUGUUAAAUACCCUUCAAAAUAAGCUUAGAAAAUUGUUUUCAUAUUUGAGUUCUCAAAUAGGAUUUUGUUCCUGAAAACAAUUUAAGAACUAUUUUAAAAUCUAUUCUCAAAAACUGUUUUUUUGGUGAAGUAAGCCUUUUCAUUUGGUGCCAUCCUGCCUUCUGAAUCAAUCCCCUUUGCUUCUUUUUAGAUGGUUUAAAUGUAGAAUUUCAAAUGCUUCGUCAAUUCCAUUUGAAGCUGUGGCCUUGUUUAGAAUGAGGGUUUUUCCAAAGCCAAAAGAUUUUUCUUUUUCCUUUUUUUUUUAAAGCCCAGUAACAGAUUAAAUGAAAGUCGUUUGCCCAUUUGAAAUUAGCUUCUAAUUAAUAAGGAGAAGGGGGGGGAGCAAUAAUCUUAUACCCAGAAUAGCCCUGAAAAUGGUCUUAUAUACAUGUGUGCAGGACAAAGGCUGACAGUGGAGCUGGCUUCUCCCAUGUGGAAUGAAGAACACAUUCACCCUCUGCUGCUUCUCCAAAACCCACAGUAACAAGCUAACUCAGUGUUCUACUUUGCCAACUCCAUACUCAAAACCUUUACUGGAGAUUAGACUUGAAUCUUCCAUUUUCACUUGUUAAAAAGGGACAACAACUUUUAUCAACCUCUCUUGAAUUCUAUAGAGCUUCUUUUGCUGAAGUUGUCCUUAUUCUCCAUUUGGAUUACAUUUCAUCCAUUUUAUUUCUGCUCAUGAUUUUGCCAAGUAGUUCUUUUCUCACUUGAAGAUCACUCAAUCAACUUACUUCUCAACUGUGAGCAAAUCAUUUGUUAAUGAUAUCUUCAAUCAUAUAUAUAUAUUAAAAUCUCGAGAAAUUAAUAAUCUUAUUUAAAUAAUAAAAUCUUAGGUUCCAACUCAAGGUUAUAUACUAAAUUAAUAAUUUUGUUAAAUGCACAUAAAGUAAUAUUUUUUUUUUUGGAAAAUUUUUAAAGAUUAAAGGAAAUAUAAAUUAGUAAUUGAUGAAGUCUAUGAAAAGAAAAAUGAAAAAUAAAAAAUUAUAUUACAAUGUUGAGUAAUUUUUUAUAAUUUCUAUUUUUUUAAUGAACUUUUUCUUUGAAUUAUAAUAACAUGCUCCGAAUCUCUUUAUCUUAUAAGAGAUUAAGUUUUAAUACCAUAUAUCUUUUUUUAACGGUCUUUCUAUCUUCUUAUAAUUAAUAUUUAUAUCAUUUUUAUAGAGUAUUGUCGGUUUUUUUAUAUUAACUUUUAACAACAUCCAUUGAUUUUGAAUUUAUAAACUAUACAUUUAUAAAUGUUAUAUAGUAAAAACAUAUUAAUCUCUCAAUUAAAAAAAUAUUUAUUUAUUCAUAUAUUAAUAAUUACAUUAAAUUGAUAUUUUUCUUGAUGGCAAGAAUAUUACUUAAUAGGGGUUUUAAAGUAACAAGAAUCUUGGGGUGGAUUGGAUAUAAAAUGAGUCAUAAAAAAAAAUAAAAAAUUAUUGUUUUAAAUUUUAAAAUUAUAUAAGGUGAAGUCUAUACUUUUCAUACUUUUUAUUGAUGUAAAAAAUUAUAUAUUUGUUAUUUAAACAAAAAAAUAGAAAGUGUAUCCAACUGGAUACUUGCUUUUCAAUUUUUGUUUUUUCAAAAUUAUUUAUUGGAUUUUCCAUAUAAAUACAAUGUACAAGUAUUCCUACUUUAAAAAUAAUUAAUUUUAUUUGAAUAAAUUAGAAAAUUACUUUAGAAAACAAAAUAUUCCUUAAAAAAGACCCACAAGUUCAAGCCCACCAGGAUAAAUUUUAUUUUCAAGAAGUAUUUUCGGAAUCACUUUCAAAGUAUUUAAAUUUUCCGAAAUUAAAAAAUGAUUUAAAGAUGGGCAAUUGUAAAAUAUAUUUAAUUUAUUCCUUUAAAAAAAUCAUCCACAAGAGUACUGAAAACUCUAUAUCAAUUUGGUCCACGUGGCAUAAACAUAUGAUAAUUUGGUCCGCGUGGCAUUUCUGCUGUUGUUUUAUUCUAUUUUGAGUAUUUUCGCAUUCCAGUGCCUCUGACAUCCAAAUCUAUAUUGUCCAUUUAUCGCCACGUGGUUGCUCUCGCUGUGGUAUUUAUUUAUUUAUAAUUAUUUCUACUUAGCGUAGCGUGGCUCCCUUUUUAAGAAUUAGGGUUUUAGUCCAUCUCAUCACUUUGGAGGAAGCUCUACUUCGAUUCUCAGGUGGGUUUCAUUUUCCUUUGAUUCAAGGCCUGUAUGAAUUUCUAUUUUGUAUUUAUUUCUAUGGCUGUAAAUUCAAGUAAAGGUUCUAUUACUCCUCUGUUUGGUUGCUGGGUAAUAAAAAGGAUUUUUUUUUUUAAUUUUUAAUUUUUGUUCUUUUAUGUCUGUUCCUAAACUGAAAGGAUGCUGUACUUGGUUUAUGUUAUAUAUUGCUUUUCGUGCCAUGAAUGACUUUCAUUUUCCAUCGCAAGAAAGUUUUAUUCUCCCUUUUUGCAAGUGUGUGUUUUUUUUGGACUUUCUUGUGGUCUGUUUGUUUGCCGAGAAAAGAUAGAAAAAUAAAAGAAGCUUGAUUUUUGAGCGUUGGAUUAUUCGUCUUCUUCCUUUUACCUGUUUAUAAAGAGAGAACGCAAGAUACCCCUUUGCUCUAGGGUCUAUUUUCAGAUGCUCUGUUUGGUUGGCGUUGAAAUGGUGGAAGAGCAAAGAGAUUGGAAUUUCAAUUCCUGGGGAAUUUUAAACGGAGGAACUAAUUUUUAGCAUGCUUUGAAGUUUGCAUAUUGAUGUUUAUGUAUUGACUUUAAUCCCAUGUUCUUAAUCAUGGAUUUUUUUAUUUUUUUGGAGUGCAGAGGAAUUCUGCAAGGCAUCAUAUUAGAAGCCAGAAUGCAGGCUUGUAGUGGAACUGCUGCUAUGGGUUCUCUGCAACAGCCCAUUUGGAUUAAGGGGUCAAGUUUUGCUCCAAAUGGGUCUACUGUCAAUGGGUUCCCACACCAAAUUAAACUGAACUCGGUUAAGCCAUGUAGAUCUUAUAUCAAAGGAAGCUUGGUUACUGGGAAGCCACCUUCCUCUGUGUCUGUCACUGUGCCUGGAAAUGGGGGUAAGGAUUCUUUUGAAUAUUAAUAUUUGGCAUCAGUUUAUAUUUAAUUUGUUUUCAUCUUCUAAAUGUCUAUGUGACUGUCUUCUCAUGACUCUUGCGGACAUUGUUUGGAAAGAUAUUUUUUAUUUCAUGCAUGUGUUCUCGGGUUGCAGGGGAUUGGGGUUGUUAUUGCUCUGGUUGGGAGUGGGCUUGCAACCAUAUGCAUAAAGCAAUAGCAUGAUACAAUAAAAAAACAAUCCAGUGGUUUUGAGUUUUGCCCUCUGUGUGAAAAUUGCAUGAAUUUGAUAUAUCAUCUCUAUUCUGAAUAACUUUAAGACAGUACAUGCUUUCUGCUAGAUGACUUGUGGUCACUCUUUAAUUAUUGGUUUAUAGUUGCUUCUUGCAUAUGAUUUAUGUUGGAAGUAAAUUUGCAGAUGACAUUAGCCCUUCUUUGGGAGAACUUGAACACUAAUUCCUUAUGCAUGGAAUGUUUUGUUAUGCAGAUAGUGGAGUCAAUUUUAUUGACCAUGGCUUGAAUGAAGCUGAUCCUGAAGUGUGUGCAAUUAUUUACAAGGAAAAGCAACGGCAAAUGAAAAGCUUAGAACUUAUUGCCUCAGAGAAUUUCACAUCCCGGGCAGUGAUGGAAGCUGUUGGUUCUUGCCUCACAAACAAAUAUUCUGAGGGAUUGCCUGGUAAAAGGUAAAACAUGGUUUAUUUCGUGGAAGUGUUUUUGUUCUUGCAUUCAGUCUGCUUUUGCUUGAUCCCAUUGGUCAAAUCAACGUAUCAGGUACUAUGGUGGUAAUGAGUUCAUUGAUGAGCUGGAAACUCUGUGUCAGAAGAGGGCUUUGGCAGCAUUCCACUUAGAUGGAAAGAAGUGGGGUGUCAAUGUUCAACCAUUGUCUGGUUCUCCAGCUAACUUUGAAGUAUACACUGCCCUUCUCAAUCCACAUGACAGAAUCAUGGUAAGUUGUUUUUUGCUUAAUAUUGCCUUUGAUCAUUGGAAUUGUUUUGGAUUGUAUUGAUCCGCACUAAUCACACUUGUAAACCAUACUUAGGGCUUGGACUUACCUCAUGGGGGCCACUUGUCUCAUGGUUUCAUGACUCCUAAAAGACGGGUAUCAGGCACAUCAAUUUAUUUUGAGUCUAUGCCUUAUCGACUUGAUGAAUCUACAGGUGUUGCAUCUUUAUUGUUUUUAACUUACUGUAGGAUAGUUGGUCUACUUAUGUGAUUGGAUUUGUGCCUGAUUUGAAGUUUACAAAUUUUCAAACAGGUCUUGUUGAUUAUGACAUGCUUGAGAAAACAGCUAAUCUUUUUCGACCAAAACUCAUUAUUGCUGGUGCUAGUGCUUAUCCUCGAGAUUUUGAUUAUCCUCGUAUGAGGAAGGUAUGGGUAUAUGUAGUUAUGCUUGCUCUUCAAUGAUAGUACUCUUAGUAAUAAGUAUUCAAAUGUAUUUUUCUACAUUUUCUUUAAAUUCGUUUUUUUCCCUAUUUUUUUUUUUUUAAUCUAAUAUUAGUUGCACUUGAUAUGCUCUGAAAGAUUGCAGAUGGUGUUGGUGCUUUUCUCAUGAUGGAUAUGGCUCACAUUAGUGGACUUGUUGCUGCUUCUGUGGUUGCUGACCCCUUUGAGUACUGUGAUAUUGUGACAACAACAACACACAAGGUACAAAUUGAACAAUCUUGAAGUUAUUUUGUACUAGGUUCAUCCUCAUUUGUGCCAAUGCUGUGUAUCAUACUUGUGGUUUUCUUAACUUAUUUUGAUUUAUUUAAUAAGACAAAUUGAGAAUAAGUUAUCAGUGUUAUGCAUAUGCAUUUACAUUUUUAGCUGUCUAACUUGGUCCUCAUUUGAUAAUUUUGUAGUGUAGUAUAUUGUGUAGAGACUUCUUUUCUGUAUGGGUCCUGAUUUAUUCAGUGUAGUCUGUGUCUUUGUUCAAUUUUUAGCUAACUAUAAUUUACCGGGGCACCAGUUUUAUAAAAUAACUGAUUGCAAGAUUGUUCUAAUUUUUUUAAUCUUCUAUCUUGAACAUUGCAAUUUCUUAAUUAUAGCACAAAAAGUAGUUAUUGUGGUAGAGGAAAAUCAUGAAGGGGUUGACACUGUCAAGACAAAUGAUUAAUACUAAGGUUCAUUGUUUAUACGCUUUUAUCUAUUAUUUUGAAAUCCAUUGUUGUAUGUAUUUGCCCAUCUCUUUCUGCGAGUUUGGUAUAUAAUGUUCAAUGCACAUGAGUAGCCACAAGAAUUAGAAUGGAUUUUUAUGAAUGAUCCUUUGCGUUGGAAAGGAGGAAGUUUCUACUGGUAUAUUUGUGAACUUGCCUUAUACAUGUGCGUAUGCAUAUAUUUUUCCAUUGCAAUCUUCACAUGCUUGACUUAAUUAACUUGGAUGAUUCUAUCCAGUCUCUUAGAGGUCCUAGAGGUGGCAUGAUCUUCUUCAAGAAAGAUUCUGUUCUGGGAGUUGACUUAGAAUCUGCCAUCAACAAUGCUGUUUUUCCAGGUUUACAGGUUUGUUGGAGCCGUCUCUAUGCUGUCUUUUUGCUUAUGUGAACCUCUAUUUCCUUCUCUGGUUUCUAUUUAUGAAAUAAAUGAAAGGCAAUGAUUUUUCUUUACAGGGUGGUCCGCAUAACCACACAAUCGGGGGACUUUCAGUCUGCUUAAAGCAUGCCCAAUCCCCAGAAUUCAAGGCUUACCAGAACCAGGUACUACACUUUCCUUCCAUUAUUAGAAUCUGGUUCCACUUGUGUUAUCCAUAUAACUCAGCAUUGUGUGGUGUCUUUUAGGUAGUGUCAAACUGUAGAGCUCUUGCUGGCCGGUUAAUCGAAUUGGGAUAUAACCUGGUUUCCGGGGGAAGUGAUAACCACCUUAUUCUUGUGGAUCUUAGGCCAUUGGUAAGUUUCUGGCAUCUAUGCUAUGUUUUCAAUCUUUCAUGUUUAAGCUGAUUUUUUGCCACUCAUAAAUACUCUACUUGUGGAGGCUGCUUUUUACUUGAUCGUGAAAAAUCUUCAAAAUAAUGAUGAAAGUAGAUGGAUAUUUAACUAUAUCAGUGAAUCUCAUUACAACUGCCCAUUUCAUUUCUUCUCCUGCGACUCACUCAGUUUAAUAGUAAUCCAUGUGUCAUCCAUCAACAGGGUAUUGAUGGGGCUCGGGCGGAGAAGAUUCUUGACAUGGCUUCUAUCACCCUCAACAAGAAUUCAGUGCCUGGUAAACUUCAAUCCUUCAUCCCUUUUAUAUUCCACUGACUCCCCCUUUUCUCCACCUUAUUCUACUUGCUCCAAAUGUUAAAAUCACAGGCGACAAGAGUGCCCUCGUGCCUGGUGGCAUUCGCAUCGGAUCACCUGCGAUGACUACCAGGGGAUUCUCCGAGAAGGAAUUCAUAGCAACUGCAGAUUUCAUUCACGAGGGCGUGCAGCUAUCUCUUGAAGCAAAAAAAUCGGUUUCAGGAUCAAAGCUCCUAGACUUCAUGAAGUUUGUAACGUCCCCAGAUUUCUCUUUGAUAGACCGGGUGUCGGAUUUGCAGAGGAGAGUCGAAACUCUCACAACCCAGUUCCCAAUGCCUGGAUUAUAAACGGCACAAACUCACAAAGAAGUAGUGCUUAAUAUGAGAGGACCAAAGUUUCAAAGUUGAUAUUUGGCAUAAUGCGGAAGAAUGCUGAGAUUUUUGCAUGCUUUGUAUUAUCAUAACUUAGUACUUUCACCGAUAUUGCUGAUAAAGGAAGAGACGGUGGAAGCCAGCCAUGUCUAUUAAUUUCUUUUCCCCUUGUCAUAAGCACUUGUAUGGUGGCUGGACAUGGAAUAGUUUUCUGAAUGCCAAAAGGGCUUUUGCUUCCAUGCUUGAUUUCAAAAUAUAUAGAGAGAAUAAUUGUAAAAAAAUAAGAGAAAAAAAUCGAAAGAUGAGAAAGAUAUAUUUAGAUGUAUAUGUAAAGGUUGAUGGAAAGAAAAUUAACCAUUUACAUUUUUCUUACUUUUAUAAAAAAAUCUAUUUUAUAAAGUUUAUAUUUUCAUAUUUUCGCUAAACAUAAAUUAUUUAAUUAAAUUAAAAUUUUUAAAAUAUAGUACUUUUUUUAAAUUUUAAAAAUAGAAUUCCUAAGUAUAAAUUUUGCUGGCAUCGUAUGCUAAAUCACUAAAACUUCAACAUCUUCUAUUGUUAAAUGCUUAAAAGCCAAACAAGGUUUUAUAUGCUUUCUUACCCUCUUCAACGUUAAACCCUCGAACGAACAAGCGUGCGGCGCUUGUGCCCUUCUUCUCAUUCAGUGGGAGCGCUUCUCUCAGACGCCGACGACAUCGCCCACGGAACUCCGACUUGUAGUCUUCUCUUUUUUAGGUCAGUGGUCUCUCUGUUUCUCAAGUUGUUUCUGCCUUGGUUGUCUCUGACGAAGAGGGAUUUUCCCCUAGGCUCGGUUGCUUUUAGUGUUUUGGCCAGGCAAUACCUCUAGUCUCCACGUAUUCUGAAAAAAUCUGUUUCAUCGCUUUUCUUGUAAAUUUGUUGCCGUCUUGUUUCUGAAUUUUGUUCGGAAUUGAGAUUUUUCUUGAAAUUGAUUUCUCGAAGCCUUGGUUCCAGGGCACCUGAAUUUCUGUUUUCAGAAAAUAACUUUUGUUUCCAUCAAUUUUAAUUUGAUUUUAUCAAAAUCGGCUGCUAUAAAAUGGGAGAUGGCAUUGCCCUUCUGAUUCCACCUCUAUUCAAGUUUGAUUUUCUUGUUUUUUUGUUGUAUAUUUUGCAAUAAUAAAGAAGUGGGUUCGCAGCUUUCAGUCACAACUCAAUGCCUAAAAAGAGUUCCGCAAAGAAACCUAAAUCAAAGCAAGAAAGCCCAGAUGUGGAACAGAAGAAACCGACUCCUAUAGUGAAAGAACCUCGUAAUGAGAUUGAUGAGAUUUUCUCGGGGAAGAAGAGGAAGACACCUGAGAAAGAGAGCCCAGAUGUGGAAGAGGAGAAACCCACUCCCGCAGUGAAGAAAUCCACCAAUGAGAUUGACGAGAUUUUUGCGGGAAAGAAGAAGAAGAAGAAACCUAAGCAAGAGCAACCGGAGAAGGGGAUAGAAGGUGUGAAUUCAAAAGUGAAGAACAAGAAGAGGAUUAAAAGAGAUGAAGGGGGUGGUUUUUCAGAUUCACCUUCACGGGCUAGAAAGAAAACAGAGGAUGGACUCGUCCUCUACACAGAGGAGGAGUUGGGUAUUGGGAAGUCAGAUGCUGGAGGUACCCCACUUUGCCCUUUUGAUUGUUCCUGUUGCUUCUGAUCAUACCCAGCUACUUCUUUGGGUGUUGAGUUGCUCCCUUGUUCUUCUGAAGUUUUGGGAUAUUCACUAAAAUUUGAAAUUUUGUAAGUUUAUUCUGCAAUUUUGAUGGUCCAGUUUGAGGACGGUUGAGGGUGCUUAUUCCAUUAUUUAGAUGUACACUAGAGAACCAUAUUACAUGAACCACUAUCUAUUUUUAUAACUGAUGGACAUAAUUUUGAAAUUCUACAAUUUGCGUUCCCAAAUGAAGGAUUCUGUUCAUUCUAAAUUUGCAUUUUGAAGACUUGGGUAGAUUCUUCUCUAGAUUUCAAGCUACUAGCAGUUGCAGCAAUUGAUACAGUAACAUAGGCAUCCAUCAAUCAUAUAAUUGAGAAGUUGAGUUAAAAGACUCUUAAGAGUCCUCCAAUAAGCUGUAAAUUCUGCUGCAUUUUUUGAUGAUGAGUUCUUGACUAAGGUUUACACCCUUACCUUAUUUCUAUUGUCAUUUAUGGGCUUUGUUGUGUGAACACUUUUCUUUGCCAAUCAGCUCGAGCUUUGGAGUUUUCUUUGUCAGAUCACAGGUUCUUUACUCACCAAUUCAGACGUCUCCUUUUACUCUUUCUACCGGCCUUGAAGCUUAAGGGAAAGUUCAGUUCUUAUUAUUCUAUUUUGCCCUCUAAAGAGCUAGUAGGUUCAUUGCUUGGCUUCCCAAACAGUUUUCCUCAUCAGCAUCAACACAACAAAAUUGAAAAAUUGAAAUGCUAGAUACCAUUUUGCAAAUGCUCCUCAACGCCAACCUGCAUAAGAAAUGACCCAUCAGUUUCCUAUAUUUCACCGUUUUCUUAUACCUCAAUUUCCAUCAUAUAGUUUAAACCAUUGUUAUGGACUGCAUAUUGUUUGCUCAUAGUAUUUUUAAUGGCGAAGCAUCUGCAUUUCUACUUGCCCCCACCCAUGCAUGUUCUCAGUGUUUCCAUUCCUGAAACUAUUCAGUAUGUUCAGGGACAUGCUAGGUGAGAAACAAUGCUCAAAUUAUUUGGUUGCAUGAACUCGUAUUCUUCUGAGUUGUUCCUAUGUUCUUGCUGAGUUCAAACAUAUGUUCAUAGGGCAACGGUUGGCUCAAAACAUAUUGUUUUGGCAACCUGCUCCACCCAGUUUCGCAUUGAUUCUGAAGUUUUCAAGUUUUUUAACUUUUUAUAUUCCCUCCAUUCAUUAGUAUUUAUAAAAUUAGCAUUGUUGUAGGGCUAUACUUGAGUAGUGUUACAACACUGGCGGUAAGUUCAUCCCUUAGUGUCUUGUUAGUUUACUUACAAUUUGGUUGCCAUUGGAAGCUAAGGUCAAAAACAACUUUCAUUCCAGAAGUGGAUCACCGCAAUUCUGGAAUAACAAAUGGUAUCAUUGAAUACAGUUUAUUGUAGAUAUAUAUCUGAACUGAGAAGCCCCUACAAUAUCCAACAGAUGCUUUGCUUUUAGUUUGGUUAGAAUGCUAGGGCUUAUGAAGGUAAGAUGCUCUACCUCAAGAUGGAAUACCCCGGCUUUAUGACAUCAAUACUAAACAAAUCGCCAAAGCAAUCAGUACUAUUUUUUGCCAUUGCCCACACAUGGCUGUAAACUAUUAUGCAGCAAAAUGUGCACAGGCUCAUGCCUUUCUUUUCGCCUAAAACUUGGAGCAAAUAACCUCAGUACGACUGCAUUUUCUUUAGUAACCCCAAUUCAGGGCAUGUUUGGAAUGGCUGGAAAUCAUCUUUCACUUAGAAGUAUUGGAAUAAGAAAUCUUCCUCAUUACUGUUUUUGGAAUUACAAUUAGAAAUGAGAGUGAAACUAAAAAAUAAUUUAUUGUCAUAAAACCUAAAACCCAAUUUGUAAGAAUUUUGAUCUCUUUCAUUGCAAUUCACUUCCAUUCCCCUACUUAUUCACAUUCCAUUUCUACAUUCCAAACACAUCCUCAAGGUAAUGGUGCAGGCAUUAGCAAUUUUAAGUCUGACCAGCUCAGUCACCAUGGAAAGAUGGCAUUCAUGCUCGCUUUUAACAACACAAAAAUGGCAGAACGUAGAGAAUUAUUUAAUAUUUUAUAGAUUGGAAUCUAGGAAAAAUUUCUUUGCAAUACAUUGAAUUUUUUUUUUUUUUAAAGACUAGAACCAUCUAGAAUGUCAAAAAAAGGACAAAGUUCAAAAUAGUCCUCUUCCAUCCUCAAGUGUCUCACUUUCAAGCGUGGAAUUAGACAGCCUGCCUGUUCCUCUUCUUCACACCAGAUUUGGCAACCUUGAGGCUCCUGUGCACAGCACUCAACCUUGCAAGAGCUGCCUUCUUUAGAUCAACCCUGUAAUAAUUAUCUGAAACCUGACAUUAAUGAAAAAAAAAAAUUGUAACACAGGAAUGUUAUCACACUGAAUCAUUUUAUAUACUAAUUUGGGGUGGCUGGGUAUACCGUAUAGCACAGCAAGAAAAUGAGAUAAUAAUAAUAAUUAUUAUUAGUUUUAUUAUGAAAGAAUUUGACUCUGCAUGUAAGCCAGGCUUUGCACCAUCUUUCCUCGUGUAAUUAAAGGAAUGACAGAAGAUAGAAAACAUGGCCACUUUAAUUUAGCUUAUGAUUAUGUUAAGUGCUAAAGGGGGGAAAACUAAUUAGCACUAGACCGUCAAUAAGCACCAAAGACACUGCAGUACCAUAUAGAACAACCAUGAAAUAAAACAGAAUGGUAAUUAAAAAACACCAAAACCAAAAUGAAACACAAACAAUCCUGAUUGAAAUUAAGACGUACAUUAAAAAGAAAAAAGAAAGCUUAAAAGACUUCCUAAAACAAUAUGUACAAGAGUUUGCAUGUAAGCCACAUUUAGUGUCAUUCCCUCAUGUAAUUAAGGGAAUGGCGAUAGAAAACAUGCCUCAAUUUAAUUUAGCUUAUGAUUAUGUUAAGUGCUAAUUAUUUGACUAAUUAGCACUGGACCGUCGAUAAGCACCAUAGACAUUAAAAUGGCAUGUAAAAAAACCAGAAAAUGACGAGACAUUAUGUCAAAACCCCAAAAGCCAACAUGAAAACACAAAAAAUUCCAAUUGAGAUAAGAAAUUCUCACAUAUGGGAUUCAGUCAAAUAAAACCAACUCAAUUUUCCAAAAUCAUAAUCUCAUCCACUUCAAAGUAUGUGGGGUUGGGAAGGAGCUCAGAAGCCAAGCGUAACAAGAAUAUUUCAUUGAAGAUCCAAUUAAUAUGGAUUCUUCUUACAUGUUAGCUUCUCAUCACUGCAUCAAAUUCUUCCAAGUGUAUUUUCAAGAAACACUAAGUCAUUGAUCAAAUUGUUUAUUGGAUGUCUAAAUUUCAAGACAAAAACUCAGUACCUACAUUAAACUAAUGAUUUGGAAGACAAGCACCGAGGAAACUUUAUUCUUUAAGAAUCCCAUAACAAAAGGAUGCUAAUGAAAUAAAAAAAAAUAAGACCCUCUUUGAAAACUAUUCUUGAAGACUGUUUUAUGUCAAAACCCCAAAAGCCAACAUGAAAACACGAAAAAUUCCAAUUGCGAUUAGCAAUUCUCACAUAUGGGAUUCAGUCAAAUAAAUCCAACUCAAUUUUCCAAAAUCAUAAUCUCAUCCACUUCAAAGUAUGUGGGGUUGGGAAGGAGCUCAGAAGCCAAGCGUAACAAGAAUAUUUCAUUGAAGAUCCAAUUAAUAUGGAUUCUUCUUACAUGUUAGCUUCUCAUCACUGCAUCAAAUUCUUCCAAGUGUAUUUUCAAGAAACACUAAGUCAAUGAUCAAAUUGUUUAUUGGAUGUCUAAAUUUCAAGACAAACUCUGUACCUACAUUAAACUAAUGAUUUGGAAGACAAGCACCAAGGAAACUUUAUUCUUUAAGAAUCCCAUAACACAAGGAUGCUAAUGAAAUAAAUAAAAAAAUAAGACCCUCUUUGAAAACUAUUCUUGAAGACUGUUUUAUGUUCUUCUAACUCAGAAAAUACGCCUAGCACAAGCCAAAUAAUAGCUUUACAGUGAUCUAUUCAGCUGAACUUCUGGUUUUCCAAGAAAACUAAUACCUGAUUCACAACAGCUUUUGCCAUUCGAGGGAACUCCUUCUUCAUUACUGACUUCUGAAGUGAAAUUGAGGGAUUGUUUUGUUUCUUUGUUUUUGAAGUUGCAAGUACCACAGACAGAUCUUUACCUCCGGGCUGAAUUGUAACUGUCUUGCGGUUUGCUAGUCCUAAAAAUUUCCGAAGCCAAGAAAAAUUAACAAAAAAAUAAUAAUAUUCAAGUGGAUACAGAUAAUUUUCUGAAACAUGACUAAUUUUCCCACGACUCACAACUUAAAAGAAUCUGUUGGGUAGCUGAAAAAACUGAGAAAAACAAAAGAAAAUAAAAUCUUAUGGGUUUUAUGUUUGAGAAAAUGGAUUUUUUUUUCAAGGUUCCAAAAAUUAAUGAAAAAUAUAUCUAAAUUAAUAAGUCGGUUUCUUUUCUUUUUCCCACUUUCUCAGUGCCAACUCGCACGUCAAAUAAUAUUUUCUUUCCCCAGAAGGUUUUUAUAAACCACUUUCCCUCAAAACGAGCGAAUCCAAAAACAGAUCUAUGAACUUUUAUUACCGGAGUGCUUGAAGGAGUGAACAUUGCAGAGGUUGUUAGUCUCUUUACUGAACUGUACUUUUGCAGUUCCAUUUCCAAACUCCUUCACAAGAAACGAGUUAUUCUUCUUCACUAUCUCCCAAAUCAACGGUCCAGGUACGUUCGCCAUUUGAUCUGCACAAAUUGCGGAAGCUUUAGCAUUGAGAUUGACAAAAAUCAGAAAACCAGAAAUUACAGGAUGUGUAUAUGAUUGAAGAGAGAUCACUGUUUGGUUUUUGAGAAGUGUAGAUUGUAGCUUAAUUUUCUCAGAAACCAAACAAAGGGUUAGGAAAAGCAGAAGGCCUAGACAGACAUAAAUGGCAAGCCAUACGCCCAUACCUUGAAAUGAGAUUGCGAGAAAAACCCUAAAUAGAAGUCCAUUUAUAUAGAGAUGCCAAAACCCUAAGAGGGAGGGAUGCGGAGGGGUUUAAUGUGAAAUUACGGAAAAGACCUCCUGUGGAGAAGUAUUUGCCACUUGGUCGUGGGUUGUGCCUCAAUAACAAAUAUUUACCAUAUGGCGUACUUUACUCUUUGGGCCGAAGCCCAACCCUGAGGGGAAGUGGCUGACAUUGGACUGGGCUUGGAUCCAAUUAAAGCUCACCCAAUUUAAAAAAUUAUCUUGUCUUUAAAAUGAAAGAAUAAGAAAAAAAGGAACACUUUUAAACAGAAUUUGGACUACCAAUAAUCCAAUAAUUAAUAAAAGAAAAAUGGAUUAAAUUAUUUUUAUAAAUUUUUAUUACAAGAAUUUAUCAUCACAAAAUUUGUUUAAGAAUUUAGGGAUACUAGAUUUAUUUGUUUAUUAUUAUAUCAUCUAUUUCUUAUAGGUUAUGUUUGAUUUUUUCAUAAAAUAUUUCAAAAAUAAUUAAAUAUAAUUUAAAUUAAUUAAAAACUUAUACAUUUUAAAAUUAUUUAAUCUUUAUAGUAAUAAAUUAAAAUAAAUAAAACAAGUUUAAAAUAACAAAUAAAAAUAAUUUAUUAUCUUUUAUUUUCCUUCAUUUUUUCUUUCCUUUUACUUUUCUUCUCUACUCUAUUUCCUGAACCAAAUAUAGCCAUAAAAUAUUACAAAAAGAUGAAAAAAAAAAAACAAUAAAAGAGGGAAAAAGUUUAAAUUUAAUAAAAAAUUUCUUCCAAGUUUAGCAAAUUUAUUUCUUUUUCCUCCUUAUAGGAAAGAAUUUGAAGAGGUGUAGGAAAAAUAAAUGGGAAAAAAAUAGAAAAGAAAGGAGGAAGGAAAGAGAACAUGAAGAAAAAUAAAAACUAGAUUUAGUGUCUAAAAAUUAUUUUUAUACAGGUUGCAAACUAAUUUCACAUCUUUUUAUUUUUUAUGUACAAAUUAAAUAAUUUUAAAUUAUAGAAAAUUUUAAUUAUAUUUGAUUUUUUCUUACAUUUUUCACAAAGAAAUUAAAUAUAAAAAAAAUUAUAUUUAAAAGAGUCUCGAUCUGAACUGUUAUAAGCUGAAAGCACUUUCAUUUAACUUGGAACAUGAGAACAAUAUGAUGACCACUUGUUUCACGAUUAAGUUAAAAAAUUAACCAACUUUUGUUGAUAAUAAUUUUCUAUCAAAUUUAUAUUCAUAUCAAAUUUAUUUACCAUCCAUUUUUUUUAAAUAUAAAUUACAUCUCUAAUUUACAAACCAAGUUGUUACAUGUCCAGAUUUGUACGAUUAAUUGAACUUUAUGCUAAAACCAAUGGUCUCCUACAAGCUCACUCCACCACCUGGCCGGGAAGCACUGACAAGUAGUCUAAAAAUCAACAUAUUCCCAACAUAUUUUUGUAAGGUUCUUUGCAAACCAGGAUUCAAAGAAAUGCAUCUACACUGAAUCCAUGAAAAAUCAAAUAGAUGGGACAAGAAAAGAAAUAUUUAGCUACUUUAAAUUUGAAGGGAACUAUGGCAAAAAAUUGCAGCUCACUCCAAUCGUGUUAGGUAGCUCUUUUUGGGCACCGUGCAAAAGGUGGCUGGUUACCAUAGUGAACCAAGUCCCCGUGUCUAUUGUGCCGGUUAAAAAAUCCAGUUACAGAUGGGAAGGGAAAUGUAUCCGGGUAUUGUAUCGUGAAACAACAGUGAAUUUCACAAAAGUCUUCCUCCGGAGAGUCCAUUUUGGCUCCAAGCGGCAGUCAGGUCACCAUGAACUGGAGCCCGCUGUUGACUCUGAAUAUGGAGCCAUGACUGAGUGUAUAUUUGAUCCCCCAAGAAGUAAGGCUUGUAGAGAUCAAAUACCACACCAUUUCACGACACAAGAUGAAUUAAUCCAAAUUGAACGUAGUAACACUACUGGACUUUGUUAAUCCAAUCUAUGUACCAUCUGUCAAGCUUAAAUCUACAAUUUCCAUGAUCAUAUGUUUCCCAAACUUAUUACCUAAAGAAAUAAGAGCUUUGCUGUCCUAUCAAUUGAGGAUUAUAUCGUAGCAGAUAUGACGUUAGAAAUAAAUAGACACAAACUGCACAUCAGAAGAACUUUUUCUACAAAAGAUUCACAUAUUCAUUUAGCUUCGUUGUAUUCAUUGCCACAACGAGAAAGACAGUUGAUUUCAGGCACAAGAAUGAAAGAAACAUCCAUUCUACCAUGUAGAGAAAAUGCAGAAAUAAUAAAAUGUUUUAAAACUCGGGUCAUGGAUGACUCAUCUUUUAAAAGAAAAAGAGCCUGAGACGCAAAUAAGGAAAUGAGAUAUAUUAACGGACCGUUUGGUUGCCGAGAAAACAGAGUAAAAACCAAAAAAUGUUAGGAUGGAACUAGGACAAAUAAAUGAAAUAGAUUCACAAAUCCAAAACCUUAAUGAUCCGCUUGGUUACAAAAAAAAAUGGAAGGAAAAGAAGAGAAAUAAAAAAUUCAACUUCUAGGCAUCUAUUACGCAGAAAACCAAAAACCGAAAUAGAAAAAAGAAAAAGGAAAAAAAAUUCAAGAAAAAUCAAAAGAUUCAAGACAUUUUUUCUUUGCUUUUCCUCCGUUUUCUUAUAAACCAAACAAAAGGCAUAAAAAAUAUAUAUAUAUUGCAAACUUGAUUACCAGGCGGCAUAUGGGUGCCAAUGUUGAGCACCAAACUGCAGAAUACGCUUGCAGUUCCAUCGGAUUUGCCCUAAAAUCCUAUUGGAAGAACUGCAGAUUCGCGCAAAGCAGAGGAACCCAACUCAGAGAAGAGGCGUGGAAAUUACGAAUGGCAGAAAUGAUGCAUCGGAUGCGAAUUUAUAAAGGUCCACACAAACCCUAAAAGAACGAGGGUGGUGAAAUUACAAAAAAGAACACUCGGUCUUGAACCGGGGAGUGUGAUCUGGUGUGGACUGGACUGGGCCUAGUCAUUUGGACCGAGACCGUACACAGUACCAAUUUUAUUUCUAAAGAGGUUAAAAGUUAAAACUCGAUUUUAUUUUUUAAAAUUGGAUUAUUAUUUUUCUUUGGAUUUUAGACGACAAUGCUGAAGGAAAAUCGUUGUUUGAUUGCCGACAAAAAGAAAAAGAAAACUGGAAAAAAAAAUUAAAGGAAAAAAAAAAAAAAAAAAGAAGAAAGCAGAGAAGUCAAAAGGCAGCGACUCCACCAAACUUCUCCGAAACAGCUGGUUUGAAAGACUUGGUACACACGUCUUUUUCCGAUACAUAGUAGAGAGGGAGGAUUUGGUGGAACUGCGACCAGCGUUUUUGACAUUUUCAAUUCAACACUCCACUCGAAAGCCCUAGAAAUCCCAAUCUCAUUUCCUCACAACCUAUCUCUCACUUUUCCUCAUUUCUCGAAGAUUCGGGAUUCGAUUUUGGCCAUGGAGGCAGUUUCAACCUCCAGUAUUCUCCCCCAUGGGAAAGUCUCCGGUUUGAAUCAUCGGAGCUUUAAUCAGAAAUCGUCUAUGUAAGCAUUUCUGCAGUUAUCAAUCACUUUCUCUUUGUUGAAUUUGGAAGAUUUAUGAAUCAGGAAUUAAUCAAACAUUGAUCGAUUCUUUUCUUUUUCGUUUUUUUUUUCUUUUUUUGGGUGGGGGUGGAUUGUGAUUAAUUUUUCGUUUGAUGGAUUAUUGGGUGCUUUUUAUUUGAUUAAUUCCUGUUGUGUGAUAUGAUGCGCAAUAUGCGCAAUUCAAGAACACCAAUUGUUAUCGGCUAUUCGUAACAGUGAAUUGUAUUGAAGGCAUUGUUGAGACAACCAUGAAAAGUUGUAUUUGAAUAUCCUUGUUUGGAGAAGGUGGCGGCUACCCUGGUAAAGGAAAUGGGUUUGUGAAUGAGACCGAUGAUCAAAUCCUGGCUUCAUCAUGACUACAAAUUUUGUAGCAGAUCAUCCCCUUGGAAGGGAAAAGGGAAGGAAAAACUUUCAUUUGUGUUAACCUUUCAACGGGGUAAAGUCACAUGGAGGAUUGUGUGACUUGUGUCAAUACCAGGUCUGAGUUGGAUGAUGAAUGUACUCUGUCUGGUUGCUGAGAAAAUGUAAGAAAAACAAGAGUUUAAGAUUUGGGUUUGGUUUUUUCAUUAUUUGGGACUGGAAGAAUGAGGGGUUUUCCUUAAUUUAUGUAAUGCUGCCAUUUGGUUUAGAGACAAUGACCUAAUCUCUCAGAAUUAAUAAAUUGGGAAACACAAAACUCAGGCUUCUUCUUUUUUCUCAGCUCCAUCAGCAGUCAAAGCCAGGGUUUUUGACAAUGCAUUGCGAUUGGAUUUUUCACUUAACAAAAACAUACAAGAGAAUGAUAAAAAAUGAGGCUAUGGAGGCAAUGUUUGUUAAGGUGGUUUUUAGAGAAUUUUUCCACUGUUUUUGGUCUUACCUGUGAUAUUUUUCCCAUGAAGGAAAUAUACACAAUGGAGGAGCAAAAAAAGGCCAUCACAUUAAUAGAGUUUAUUGUAGUUUAUAACACAUGACAGGCUAGUCAGUAUUUUAUUCCAUCAAAUUAAAGUUCCAAUUGUGUACUUCUGUUGCCAGGUCAUGCCCUCAGACCAGAUCGUUUAAGUCUGCACACUGUUAUUCAUCUGAGGGUCUCAAGGGAUCACAGCUUUUGAACUCCAUUGAGAAGAGAAAUCCAGUUGGGCAAACAUUUUCAUCUGCAGGAGCAUACACUUAUGUUGGAAGUGCUGUGGAAUCCCCUACACAUGCUGUGGAAGAAAAGGUUGGAGUGCUGCUUUUGAAUCUUGGAGGACCAGAGACACUUCAUGAUGUUCAACCAUUUUUGUUCAAUUUAUUUGCUGAUCCAGUACGUUAUUCAAUUUUAUUUUAUUUUCUUUUGCAUUUUUCUCUAACAACAUGAGUAGGUCUCAAGUCUUAAGUGUCACAUUAAUGUCUUCAAUUCCUUGAUGCAGGAUAUUAUUCGACUUCCAAGGCUGUUCCAGUUUCUCCAGCGACCAUUGGCUCAACUAAUUUCUGUGAUCCGUGCUCCCAAGAGUAAAGAAGGGUAUGCUGCAAUAGGAGGCGGUUCACCUUUGCGAAAAAUCACCGAUGAGCAGGUAGGAGAUGCUUGCUCAUGUUAAAUUAUUCAUUUUAUUCUCCUUUUUAUGAUCUUUAUUGGCAUCAUUUGUUAUACUUCUGCAGAAAUCAACCAUGUUUCAGAUAUUAUGUUGUGUAUUUUAUGCGUGUUUGUGUUAGUCUGGUCCGGUUAAUAGUCUGAGGUAUUUUUUGCAGGCACAUGCAAUUAAAGCGGCUUUGGAAGCAAAGAACAUGCAUGUAAAUGUUUAUGUUGGCAUGCGUUACUGGUACCCAUUCACUGAGGAAGCAAUUGAGCAAGUGAGUCCUUAAGUUCUGUGAGGCUAAUGAUCAUUGUCUUGUACCAAUCCCUAGUUAUGUGGAAAAAAAUUCAGUUCCACAAAGCUUGCUGAUUUAGGAGAAACAUAGCCCUACUUUUUUGUUCUAUUAAUAGAAUGGAGGAUAUCUAUGCUGAUUUUGUAGUCUUCUAGUGCUAUCCAAAGUUCAGUAAAAAAGUGCCUCCUCUCUCUUAAAAUUAUUCUUCAUUAUGGUUGAAAUUUCUUCAUUAUCUGUGGCAGAUUAAGAAAGACAAGAUUACAAGGCUUGUUGUGCUGCCACUUUAUCCUCAAUUCUCUAUUUCUACAACUGGGUCAAGCAUCCGUGUUCUUGAAAGUAUCUUCAGGUUAAUUCUUGUUUCAGUUGGUAUCUUUUUCUGCAGUCUAUCGAAAUUGUUUUUCUCAAUUAAAUCCUCUAAAUUUUGAGUCAUCUGCCAGGGAAGAUGCAUAUCUGUCAAGGCUUCCUGUUUCUAUUAUACAAUGCUGGUAUCAACGACAAGGUUAUAUCAACUCUAUGGCUGACUUGAUUGAGGAAGAGCUGCAGAUUUUCUCUAAGCCCAAGGAGGUGGGUUUUGUUCCCGUUAUCUUGUUUUCUUUUUCCAUAAUAUUAUUCUUUGAAAUUUUAUUAUUUGCACCAUUAGUUGAGUUUUACUGCCGUAACAAAUGAGUUCCUAACUUUUUAGAGGAAUUCUAGGUGAUGAUAUUCUUCAGUGCCCAUGGAGUACCCGUUAGUUAUGUUGAGGAUGCUGGAGAUCCAUACAGAGAUCAGAUGGAGGAGUGCAUCUACUUAAUCAUGCAAGAGUUGAAAGCUAGAGGAAUCAGCAAUAAGCAUACUCUCGCUUACCAGGUUGGUCAUAAAAUUUGAGUUCUUAAGUUCAAGUUUCUGUUUCCAAGUGUUGCAUGAUUAUCGGCUCUAUGUCAGGCUGCUCUCUUUACUUUCUGCUUAACUGUUGAUUUUCUUCUCCUCCUCACUACAUAGGGGCUAAGUUUAUUUUGUGUUGCUCAACUCCUUCAAUUUGAUUAUUUUUCUUCAGAGUCGAGUUGGUCCUGUACAAUGGCUGAAACCAUACACUGAUGAAGUUCUUGUUGAGCUUGGCCAAAAGGGUGUAAAAAGUCUCCUUGCUGUUCCAGUAAGGUAUGUCAUUAAUAGUUAAAAUAGAAUUUGUGAUUGUUCUUGUCUUCAGUUUGCAUCAUGCUUCAUACUUCCACAUCAUUUCUCCCAUUUCAAUUUCUGGGUGUUAGUUUAUGGGAGAUUUUAGUUAGUCUUGAGCUUAUAAUGAUUAUCAUUUGUUAUUUGGUAGAGGCCUUAAUUGUUAAUAUGUUGUUUUGGCUUCAGUAUGAAUGAACUUUGACCCAUCUGCAAUUUGUGACCAUUUUGCAACUUGUAACAUUUUCUGGUCUGCAUGAUGGGGUGAAAGGUGGAUCAAAAUGUGAAUCUUUAUGAUCAGAUGCUAAUUAUGUCUUUAGAAUGCACUAUCUACAUGGGUCAUGGCUUAACCUUGGUCUAGUAGUUGUUUCAAAACAUUAUUCGUGAAUUUAGGAAGCAAAUCCCAUGUGAUUUUAUCAUUUUAAGAAAAUUUUUAGACAGUAUGUUUAACAUGUUUGCUACUCCAAUUUUUUUCAAAUUCCAGCUUUGUAAGCGAACACAUAGAAACACUUGAAGAGAUUGACAUGGAGUAUAAGCACCUGGCUCUUGAAUCUGGAAUCGAGAACUGGGGCCGAGUCCCUGCUCUGGGUUGCACCUCUUCUUUCAUCACAGAUCUGGCAGAUGCUGUGAUAGAAGCUCUACCUGCGGCAAAGGCCAUGACAACACAGAGCACCUCUAAGGAAUUCAACAUGGAUCCUGUGAACUAUGCUAUAAAAAUGUUCUUCGGAUCAAUCUUAGCAUUUGUUUUGCUCUUGUCACCGAAAAUGAUAUCAAAGUUCAAAAACCAGCUCUUUUGAAGGAUAUUAGGACACACUAAACCAUUGCGGACUCCAUCAUACUCGACACAGGCAGCCCUUACAGAGAAUGAAAGAUGAAACAUAAGAACACAGAUUUUUUUUAUUCAAGAAUCUCAAAUAUUCUCUCUUUUUUUUUUGCUUAUACCAAAGAUGAGAUUUUUGGGAUGUAACUUGUGUCACCGGCAUAUAGUAUUGAUUUGUGAAAUCUUUGAUUCCAGUAUAUUAUCUUUAUACAUUGUCUUAUUGGGAAGGCAUGAAUAUGACAGCAGUGUGUAACAAUAUACCAGUUGGGCAUCUUGCUUUUUGCAGGGGCCCUUAACGCUUGCCGAAUGUAUUACACCUUCUCAUUUCCCUUUAUCAGUUAAGGUUUGGUGUGUAAACCAAGUGCAACCCCAACUAAGAGCCUGUUUGGGACUGAUUCUAGUUAAAAAUUAGAAGCCGCUUCAGUAGAAACACAGUGGCUUGGCAUUUGGACAUAAAUUUUUACAAAAAAGAAAAAAUGAAAAAAAAAAAAGGGUUUCUAGUAUUUUUUGGCAAUAUAUUACAUAAUAAAAAAGUGAUAGAAUCACUUCAAAGUGAUUCUCCACUUCGAGCAUUGAAAAGCGCUUUCAACCCUUUUAAAUCACUCCUAAUCGAGCUCCAAGUGAUUCAACUGCAACAAACCAAACCCUAUCGUAGGUUGCAAAGAAAAAACCAAUCUAGUCUUCUGGAAAUAUUUCGAUCUCCAUGGAGAUUGCAUAACAAAUGGCAAAAUUAUAUGCAAUGUGUAGUAGCCACAUUACCACAAAAUGGCAUCACGCUGGUCCAUCUGAUGCAACUAAAAAUUUAGUGUGCAGAAAGCCAGAAACAUUAUUAAUGUGUAUACCAUUUAGGUAAGCAAAUAGGUAGUAGUAUCAAACACAUUCAGCCUCUACAUGAAUCAUACCCCAUCUGGAAUUGUUCAGAUAUCACAUGCUUGCAACACCAGGUACCUUCCUCAGCCAAAUUUGGCUUAAAUGCAUCAACAGACAGGCAAAUUAUUCAGAAAAAAGGAUGUUCCUCUGACUCAUCAGUAUCACAAUUCUUGGGGAAAAACAAAUGAAAAGGGGAAAUUGCCAUGUUGGAUUACGGUCUCAAUUAACUAAACCAUGUUACUGAAAAAAUAUAUCCAAUGGUGAGCAUCAUCAGAUUGAUUCAAAUCCAAAGAUGAUUCUCCUUGAUGCAGCACUUAGUGAUCAGUGUGAUCGCAUUCGUGAUUCUUCAUGCAAUACUUAGACAUAGUAGCCAGUGAAUGUAAAUCCUCGUCCUACAAUCUCACCAGCACAAAACCAGGCAAAGCACUCCAGCCCAAACAAAGCAGCAAUGCCUGCAUCCUCGACCUUCAUCUCCUGCCUGUUCUUCCAUAGUUGCUUGACACAAUCAAGUUCCUUCCAAAAGGCCUCAUAGCGUCCAGGAAUACUGUACCAAUAAGUCAAUUAGAUAAGCUGAUCAUUGAUGAUUUAACAUGAACAAGAAAGGAAAAGGAGUCCACAUUGAAUUGCUUGAGGAAACAGUGCAUUUUGUUUCGGUAGGAAUUUCUUAGCCCAAAUUAGCUAGAGUUGUGUAUAACUUUUAAUCAGAAUUCAUUUAAGGCAACAGUAAUCAGAUUUCACAAGAGAUUGCAUGACAAAGCAGGCUUCUUUUUAAACGAUCAUAUUCUUGGUUGAGGUUUUCUUCUGUCAUACAAAACUACAUCCAUGCUUCAACAAGGAUAAAAUACAAGAAUAUUCACAAAGUUCACUAAAAAUGAGAGGAAUGAAAUAGAAAUUACACAACAGAAUAGAACUGAUGCAUCCUCAUCAAAAUUAUGGACCACAAGCACUAUUCCUUUCAACGCCCAAAGGCAUCCAAAAGAAAGUGCAAAUCUUUUUUCAGUUGAAUGAUUGGGUAUAAAUAAUGAAACAUAGAGAGUAUUCUUUGAUAUUUUUUACAGCAAUAGAAAGAUCUAUGGAGUCAUCACAACAGUUUAACCAUAUCUAAAAGCACUCAUAAAGGAAUCCAGAACAUAAUGCUAAUGAGUAUGAAUUAAUAACAUGAAAUACAAACACGUAAUUCACUUCUUUGCCAGAUGGUUUUCAUAAUGAACAAUUAGAACCAUCAAGAAAGCUCUAUCCAACAAGCAGAAAAAAUGUCAGUCGAAAUAUAUCAUUAGCAUGAGCAAGAUGACAGAAUGCCUCCAUUAAAUGAAGAUGAUUGAACAAGAGUUCUAACUAACAGGUGGUAUUUAGGAGUAACAGUUGUCAAGCCCAAACUCAGUCAAGUAUAGAGACCAAUCCAAGCUCAAUCAAGGUUGAUCUCAAUCCAAACCAUCCAAUCCAAAUUCAGCCUCUUGUGUGUAUCAAGAUGUGCUCAAAAUUUGGAUGACCUGAAUUGAAUAUCCCAUCUAAAAAUAUCCACGUAGCAUAAUAGAACAUUUUUACUCGAAUCCCAUAUAUUUUUUCCUAUUGAUUUUUUACUUCUAGCAAUCUUUUUUUAGCAUUUUCCCCAGAGAUAGCAUAUGAAACAGAUUGGUUCAAGCUCAUAUAAAAAAAAAAGUUCAGUCAUUCUCAAAAACUUGUAGCCAAUAUGAUGCCAAACUAGCCAAACUUGGGUCAGCCCGUGUAUAAUUGGAACAAAAAUAAAUUCUCAGAGCUUGGGCUGUAAAUGAAGUGAGGGUGUUGUUUUUGGUGUAUAAUAGUAAUUGCUUUACCUAUCAAAAAUAAAAAAUAACAAAACUCUGAGAGUCACCCAAGACAACCUAGAUUCAGUCCAAUUCAGCCAGCGCACAUUUGUGGCAAUAUUGCCAAUAUAUGCAGAGAUCAAACUGUAAAGUCCAUUCUAAUCAUGAGCCCUAAGAUGGAUUUUCUGCAAACUAUUUGAACCUGUAUAAUGAAUCAAAUAUUGAGUCAAACAUAACACUUGUCAAAGCACAGAUUCUUAGGUUUUUAAUACAAUUGAGAAUCAUCAAAAUUACAGUCCCAAACCAUAAGAGAUCAAGGAAAACUGAAAGCAAAAUAGUAUAAUGGACCCAGCAAGUUUGAUUGAAUGACCAAGAAAAUUGAAAUAUAGAUAGUUGGAGUAAUUUGAUAAACUAACCUGGCAAGACGAGUGUAGAACAAUUGUUUCGACAAAAGAUUGCAUUUCUCCACGGUCGGCGGCUCCUGGAUGUACUGCUUAUUUUGCUCCAUCAGCUGCUUGUAGUAGGCACAUCCAUGCUUGGCCACGAACUGUGAGGCCUGGGAAGCCUUGGAUUGCAGUUGAACCAGUUUGGAAGCCAUGAAUUCCCACCUAAGAAGACAUAGUCAUUCACUGUUUCAGAUAUUGUAACCAUAAAAAAUAAAAAAUUCCCAUAUAUAUGGAAUCAUUCAUAUGCUUUGUGGAGAAAAUGAAGGAAAGCACUUAUUGUUAAGAGUGUUUUAUUUUGACUUUCACUUAAAGACUUUGUUUUCGAAAACAGAAAAAACCAAACAUAGAAAACAAGUUUUGCAACACAUUUUCAAAAAUAUUUACCGGAAAAAAAAAAUUAAUCAUUCUUAAAAAUUGUUACCAUACUGUUUUUUAUGCUUCAACCGUGCACAUUAGCAAUUGAAAAUGAUUGAAAAAACAAACUCAUCAUUGUUUCAAUUCUUUGAAAAAGGAAAUUUUCUCUGAAAUAACAUUUUCAUUUCCACACUAACACAGGCUCUACAAGAUUUGGUGCCUGAACAAAAAAUUUGGUACCCAACUUUUGGGGUUAGGAAGGAAGAUUUGACACCAAAUCUAACACAUUUUCGGGCAUUUUCUAAUAAUUAUAUGAUAUAACAACAACAACAACAACCUUUUAUCUACAAUACAUUUUCUUUUUUAUAAAAAAAAAAAUUCAGUAUUACAACACUAUAAUGCCAAAAAUAAACAAUGAGUUCUCAAGCCAUCAAGCUGCGGACAACAAUGAAUCAAAGAUUUGAAACCAUCGAUAAACAGUCAGUACACGAAAUUUGUGGAUUACAUUAUUUGAAACUAUCGAUAAAUAGUCAGUACCCGAAAUUUGUGAAUUACAUUAUUUGAAACUAUCGACAAACAGUCAGUACACAAAAUUUGUGGAUUACAUUCAUCAAACCAACACAUCAGAUCAUUACUAAAUAAUAUAUCAGACCUUCAUUUCAAGAAUCUUAUAGUUCAAGUCACAAACCCUAAUCAAACCACCAACAAAUAGACAAACGAGCAGGUACUUAUAAAUCUUAGGAAUGAGAUUUAAUACCUGAAGUUUCUCAGUAGUUGAUGAGGGAGGGAGGAAGAGAGAGACAGAUAGGGUUUUAUGGGUCUAUGGCAGCUCUCAAGCUCACAGAUCUCUAUAGCCUUGGCCGCUCCCUCCAGUAAAUUCUCUGCGGUGUGAUCAAGUGACCACUAAAAUUUUGCCAUGUUAUUGGAUCCUUGGUACACGUCGGCAAGGCCGUGUUGGUUGGAAUUAUGUGUAAAGUGUGAUUGUAGAAUUGAUUGAAUUCAAAAAUAAAAAUAAAAAAUUGUUUUUAAUUUUGUGUGCGUGUGUUUGAAACCUAGAAUUUUUCUUGAUAUUGACUCAUUUAAUUUUACAUCGCUAGUUAAUCUACAAAUCAUAAAUCAGUAGAAAAUAAAUUUUGUAAAUUCUCACAUUUAUUUAUUUUUAUCAUUUAUGCAUUUUAUCUUUUUCAAUUUAUUUGUUAUAUAUUUUCAACUGUUUUAAUGCAAAUUCAUAUAAUCUGAUAAGAUUAAUAAAAUAUAUUCUUAUUUAAAUAUCUAAGAAACUUAUGAUAAACGAUAUUGAUGCUCUAUAAAAAAAAAAUUAUGUAAAUGAUAAAUAAAAUUUGAUAAUAUUUUAGGAAAGACAAAUUUUUUUUUUUUUUAGACCUUGUUUAAUAACUCUUUCGAAAAACAAUUUUCUGUUUUUCUGUAAAUUUUUUUUAAAUUUGUUUUAAAAUAAUUAAAAAUAAAAUAUUAUAUAUAAAAAUUAUUUUAGAAAUAGAAAAAUAAUAUUAAAAAAUAUUUCAACUCAAAACGCAGUUACUAAAUACACCUUAAGUUUCCAUUUCAAGCUUUGAGUUUAAACCACGUAAAUUUGUUUGUAAGCUGGCUUCAAACAGGUUAAAUCAAAUCUCAAUUAUUUUAAAGACUAAAACUUUUAUAUGAAAAACAAAUCUUUCUAACUUAUUCAAUUGCAUGUAAAAAUUCUUAAUAAUUUUCUUUUAAAAAAUAAUAUAUUUUCAAAGCAAAUUCUCCGAAAUAAUAUUUUUAAUAUAAAAGAUACUAAUUAUAUAUAUAUAUAUAAGUUAGAAAGUUUUUUGUAAGAAUAAUUAAAAUAUACUAAUUAUAAGAUAAAUCGCCAAGAAAAUAAAACCAACCUGUCAUCCGUCAUCCCAUGCCGCAAGUUCAAAUAAAAAUGAACAGCACAAAGCAUAUAUAGGCUUGUGUGCGCUCAUGAAAUACAACCAGCCUGAGCUUGUUCUAGUUUUUAAGACUAAACACAACCAGAGUCGCAAAAUCAACAACUAGAAACAAAAAUCCUUACCUUUUUAAGUAUCUGCAUCUGAAAAUGCUCUCUCAAAUACUACAAAUACUAAAACCUAAAAGACUAACGGGUAACAAAUUCAUCAGCAACAAAAUGUGCCCUACCACCCACCACAGUCCAUUCUCUCUCAGCUCUGGGGCGAUGUUUUGGCAACCCCACUCUGUUGUGCAGGCUGAGAAGUUGGAGUUGCAUCCGCAGCAUACAUUGGAGGCUGUGAAUAACCGCCACCAUAUGAGCCACUGUAUGGGGGCUGCUGCCCAUAACCUGCCUGAGUCACUGUUGGUGCACUGUAAGCUGAAGGUCCUCCAUACCCUGGCUGACCAGCUGCUGUUCCAUAACUGGACGGUGCAGCUCGCUGGGAACUGGAAUCAGUUUGAGCAUACCCAGACUGAGCAGGCGGCUGCUGAGAAUGGGGAUAACCAGGCUGCACAGGAGCAGGCUGGGCAUAGCCUCCCUGGGCACUGGGGGACUGUUGGGUUUGUCCAUAAACUGGUGGAUUGGCUGGUGCCUUCUGAGCCUGUGGUGGUCCAUAGUUGGUGGUAUAGCCAGACUGGGCUGGUGGUUGACUCCCAAAACCAGUUUGGGAAGUUGGGGGCAUCCCAUACGCUGGCUGAUUAGAUCCUUGAGGUGGAUAACUUGCAGGGCUUGGACUAGGCUGCUGAGUGUUGUAUCCUUGCUGACCAAUUGCAGAGGGCUGGACAGAAGGUGGUGCUUGACCAGUCUCCCCUUGAGCUCCAUAGGAGGUAGUGUGCCCCUCUUGUGUUGGGUUGGCCACAUUACCAUAACCAGUUGCAGAAUUAUAACCUUGCUGCUGAUCAUAUCCUGGAAUUGGUUGAGGCUGACCAUAGCCAGGUUGAGGAGCAGGUGCGUGAUACCCACCACCAUAGCCAUCCUGAGGAUAACCUUGCCCCUGUUGAUUAUAUCCAGAAGCUGGUGGUUGAUUGUAAUUGUAACCAGAGUUAUCAGCUGGACCAGAAGGACCACCAUGGGCUUGCUGCUGCUGUUGAGUCUGCUGUUGGCCAUAGUAAUCAUAGCCACUUCCUGGAGUUGUCUGCUGACUUGGUGGGGCAGCCGUCUGGUCCCAACCAGUGGCAUUAGGCUGAGAAUAGCCGGCAUAAGCUGGCUGAGACAUGUUAUACUGGGGUGAAGGACCAGGAUAGGAUCCAGGCUGCGCAUAGCUAUAACCAGGUUGCUGCAUUGGAGGAGCACCAGGAGGGGCACCCCAGCCCGAUGGAGGUCGGGCUUGGUAGCCUUGCUGAGGAUAUCCUCCAGCCAUUGCUGGAUUUCUGAUACGAUUCUGCACAAAAUUGUUUCCUCAUAUGAACUAAGGUAACCUUUUGUUGGAUGGCUGAAUGCACAAGCAAAGAGAAAAGCAGGAUAUGCAUAUCGAUAUAUUCAACUAGAAAAAAAGGUGUGCACAAAGUUCAACACAAAAGCAGCUCAUAAACAAUAAAAGACUAUUCCAUAUAUACGAGGAUUGAUGCAUUGUAUAUUCAUAUUGAAAGGGGUUCAGACACCUACAUACCGUACUGGUUGGUGGAAUUACUGAGUUACUCCAGCAGAAGCCCAUCCUCUCCCUAUAUGAAGUGAAUGGGUACGAAAAGAACCGCAAAACUAUACAAGUUCUUUAAUAAAUGUAAAGAAAAAUAUCCAAAGUCCAUGGCCACUAUAAGGCAACAAGUCUAAUACUCAAGUGUUGUAUGCCAAGUUAUAUCUAGCCAAACAUCCAGUUGAUGCAUUAAAAGAAGCAUCAAGCUAAGAAUAAAGGCAACCAGCAUAAUGAAUAAUAGUAUCCUAAAAUAUAAUUAGGCUCAGAUCACCUGAUAUGUAUCAAAUGAGUGACAUUCGCUUUUAAUUGGAAUGUGAACAUAUAUUUUUUUUUCAGAAAUUAUGAAAACAAUCUAACUUGGAACAUUCAAGAGCACAAAUAAGUACAAUAAAAUUUACCUAAAUCUAAGGGAAAUAUGUUUACAGACUAACUUAAAAAAUAAAUCAAACGAGUUUCUCCCUAAAUUUACAACCUGUGAAAAUCACUUAAACUAAAUAUCAUGCACACCAUGUGCUGACAUGUACUCUUUUUUAAUCAGACAUUGCAUGCACUCUGCCAAAAUAAAUAAUGGCUGAAGCCUAAAGGAACCAAUCUAGGAACACAACAAAGCAUAGGAAACUUUUCAGAUGAUGUUGAGGCACAUGUUGACCAUUAGUUUAAUUAUAACAGUUAAUCCCACUUCAAAGAGUACUCAACAACUAAAAAAAGAUAAAUAAAUAAAUUGAAACUCAAGGCAAACUAUAAAGAACUUCGAUUUCAAAGAGAGAAGAAACGACGAAACAGAUAUGAGGGCAAAGCACCAAGACCAAAAUUUCAAGGAGGCUUAUCUUGAUAGACAAAAUAUAAUCAGUAAAUGAUACAUUAGAGGCAUCAAGAAAGAUUUUAAAGAUAAGAUUUGCAAAAAAUUCUUCAGGUUAUACCAAAACAAGAAGAAUACGAGAGAGUAACGACAUUGGCAAUUCAAUCUCAAAGCAGCCCAUGAAAAAAGGAAAAUAAAUGAGACUUUUAUUUUAUAACAAUUACCAAGAUUAAGCAAUAGCUUAGAAAAUAAAUAUAUGGUAUGUUCUUAUAAGAGACUAAAAAGAGGAUUAUCUUAAAAGGCCCUUGAUCCGAUCCUGAAAUAGUAUGGCGUCCUUUGUAUCACCAGAACAACAGUAAACCUUACAACUCCUUUCGACAAUGUCAUUACCAAUUAUCAGAAGAUGGGAUUUAAGAACCAUACCAGAGCAAUGCUGAGGGAACACCAACACAAGAAUUCCAUGUUGGUGUCACCAAUAAUCCAAUACACACUAACCCUACAAUAGUUCCCAAUAACAAUAUCAGUCAAAUGAUACACAAUCAAUAGGUACAUUUGAGGCUAGAACAUGAUAUAAUCCCAAAUAUUAUUCACUUUUGGAUAUUCAUCUAAGAACCAUUGCAAUACCAGAUUGAGAUAAAUCUUAGGAAUUAAGGAAAAGCUUCAGUAUGGCCUUAAUAACCUCAAUGGAAAACAAGUAUAUAACCUACCUCACGAAACUUAAUAUCCAACAAAUCAGAAUAGCCUUAGAGCACAACUCAGAUACAAAUAAUCAACCUUCAUAAAAGCUUGACAAUUCAAACUAAAGGAUUUCGCUUCUGACCAACCAUCAACUCAUAUAUCCCUUAUCCAGCUCAGUUGAUAUAUACAGAAGAUAUAUGGCAGAUAAACAAUAUAUCUAUGCAGUAGACAAGUCAAAUGAUCCUGCAGAUUCAUGUCCUAUGUAUACAGUCAUAAUUUCAUCUAUAAGAGAUCUAGGUGGAUAUUUUGCAAUGCAAAUUACCAGGCCACUUUCAGGUCCUAUCUUGCAACUAGAAACAUGCGUAAGAUUUGAUACAGAGGUCAAGAAAUCUCUCUCAAAUAAUGAUGUACUGCAGGAGCCCACCUCCCUCCAUAUGUCAUUUCAACACAUAGAAUAUAAUUCUCAACUAGCCAGGUUGUACCUUCAGCAGGAUCGGCAGGAAAAAUUAUCUGCAAUCUUUGGGAACUUAACAAUCCAAAUAAUGGAAGCAAAGCAACUGAUGACGAUAUAGAUACAACUAAUGGAUUCAUAAGAAUCACCAAUAACCACUUUCAAGGAAAUAGAAAUUCAGAAACAACAGUCUUAAUCAGAAUCACUACAAUAACUCAAGUAACAAAAGAGAAAGCCUGUAAGAAAAAUGGGAAUUCAUUAGCAGACUAGGAAUCUUGUUCAUUUUCCCUGACACAAAGGCAAGAAAAAGGGGAGAAUCAUUUGCUAGAGCAUAAUUUCAAAUGCAAAAUUGAUGAGAAGGGCAUACAAAUCCAUGGAACAGAUUAGCAUUAAAACCUAAUAUCCGAUCAAUUAACAAAUAACUCAAUUCAACUGAACGAAAAAUGAUAAAAGUUUAAAUGACCCACUGCUACCUUCCACAUUCUCAUUGUAUCUACAGUAGGAGAUAGAAAAAGGAAAUCUACUAAAAUGAGAAAGUGCAACAAAAGGAAGAGAAUGUACCUUAUAAAAUGAAAAAGGGAAAACAAAAUACACAUACAUAUUUAUAUAAUGCAAAAUCAUAUCUUACAAACCAUCAUGGAGCAGGCAUGAACCAUGGAGAGUGUGAAAUAUAACAAUAACUAAAUCUGAAAAUGCAUUUAAGAACAGUAUUCCAUUUUAUUAUUAUCUUAUGAAUAAAAAAUGACUAAGUUUAGGGAAAGAUCUAAAAUAAAGUUGAGCUAGGCCAAAUCUGCAACUCAAUAAUAACCAACAUAUAUACCUCACUGAUGACUUCAUUGACCAACUGUUUAGCAGACUCAAUCUGUUCACUGGUGCCAUCUAUUUGUACAGUUCUCUCCAUUGAUGUAUCACCAGGGGGGAGAUGCAAAGGUAUCACCUAAAGAAGAUGAAACAGGUCAUUGUCACAUAACCAUAACUGAAGAACACAGAGAAGAAAACAUUAAUAUCACAUGAAGGAGAAUUAAACAUAAAAUUUCUAGAAACCCCAUGCCAUAUAACAAAUAAAAGCAAAACACAGGCCAAAGGCACCAAGUCUAGAUCAGAGAAUAAAAUUCAGAACACACCUGAAUACGAGCUCCUGUCCUGGCUUGCAUAUUUUUAAUGGUCUCACCACCUUUACCAAUUAUCAGACCAACCUGAAAACAGGUGUACAUCAGAUACUAUCUUAAGCCCAACAGGAAGUAUGAACUAUGACAAAAUAUAGAACUUUCUAUAUACCUUGUUGUUUGGUACUUUCAUCACAAAUUGUUCAGACCCAGCCUGACCAGUUAGCCUUCGAGAAACUAUGCCAGACCCCCCUGCUUCAGCCUGGAGCAUACAUUAAGCAAAAGUAGUAUGCAUAAAUAAUUAUAACUUUAGGGAGAAGACAAGAGCCAAAAACAAAUGUUAUGCAUGUGAAUACAUGGGCACCAUACAUUAUCACCCUUCAUCUUGAUUGAUGAGGCUCAGUCAAGAUGGAGAAACUCUGAACUAAUACCAUUCAAGGAGAGUAUUCCAAAAUUGAAUAAUUACAUCGAUAUCAAAAUCAGUUAAUGCUCAGAAGCUCAUGUAUCCAAAAUUCUGUUCAUGAAGACAGAGAACUGAUGGAUAUUAGCAUGUACAUUAGAGAAGACAAACAGAAAACUACCUCAGAAAGAACAUCGUUAAUCAAUUGCUCUGCCUUCGCAAUUUGGUCCGGAGUACCCAUGAGCUCCACCAACCGGGUUGGGGAAUUAGGAUCCGCAUCCAUAUCCCUAGUGACCUGAAUCUUAGCUCCAGACUGAAGCUGAAGAUACUUGAUAGUCUCUCCACCUUUCCCAAUAAUAACACCAACCCUCCCAUUCGGGAUAUCAAUCUUUUUGCUCGUACCCUGGUAACCAUAAGAAACUGGAAUUGCCGAAGGAGUCGAGAUCAUAGGCUUCUGUCCAACAUCUGCAUUCAAUAAAACCACAGUUACCAACAAAGAAAACUUAAAGAACAGAACCCUAGAAAGAAUGUUUAAAAGAAACUCAUAUAAAUUCAGGGGGGGAAACCUAUUAAUUGAAAAAAAAAAUCAAAUAAAUAAGCAAUUAAAUCUCCGACGUCGCCAAAAUAAAAUCAUAGUAACCACGAAGAAAACCCAGAAAGAAUUAUGAAAAAUAUAUUAUAAAUCUUCGUAUCGAUAAAAACCCUUCAAAUAUAACCCCAAAAAAUACAAAAACAGUCAAAAUCAAUACACGUAAAAAUCCGUCAAUCAAAUUCGCAACUAAAAAAAACCCUAGAAACUCAGAAAUCAGAGAGAACUCGAGAAGACUAACCAGAAGGAGCAGAGCUGAACCCCUUAUCACCAGAAUCAAACCCACCAGCACCGGCACCAUUCUCGACGCGAGGGCGCUUAGCUUCGGUGUUGCUGGCGUUGCUGAAAAGGCGAGCAGCGAUCUCCUGCGCGCGCUGCUUGGCGAGCUGGAUCUCAUCUGCGGGAGGCGGAACACUGUUGUAUGAGGGCGGGGCGUGAGAGGAGUCUGGAGAGGGAGUGGAGAUCGGAGCCGAGAAGCCGGUGGGGCGGCGAGUGGAUGGCUGAGACGGCGUCGUUUGGUCCUCGUACUUACGCUUGUUGGUAGCGUCCGUACCAGACGAGUACUGUACUUCUUCAGCCAUUGAUGAUGUAGAGAGAGAGAGAGAGAGAGAGAGAGAGAGAGAGACUGGGUAGGGUUUCGAAACCCUAGAAGACGGAGAGAGGGAAUUGGGUGAGGAGUGAGGAUUGGGAGAGGGUUUAUAUACUCAAUCGCAAUCUCUAUAAGGAUUUUUGGGGUUUGUGUUUGGGACUUAUGGUCUAGGGUUUGAUAGACGCUAAGGAUCUCAAACGGAGCAACUUAAGCGACGUCGUUUUCGGAAGGGGUGCGAGAGAAUGCUUAGCAUCCAAGGGCCUGUUUGGUUUUCAACCACAAAAAUUUGCAAAAAAUCCAAAUUGUCUAUUUUCAAAUCACUCAUAAGUUAUCUUAUCCAGACUCAAGCUAUCAAAUGAAUUCUUAUCACACUAUUUAUAAAAUAUAUUAAAAAAUUUAAUCAAAUCUUAUAAAUAUAUGAGAAUUUAUCACAUUGUGAAAAUAUAUGGAUUAUCAUUUAUAUUGAUGUAAAUUUCUUCAUAAUUCUUUAUAAAAUAAAAUAUUAUCUACUAAUGAAAUAACAAUUCCAUUUUUUCUUUUAACAUUCCUGAUUUUCUGUUAUCUUAACAUUAUAUUUUUUUCUCUUUUCUUCUUUCAAUUCUUAUAUUUCACAAUACGUUAUCAGCACAAUCUGCUAUUUUUUAUAACACGAUCAUAAGUUAAGAAAGUUUCAUUUUCAAUUCCCUUUCUUGUUAUUGACUUUUAUGUGCUCUUUUCUAUAACAUGAUUCUAAGCUCAAUAAGGUUUCUCUUUCA